rnacentral:lncRNA from 1 species
UUUUUUUGAGUCUCUAUCAUUUUUCAGGGACUUGGAUUUUCUAGCUAGCCACGGGUCAACUGUGAUGUUAUUCGACAUCCACACUCGUCUUAUGUGCUAUGAAUUUCCAGUGACCACUUGUUGGUAAACCUCUUUAUGUGUGUGUUACCCAAGAGGUUGCAUCUGGUUCUGUUUGGGUAAAAUCGUGUAUCUACCGCCCGCCCAACAGACUCAGAUAGUAGAGUGUCAUCAGAAAAAGCAAACUGCACACAUGGAACCUUAUGUGUUCCUCGGGCAGACAUCGUCUCUAUUAGUGGGCAUCUCUAAAUUAACUUACGGCGAUACAUGAUAUGUCCACUAAAGAAACAACCUUCUGAGACACUCAUCUUUGCCUAGAACUGUCUCAUGAUUAUCGCUGAUAUGGACAUGGGUUACAUGCUUCUUUACUCUUAAAGGUCUUUCGCUCUGAAUCUUGUGACGAGACUUAAAGGGGGGAGGGUUGUAACAUCCCUGGUGUUUAUAUUCCGCUCGACAACGAGUAUGGAUCUAAGCACGUAAUAUCAGCGGAUAAAACAGAUGCUAAAUUUUAAACAUCUUCACCUAUCGCGUUUUUAAUAUCGCAUCAGUUUCGUCGGUCGCGAGUUCGACAUCGUUUUUAUCUUUCCGUACUCUUCCUAAAUUUUCGCGAUGUUCGGAACAUAGUUGUUCCGAAAAUCGGUGGGUCCGGUGAUUAUUUAAAAUUCAUCGCUCGCGCGAAUCCGAAUUCGGAAGCUCGACCUGCUCUUGCGAUUUUAUCCCGGGCAAAUUAGUUUGAACUCGACGACUAAAAUGUUUGGGCAAAAUAAUAUGAAUCACGCAGGCUCUGAGAGAAAUCGUGCGUGAGGUUGAUAAUCAAGGAAUUAUAAUUGAGAUUCGAUUAUCACACAAAUUGCCCGUAACCAUGGAAUCAGAUGUUUAGACCCCAGAUAAAUUUAUCAGAUUUCGAAUCGAAUCGAAUCGUGUCGCAAGUCAACCUUUUUGUAAUCGCUAAAAAUCUUGAUUCAAAAAUAUCUGUGAUUUUCGGUAAAAAGGGAAGAAAUUUAAAAAAAGGAAUAUCUUCAGCCGUUCUCUCUCUCGAUUUUUUUUCAGCCACCGCCGUUCCCUCGUCUUUAUCCGGCCGCCGCUCAGGGAAAAAGAUCCCGCCGCCCCUCGCCUGAUUUUUCCCAGCCGUGCUCGUCUUCUACGCGCCCAGACCCUCUUCUCCUCCUCAAGCUGCCCAGCCGCCCCUUCGCUCUCACCCUCUCUGCUCGUCGCGACCCCCCAGCUCCUCCCUGCCGCGCGAGCUUGCCCCUCCUCGGAGUUCUUUCGUACCGAGCCUCCUUCGUCGCGCCCCUUCUGCUCUAGCUCGCUUUUGCCGUCGGGUUGGCCGCGCGGGCGCAGUCGGCCGCGGAGACUAGCGCGUGCAGGCUGCGGAGGCGCGCGUGACGAAACUGACCGUCCCAGCUCCUCGUCUUCCCCUCGACUCUCUCCUUGCCGGAGCUCCUUCUGCUCUGUGCUCUCUUGCCCAUGGCGCCGAUCCGUCCACCAUGACUGCGUCCCUCUGCUCGGAGCUCCCUGCGCGCCGGCUCCCUACUCGGCAGACCGCGCGGCUCCCAUGGCGUGCCUCGAGCUUCUCACAGCCGCACCUGGCCGGAUCUCCCAGCCGAGCCCCUUCCCCACCCAUUCCUCCAUCUCCGGUGCUUGGUGCCCAUCUCCCUGCUGGCCAUGGUGCCCCUGUAGACUCCAUACAUGGCACCAUUGUCCCGGCCGUGAUGAUGUGCCGCUCGGCCUCCCUGCACCGCGCUUUGGUGGUCGUGCGCGCCCAGCCCCAUCUCCCUCCCAGCUCCUGGCUUGCCCCUGCUUCCAUGGCUGACCGCGCUGCUCCCCUGCGCUUGCCACGGUGCCCUUCUCCCUGCUUGCGCGUGUAGAUGUGCCCUCUGCUCGGUCUUGCCCAAGCUCCCAGCUUCCUGCACACGCGAAGCUCUCUGCUCACCGUCGUUUCUCCUCUGCGACCGCUCAGUUCCUGCUUGGUGCCCAGCCCGCUUGUUGCGGACGCGGGCCGCCACGCUGCCAGGCUGCUCUCUCUGCUCGGUCUCGACCUCUCGCAUGUGUUCCUGCUCACCCUGGCCACAGCUGCCCGGCUCGGCCGCUCCUCCUAUUCCCUGCGCUCGCCCCGCCGCGCGCUCUCCUGGUUUUCCCUGCGCGCAGCCACGAGCUUCGCUCGGCCUGCUCUAGAUCCGUAGCUAGUCGCUCUAUGUGCUCGACCUUGCCUUGUCGCAGAACCCCAACACCGUCGAUAUCCAGCUCGCCCCUGUGUCGCUCUCCCUUCCGUCGUCCCCUGCUGUGCCCCGGACGUCGUGCUCGUUGUGGUCGGCAUCGUCACGCUGCCCGUCUCGCCUGGCCCUCAAAUUUACUCUGCUCCAGCCGUCCGAACUCGCUAGCUCUUGUGCCUCUCUGCUCGCGCGCCACUCAGUACCGCAUCGUUAUCCUACUCGCAGUCAGCUUUGUCGUGAUUGCUGGGCAUUACUCGACGCCCUGGCAUCAUGUCUAUAUUUGUGUCUGCCAUCGUCGUCAAGUUCCUUUUGUGGUUGCCUCGCCUGCGUGUGUGUGGGAGUGAGAAUAGAGCUAUGGUUCAAGAUAAAAAUGAAGUUCGAAAGCAACGCUCGUCAGGGACCCCAUCGUCGACAACUUUGGUUCUUCGUCGCCGGAUCCGUGUUUCGGAUAGCAGCAACCUUGCUGUCAUCGUGUUCGCUCCAACUCUGCCUCUACGUGCUCGUCUUCGAUCACCGCUGCAAUUUUAGAAGUUUGAGUGAAGAAGUGGAACUCACAGGGCGCUUGCCAGGAGCUCGACAGAAGGCCUGAACAAGAAUCGUCAACGUUGGCUUGGAAUUCUAGUUGAAUCGGUAACCGUUCUUUAGUUAACUAUUUUUAUUAAUGGAUUGAAUAGAUAUAUUAAUCGCGACGAUUAUCUUGAUCGAAGCAUAAACAUGUCAUAGUUAUAUUAGAUGGUUGCCAAAAUAUCUUGUCGCAUGUGAGGACAUGAUUAUGGCGUACUAAUUUUGCAAGGUAAAACUUAGAUUUAAAAUGCUAGUUACGUAGGAGUACCCGACCGGACGUGUCUGUCGAGUGUGUUCAAAUUGGUUUUACUUAUGAAGUAUGCCAAAUUAGUGGCAUGAAGAAUUAAUUUAGUAUUCCAAAUGAUUAUCCGAUAAUGCUGUCAUCGUUGAUUUUUGUGAGGUAUUUUGGUAGUCAAACUUGAAAUGUUUGAUUAAUUGUUGACAUGUAAAAUAGAUGAGGUGUGAAAUAAAAUUAAAAUAGUUCUUUGUGAGUGAUGUGGUAUAAUUUAUAAAGCAAGGGAUAAGUGUAGAAUUUAAUUAAUUAGCUGAUAAGUUGUGUUUAGGCUAAUUAUAUUAAAUGUGUAUAGUUUGUUGUUUCGUGAUAUAUGCGUUAGAUUCGGUUAAUCUAAAGAAGCGUAAUCAUUGUACUUAAUCAUACGUCGAUAACUAGUGUUUUCGUAUGAAACGAUACAACGCCUCACCGCUAGGUGUUUAAUUCGCUAUCGCGUAGCACUAUUUAGGUUUGUAAUAUUCUUGUCUAUAUGCAUUCAUGUGCAUAAUGCAUUUCAUUCAGGUACGUUAAUUGACUACCUGAUAUGGAGGACCAAAGCUGAGUCGACCACAAGAGAAUGGAAAGUGUGAGCUUCUCCGAGAGAUAAUGCUGAUGAACGAACUGGAAGAUGGACAAACUGAACGAGUGCCAAGCCAAAGGAUGGUCGUCAAGUGAUCGACGUCUAACAACACUAACUUAGUGUUAUUCAGGCAAGCCCUGGUGCAUUUGCCACCUCCUUGCUGUUUUAAAAUCUUUUAUCACCUUGUUUGAUGCAUUAGGUGAUAGGAGUUGUGUGCUAAACAAUUGAUGCAUUUCUUUCCUUUGAAAAUUGAUUACCCUUCCUUGAUACCCUUUUUGAAAAUAAUUUUAUGAUGCUUAGCCUUGCUUUAGCAAACAAAAAUGUUUUGUUUUAAAACAAAAGUUAUGCUUCAGUGGGUGGGAAUGUUUUCGAAAAGAAAAACUUGUGAUGGUGGAUCCAUCAGGGCCUUGAUGGGUUCAACAUCGGAAAAGAUGUACCUCUACCAGGUACCAAACUUUGGGUUGAAAAUAAUAAAGCUGAGACCGGGCGGUUGAGUUGCACGAGAAGGGAGUCUCGGUGUAGUGUCUCCGUCUGAGUCAAUUAAGGACCGUGUCGAUGUAGGCUUGCUGAUUGAGGACCUUUUAACUGGUCACAUGCCUCAUCAUGGGUAAGCUUUGCCUCGGGCAGACUAAUACCAGAAUAGGACAACAUGCAAUGGGAGUGGAGAGAUGGCGAGAGUAGCGUGUACCCUCCGUGGCAAGAGGCUGGACGGUGGUGUAUCUGUGCUCUCGGCUGACGUGAACCCGAUCUGGUCUUAAGAACCUCGGUGGCGAGUUGACAUAUGCAAGGGUUAAGUGCUACAUAUGUCGUGUGAUUGGAGAUCCCCAGCUAGGUAUUAAUCGAUUCGGAUCGCCAUUACUUCUCGGACAUGAAGACUUGGUCACUGCCCUACAUGUAGCAAUCCAGUGAUCUAAAGGGAUGAUAAAAAAACGGCUAGUGUAGGCCAAGUGCUUGAACUAGGGUAGAAAGAACUCUAGAUGCAAGUAACUUUACUUAACCUGACAAGUAAAAAUGGAUUUUUAAGGAUCCAUUCAUAGUAAUCUUUUCUGCAAAAGAGUCUUUGAUUCUUGACAAGCUAUACCUUGAUUCCCAAUAGCCAGCGUAUCCUUGAGAGUCUUUUUCUUUAGACAGGUAAGACUUGCGAAAGUACACUUUGUACUCAGGGUUUUCGAACCCAUGUUGUUGCAGGUACUAGAAUUGUGCUGCUAUGGAUGGUGUUAAGCGCCGGUGGGCACGACCUUCUUAUAAGUCUAAGUAACUCUUCUAUACUUCUUAUUAAGGAUGGUCACUUGAGCUAGCAUAUAUUUCAAAAUUAUAAAUAAUUUAUAACAGUUCAAAGUUUAUCACUUUGAAUCACCUUUGUAAUCACUCCGAUCAUGUACAAUGUAAAUUUGUUGUAACUUGUUUGGUAAUAAGAUUUCCGCUGCAAAAUUGUUGGUGUGUGAUUUGUGUUUACUUAAUCCUGCGGUCCUGGUUGUAAGUGGUUUAUCUGAGGUCCUUGGGGCACUCAGACAGAUCCCGUUAAGUUAUUUGGUGCACAUGCAUAGCCGUCUGAGGUAUUUGAGACAAGGGCAGGUGCAUGUGGGUCCAAUAACUUGGGAGGUUCUGCCACAAAUUCGGCCCAGCCAGGGCACGCGCGCGGCCACGCGGGCAGGCGGCCCAGCUCGGCCCGCCAACGGGAGCGGCGCGGGGAAGGCGCCUUGGGCGCGGGCCCACAAGCCAGCGAGGGGGGUGACGGGAGGGUUCGGCCGAGAGGAAACCGGCCGCCGGAGCUCGACGACGUUUCUCCACCGGUGACCCGAUUCCUGGCGAUUGGGGAGGUGGCGAAGCACGGGUGGGGAUAGUGGGUCAUGGUGGAGGGGUCAAUUUGGCUGGUGGGGGCUUAGAACGGUCGGUCCGCAGUGAGGUGGCGGGCGCCCGCGGUGGUGAGGUCGCCGGCGAGGCCUACGGGUGUAAUAGGUGAAGGGAAAGGGUGCGUCGUGUUCGUGGUGAAGUGGUGAAACUCAUGAGCCAAACCAAUUUGACUCUAGGCCACCAGAGAAGGGAGGGAGAGCUCACCGGAGUGGAGGAAGAGGGCGGCGCGCUGGCUCGAUUGAGCUUGGGGAAGGGGGAGAGAGGUGGCCGAAGCUGGUGUGAAGAAAACUGGAGCUCGGGCGGUCCCUUUUAUAGGCGGCCGGGGAGGGGGGAUGUCACACCCGGCUUUAAGGAACAAAGCCAGGUGCAUCUCAUACAUGCGCCAAGAAGACAACAUAUAUAAUAACAGAGUGUAUAGAGAUAAAUGUCAUAAAACAUUAGAGUAUUUAUUACAUAGCGGAAGACUUAUUACAAAAUAAAAUAUAAAAGUAAAACGAACUAAGGAUCGUCGGCGCCAAUGUCAACUGAGAAACGCCACCUAGAUCAGAUCAUACUCCUCGCCUUGUGGCUCCUCCUGAACCACCUGCUCUUCUCCUGUGGGGGGGUGUGAGACAGCAAGGGUGAGCUCACACAUGAUCAUAGCUCAACAAGUUGUGGAGAACCAGUGGGCAUAAACUCACAAAGGUGUGAGUUCAUGUGAUGUGUAAGGCUAAUCAAUGAUAGGGGUUAAAGCUGAGCAUUGCUUUUAAGUAGUUGGUCAAAAUUUUAUUAGCAAUUACUAAGUGUAAGUAAAUACCAAACCAUAAAUAAAGUAAUAAAACAAAAUUAAUAACAAACCCAUGCAAUGCAAAUGACAAAAUUGAAUUUAAGUUCCAUAGUUUAAACAUCAGAGAGUCCUGAGCUGCUCAUGACCGCGAGCACGGCUAGUAUACCAGUUUUACACUCUGCAGAGGUUGUACCCUUUACCCACAAGUCAUGCUACCCAUCUGCCAAGGGGUCGCGAAUCCCAUACACCUCUACCUAGGAAGCGCGACAGGGCAACACUACGAGGCCUUUACAAAGUUCCACUAGCUUCCGAAAACCCGCUACAGUUUAUAGGAAGUUCCAAUGCAGGGUUCUUGACUGACCGCCAUCGCAGCAAAAUCAACCAAGGACCUCCCUACACUGACCACUCCCCUACUGCCCUUGCCCCUUUCGGGUAAGGUAGUCUUCCACUAGCUUUCGUAAUUAGUCAGCCAAGGGCGUCCCAUUAAACCCUUGUGGUGGCACGUGUUACUCAAGUUAAGCUCUAUGUUCCAAUUAACAUUAAUGAACUUGACAUGAACAUAAAUAGAAUAACAAGAAUAAUUGGAACAUAGAUAUAAAUGAUUAUCCCAAAACCAUGUAAAGCAAUAGCAAACUACCCAAGUGAUUCAAAGGUAAACAAGGUAAUGAGAUAAACAAUCUAGGGUGACCUAUUGGGUCCCAUCAAAAUUAACCUAUGCAUGAAUAAGUGACAUUAAAGAACAUUAUAGGGUAAAAAGUGGUCAAGGGCACAACUUGCCUGGCACUUGAGAUUCUAGGUACCAAUUUGCUUUCCAGAUGACACGUGUCCUCGCGUUAGUCGUUGCAAUACAAACAAACAUGGUAUAGAUAAAAUUAACAUCACACCAAACAUAAGAAUAUACCGCAUAAUAAUGAUCUACGCGUUUCUACGAGACUAACGCAACUUGAACGGAUCAAAUCGGAGUUAAAACGAAGGAGUUAUGACUUUUCUAAGGUUUUAUGUAUUUGAUACGUGGUUAAUUAAGAAAUAAAUUUUAAUACCAUUUUCAUGUUAAAACAGAGACACAUGGUGAUAAACAACAUUAUUACAAAAUUAUAGAAACUGAAAUGGAUUAAUUUGGACUACAUAUGAAUUUUCUAUGAAUUAAACCAAGUUUUACAAUUAUUUUUAUACUCAAAAUCCAUUUCUAAAUCUAUUUUUCCGGUUUUAUUUAAUUCCUGGACUGAGCGCACCAAUACUAGGAAGCACAGGGGCUAAUCCAUAAGAAUCCCUAGACACAGAGCGCUAUAUGCAGGAUAGCGGGUUGAUUUCCCUAUACUAGGGGGUCUAUUUUGCAAAGUGGUCACAACGAAAGGGUAUCAUUUGUUUCUGGCCUUCGGAUUAGGUUUGGACGGUCCAGAUUAAAUCUUUCCAACUCCAAACCGGUAAGCAAUCGCACCCGUUAGAUCAAAGAUCGACGCCCACAAUUUAAUGAAGGCGCGAUCUAAUCUUCACCAUGCAUACACCGAUCGACGGUCCCAAUCACCCAGUCGAACCGGUACUAGUAGACUAAUCCUAGUCGUUAACUCCUAAUCUGACGGCUAUCCAAUCCUCGUCUCCUCCCGAUACCCGAGCUAUCGUGGCCGCGAUGGAUGGUGGCGGUCUUCCCCCCCUCCGGCGAGCAAUUGCCAAACGAAACAGACCCCAAAUUUCAUCCCGGCAAGACCUACUCGACGAUUACGGUCUAGUGAAUUGGGGAAAACAAAGAUUACCUGCUAAUAUUCGACGUUGAGCCCUAGUCACGAUGCGCAGCGGACAUGCGGUCGAAUGCAACACCGACGACAAAUUCCCUGGACCCUAGCGACUAAUCCUUGGUGGCGGGUCUUUGGAAACCUUUCCCCCGGCACUGCGAAGCUUGCGGGCGAGUGAAUGGCACACCAGCAAAGGCGGUGAUGGGAAUCCCAUGGCGGCAGACAGGAUGUUGGUGAGCCAGGCGAUGGGGAUGGAGAUCUCCACACCGUCUUCGCCGUACCCGUGGCGCAGCAUGGGGCCGAACAACCGGUCCAGGCUGAAGGCUUGCGCGGGCUGACCUUGGGCGGCAGCGUCAUCUUGCGGACCCCGAGGUCGUGCACCGUGAGCGAGCGGAGGCGACUGGAGUUCAUGGCAGUGCGGCAUUGGCUCACAACUAUGGUUUGGGAAAAAAGGAAGUGCGCAGGCGACGGACUUGUACGACCCACGGAGCCACGACUUUUAACCCCCGAGCGCGGAGGAGGGCGACCCGAUCCUCCCGGCGUCAUGGUGCGGCCAUUGCAACAGCUUGAUCCGAACCUCACGGAGAAGAAGACCUGUCAGCCCAGGGGGCCCACAUGCCAGCGGAAGCCACAGCGCGCGCGCACUGAGUCGCGGAGGUGCCGACAUCCCGGGUCCGCAGAUCAGUGAGCGUGUGAGGAGCGAGCGCAGGAGAGGCUGGCGCAUGGGUCCCGCUCGACAGUGGUGAAGAGCGGCCGACGGGCAGGGCCCAUUUGGCAGUGAGUGACAGCGCGUGGUGGGGGAUGGGCCGACAUGUGCAGGUGUUUAGUGGGCCAGAAUCAAGUGAAUGAGCCCAGUUGGGUUCUUUCCUUUUUCUUUUAUGUUUUUAUUUUCUGUUUUCUUUCCUUUUUAACUUCUAGACUUCAAAUUUGAAUUCCAUUCUAAUUGUGAGCUUAUACUCAUUUUAAAUGUACAAAUUGAACCAAAAGAUAUGGAUAGUUUAACUAUUUAUAUAUAUAUUCCUUUAUUUUUUUGUAUAACAUCUUUGUUUCUCUUCUCUAAACUCCAAUUUGCAAGUUAGGAUUAAAUCUCUAAAUUUGGAUUUUAAUAUAUUUCUUUUUACAUUAUUUUUAUAUUGUCACAAAAUGCACACAAAAUAAAAAUCUCAGCAUGAUGCACAAUUUAUUUGGGCGUCUCUUGUUAAUGGUUUAUUUGUGUAAGUAAUGUGUUCACAUGAAAUGAUAGAUAGAGAUGACACACUCAUGUAUACAAAGGGAUAUAAUUUUCUCCUUUUCGAUUUUCUUACAAAGUGGGUGCUACAGGGGAGAGGUGGUGAGCACCGGCGACGCUUGCCGCGGCGGUGAUGAUGGCGCACAGUGGUGGCGACGGGAUGGCUCGGGCAGACGGUGGUGCCAGGAUGGCUCGGGGCAGGCGCAAGGUGCCAAUUCGGCUGGUGGGUGAGUAAUGGCGAGGGGAUGUGGCGGAGCGGUGGCCGGCGGUGAUCGCGUUGAUAGCCGAUCACGGGCGAGAGAGAGAGAGAGAGAGAGCUGACAAGCAAGGCCUGCUUGCCAGAGAGAGGGCGAACGCGAGGGGGAAAGGGCGAGUGCGGCUGACGGGUGGGGGUCGGGCUGAUAGCGAGGAGGGGGAGGAGAGAUGGCGCGAGCGCGGGCGGGCGCGGGAGGUGGGCCACGUGGGCCGUCCAGGGGAAACGCGGCGCGCGGGAGGGAGAGAGAGUUGGACCGGAUUCGUUCCAACCGAGGGGGAGAAAUUUCCUUUUUCUUUUUCAAUUUCUAUUUCUAUUUCUCUUUUUCUUUUUCCUUGAUCCCUUUUUCUUUUAAACAAUAAUUCUACUAAUCUCCUAGGUGCCAAAAAUAAAAUACUCUAUGUGAAAUGCUACAAGGAGUCAUGGUGUAUGCUUAUGAUGGAUAAAAUGCUUCAUGGGGGCUUAAGAGAUAAUCAAGGGGGGGGUUAGGAGUUUAGGGUUCUAACUUCGUAAAUCAAAAUUGGGAUGUUACAUCGGAGGAUGAGUCGGUGGAGCUCUUGUCGGAGUCCCAUUCCCGACAUAUGUGGGCAUCGCCACCCUUCUUCUUGUAGUAUCUCUUCUUAUUCUUCCCUUUCUUGUCGUCGUCCCUGUCACUUCCACUAGAAAUUGGACAUUUUGCUAUGAAAUGACCGGAUUUACCACAUCGGUAGCACACCUUCUUGGAGCGGGACUUGUAGUCCUUCCCCUUCCUUUGCUUGAGGAUUUGGUGGAAGCUUUUGAUGAUGAGCGGCAUUUCCUCAUUGUCGAGCUUGGAGGCGUCGAUUGGAAGCCUACUUGAUGUAGACUCCUUCUCUUCUUCCGUCGCUUUGAAUGCGGCGGGUUGCACCUCGGGUGUAGAGGUGGCGCCUUGCUCCAAGUUGACAAUAUGUUUGGAGUCUUUGAUCAAAAUCUCAAAGCUCACAAACUUGCCAAUUACUUCCUCGAGAGACAUCUGUUUAUAUCUAGUGUCUCCACGGAUUAGUUGCACUUGACUGGGAUUACGAAAAACAAGUGAUCUAAGAAUAACCUUGACCAUUUCAUGGUCAUCCCACUUGGUGCUCUCGAGGUUGCACACUUGGUUCACCAUGGUCUUUAGCCGGUUAUACAUUGCUUGUGGCUCUUCUCCUUUGUUGAGGACGAAGCGACCGAGCUCGCCCUCGAUCGUUUCCCGCUUGGUGAUCUUGGUCACCUCGUCCUCUUCAUGCGCAGUUUUGAGGACGUCCCAAAUUUAUUUGGUGCUCUUUAACCCUUGCACUUUGUUAUACUCCUCUCGACAUAAAGAGGCGAGGAGUAUAGACAUGGCUCGGGAGUUAAAGUGCCUAAUUUGGGUGGCCUCGUCCGAGUCAUAGUCUUUAUCCCCGACCUGAGGUACCUGCGCUCCAUACCCAACAAUAUCCCAAAUGCUUUCAUGGAGUGAGGUUAGGUGAUGCCUCAUUUUAUCACUCCACAUACAAUAAUCCUCACCAUCAAAAUAUGGUGAUUUGCCUAAGGGUACGAAAAGUAAUGGAGCGCGCUUUGAAAUACGGGGAUAGCGUAGGGGCAUCUUACUAUACUUCUUGCGCUCAUGGCGCUUAGAAGCGACGGAUGGCUCGGAGCUUGAUGUGGAGGGUGAUGAAGAGUCGGUCUCAUAGUAGACCACCUUCUUCAUCAUCUUCUUCUUGUCACCUCUCCGAUGUGACUUGAUGGAGGAAGAGGAUUCCUCCUUAUGCUUGUUGCCGGACUCUCUUGAAAGGGUUCUCCUCGAGCUUGCGGGCUUGUCGCCGGUCACGAUCUCCCUCUUGGCGUGAUCUCCAGACAUCACUUCGAGUUUGUUAGACUCUUAAUGAAGCACUAGCUUUGAUACCAAUUGAAAGUCGCCUAGAGGGGGGGUGAAUAGGCGUAAUCUAAAAUUUACAACUUUAAACACACACUACAAGCCGGGGUUAGCGUUAGAACUAAAUUCAAGUCCGGGAGAGAGGGGAAAAUAAAUCAAAUGAGUAUCAAGCUGAUGAACACGGUGAUUUGUUUUACCGAGGUUCGGUUCCAAAGAACCUAGUCACCGUUGAGGAGGUCACAAAGACCGGGUCUAUUUCAACCCUUUCCCUCUCUCAAACGAUCACUUAGAUCGAGUGAACCUUCUUCCUUAAUCUCACGGGUCACUAAGAUCCCGCAAGGACCACCACACACUUGGUGUCUCUUACCUCGCUUACAAAGCACUUAAGAAUAAGAAUGGGAAAAGAAAAAGGCCAAGCCAAGCAACAAGAGCAACAAAGAACACAAAUACACCCUCUCUCAAGUCCCUAAUGGAAUUGAGUGAAUUUGGAGGCUUAGAGAGGAUUCAAUCUAUUUGAUGUGUCUUGGAGUGGAGUCUUUUGCUCUUGUAUUAAAUGAGAUGUUUGGAAUGCUUGGAUGGUUAUGAAUGAGGUGGUUGGGGUAUUUAUAGCCCCCAACCACUUCCAUAGCCAUUGGGGGAGGCUGGUGGCGAUGGGCGCACCGGACAGUCCAGUGCGCCAUCGGACAGGCACUGUUCCUUGUCCGGUGCGCCGCCACAUCACCCAACCGUUAGGGUUUGGAGCUGGUCGAUCAUUGGAGGAUUUGUCCUCUUGCGGCACCAGACAGUCUGGUGCCCUUCUGACUUUCUGCUCUGAUUUAUGCGCUGCACUGUGCCGCACUGUUCACUUUGCAGAGUCGACUGUUGGCGCGAGUUAGCCGUUGCUCCACUAGCACACCGGAUAGUCCGGUGAAUUGUAGCGGAGCGCGCCUUCGUUUUCUCGAGAGUGGCUGGUUGACACCUGUACGGUCCUGGUGCACCAGACACAAUCCGGUGGCACACCGGACAGUCCGGUGCGCCAUUCUUCAGUGCACUCAAGUUCUUUGCUUCGUUUCAAAUUGAGUCCCUAACUUGGUUCUUUCAUUGGUUUGUGUUGAACCUUAUGCACCUGUAAUAUAUGAAUUCUAGAACAAACUAGUUAAUUCAUGUGUUUGUGUUCACUAUCAACCACCAAAAUUAAUUAUAGGAAAAGGUUAACCCUAUUUCCCUUUCAACAUCAAAAACUCUAUUCAGUCUCUUUUUGCCUCGACCCCGAAGGCUGUUUUCAUAGCAUCAUCUUCAUCCCUCAAGUACGCACCAAGCAAUUCAUCACUGGUUGCUUCGAUGGCAUCCAGUCAGUCAUCAUUAGGCUCAUCGAAUUGGCUCCUGUACUUGAAUGUGUAUUUCAGAUAGACCAAAUCACCUUCGCUGGACCCAGCAGCAACUUCCUUCGGCAUCUCCCACCCACUUGAGAGCGACCACACUCUAUAAGCAAUAUGCUCCUGGACUAAGUCCCUGGUGCCUAUGUAAGUACAUACUGUAUUAAAGGCAGCAUGGCAUGCUUGUAUGUCAUUCCCAAGGGCAGUGGAUGGCCUCCUAAUGCCGAAGCGAUACCAGAUAGGGCGUUGGAUAAUCCCUUUAAUGUCUUCCCUUGCAACCAACUCGUUUUCACAUAGAACCACUCUUGCAUCCAGGCCCCCGACCACCUCUUUCGAAAUGUCAGAACUGGGUAGCUCACCCCAGAGUGAGGCAUGAAGCUGUAGCAACCAAAAUUGUUGUGAUAUUGAUCCUUGCUAGUAGCCUUCGUCUCAUAGGAGAGCUCGUGGAUAUUGCAGAAGUAUUUUGCAUUCGGUUCCAAUCCCUGGCUCCUCAUGGCCCAAAUAAAGAUCCCCAUCCUGAUGAUAGCUUCGAGGGUAAGAUGAUGAAGGUAAAUUUCGAAAGUCUUCAAAACAUCAACUAUCAAUUUAUCUAGGGGGAACCGAAGCUGUGCCUUCCUGAAGCUUCUAUAAACUACCACCUCGUCAGCUUCGGGUAGGGGGACAUUAUUUUCUCCUCCAGCCCUUACAAUUGAAAUAUCGGGAAGUAACUUCCUCUCAUUGCAUCAAUUUGCCACUAUUUGAUGGUUGAUUUCCCGAAGACAACAUGACUUGGUCUCCAGGGUCGAUUAUCGACAUCUUCACUCCCACUCUCUGCAACAAAACUCUCACUAUCACUAGAAUCUUCAGAUAUCCCAACUAACGUCUCAUGAGCAAUCUUCUCUGUGUUGCUUCUUUCCAUAGCUUCGUAGAACCCAGACAGUGCCGGGUCGACAACCUUCUUCUCGUCAGCCAUCAAAAUCGAAGGUCGUUGAAAUGUCAAAGCUUGAAUUCCAAUUAAACCUCGGCAAAACAAGCAAGUUUAAAAUGACGAGCACUGUGUAAGCAAUUGGAAUGGCACGGAAAAAUGUUUUCAAUGCGGCCUCCUAUUUAUAUGCCUAGCGCCCCAUGGUUUGAUGGGUCCUGCAUGUCAGUGUCAUUCGCUAUUCUAGCGAAGGGAAGGUGUUUUUUCGGACCUUCGGCUAAAGGCCUUCGUUCACGUUGCAGUCUAAAUUUGUUACAAAGAAACAAAUUAAUACUACGAUGGGCUACUGUUGGGGGCUCAAAAACAUAAUUAACCACUUGUUUUUAGCAUAAACUAUUACAGGAAGCUUCGUCUCUAGGAGAUGAAGAUGGACUCAAAGAAGAUAAGAGUAAACGCCGAAGCUAUUGCCAGACGGAAAAGCUCCGGCUCGCAACAAAACAGAAGAAUGUUGAUAAUAGCCAAAGGAGGAAAAGACUACUUAGUCCUUCAUAAUUUGUAUUAUGAUCAUGUGUAAACUUUGAGGACAUAAAUGUACUUUUGCCUGGGCUGCGUCCCGUGCCUAUAAAUAGAUGAACAGUAACACCGUACUGUUCACGCUAAAUUGUAUUCACUCUCGCAUCUUCGCCUUCGAGCAAGCCGAAGGUAUCAAUGUAAUAUUAGCAUUGUGAUAUUUAUAUAUGUUUUGUUGAAUGAAAGAAUAAAUGAAUUAUCAAAACAUGAUUACCAUAUUUGUUUCUUCGCAUUCCUAUCCUUGUAUCGAUAUGAUGAAGGUUUGUCCUUCUUAGCCUUUGUCCGAGAAGCAUUAUACCCGUAAGGAGAUAAUGCUCCGAAGGACGAAGGUUCUUAAUGAUUAAAAAUUGUGUUGCCUUGUUUUUGACUCACAACAUUUGAGAACAAGUGACCAACAACUACUUUAUUUGACAUCUGAUGACACAUUGAAUGCACUUAUAGCCGUCAAUAUAGACGUUACUGUUGACCGUUGGGAUUUCAGUCGUUGAUAUGCAGGGGUGCAAUGUCCGGCCCAGGGGCGUGGACCGUCAGUGUGUGAUAGAAAUUUGGCAAUAGAUAUGUGGUGGUUGAGGGCUAUAAAUACAACCCCCAACCACCUCCAUUUAAGGCACCCAAGCAUUCCAACUCCCACAUUCAUUGCAAAUCAAUAAAGUUCACUCCAAAGCCUCACACAAGCAUCAAAGAUCUUCCAAGUUCAACCAUUGUGAUUGUGUUUCAUUAGUGAUUAAGUGCAUUGUGAGAGAUUCUAGAGAGUGUGAGCUAGUGUUCCAUUUGUCUCUCUUUAUUGCUUGGUACGUAGGCCUCGACUAUCGAGCCGAUGUGAUUGCCGAACACGUGGUUCAUGCAACGUUGAUACGUGGCACUGGCAUUCCUCAAACCAAAGGGCAUGGUAGUAUAACAGUACAUACCAUAACAGGUGAUGAAAGAAGUCGUGAGCUGGUCGGACUCUUUCAUCCGGAUUUGGUGAUAGCCAGAGUAGGCAUCAAGGAAGGACAAAGUCUCGCAUCCCGCAAUGGAGUGAAUGAUCUGAUCAAUCCGAGGUAGAGGGUAGAGAACUUUUGGACAUGCUUUAUUUAAACCAGUGCAGUCUAUACACAUCCUCCAUUCCCCCUUUUUCCUGACUAAUAUGGGAUUCGCCAACCACUCGGAAUGAAAGACCUCCUUGAUGAACCCAACCACCAAAAGCUUGUGAACCUCCUCCCCGAUGACCCUGAGCUUUUCCUCGUCGAAUCGGCGUAGGUGCUACUUCACCGGUCUUGAGUCGAUGCGAAUGUCCAAGGAGUGCUCGGUGACCUCUCUUGGUAUGCGUGGCAUGUCCAAGGGACUCCACAUAAAUACCUCAGCAUUGCGUGGAGGAAGUCGAUGAGCACUUCUUCCUAUUUCAGGUUGAGCUCGAAGCUGAUCUGUAGCGCCUUCUCGCCCAAGCCACUGGGGUUGAGGGGAUGGUCUUUGUUGCUUCAGCCAGCUCAAAGCUGUUGGCAUGCCGCUUGCGGUCGGGAACCUCGUUGGUGAGGUUCUCUAGGUCGACGAUGAGAGCCUCAGACUCUACGAGUGCUUCGGCGUACUCGACGCACUCGACGUCUCACUCGUAGGCGUGGCGAUGCGUGGGGUUGAUGGUGAUGACAACCGCUGGUCCUGACAUCUUCAGCUUGAGGUAGGUGUAGUUUGGGAUGACCAUGAACUUAGCGUAGCAUUGCCUCCCAAGAACGGUGUGGUAGGUACCUCUAAACCCUACCACUUUAAAAGUUAGGACCUCCCACCUGAAGUUGGAUAGGGUCCUAAAGCAAACGGGCAGGUCGAUCUGCAUGAGGGGGUGAACUCUUCUAUCGAGAGUGAUGCCGUGAAAUGGCGCGACCCCAGCCUAGACCUGGGACCGGCCGAUCCCCAUAAGGUCCAAGGUUUCUGCAUAGAUGAUGUUGAGGAUGUUGCCUCCAUACAUGUGUACCUUGCUAAGUCUAGUGUUGCUGAUGAUUGGGGACAAGCGGGUACCUCCUAGGAUUUGGGACGUAGUCCGGGUGAUCGUCUCGGUCGAAGGUGAUGACGCGGUCAGACCAGUCUAGAUAGACAAGCGCCGCUAUCUCAAUGGAGACCUCACGUCGUUCCUACUUCCGCUGUCGUGUGGAGAGGUUCACCGUCUGUCCACCAAAGAUCAUGUAGAAGUUGUGGACGUCUGGGAACUCUUCACCUAGACGUCUUCGUUGUCACCGAAACCUUUGUUCUUGCCAUCAUCUGUAGAGGGGUCAGGCUUGUUGUAGAAACGUGAGAGCAUGUCACACUCCUCGAGGGUGUGCUUGAUGGGGCCCUUGUGAUAAGGGCAAGACUCCUUAAACAUCUAGUCGAAAACAUUAGGAUCCCCUUGAGAGCCUCGGGGGUUUCGUCGUUCUGCUGUGGCGACAAGAUCUACGUUAAGGGCCUCGUGCUGGCCCUGCAGUGACUUCUUUUUCUUGGGGUUGCAUUGGGAGGUCGCCUCGAGGGCGUCCUCCUUCCGCUUCGUGCUACCCUUGCCAUUAUGGAAUAUGGCGUCAACUGCUUCCUGCCCCGAAGCAAACUUGGUGGCGAUGUCCAUUAGUUCACUCGCUUUGGUGGGGGUCUUGCGACCUAGCUUGCUGACCAAAUCACGAUAGGAGGUGUCGGCAAGGAAUGCACUGAUGACGUCUAAGUCGGUGAUAUUGGGGAGCUCAAUGCGUUGUUUGGAAUAUUGACAGUUGUACUCCCGUAGGGUCUUCUCCUGCUUCUGCCGACAGCUCCGAAGGUCCCAAGAAUUCUUAAGGCUCACAUAUGUGCCCUAUAAAUUCCCCCCAAAAACCCUGACUAGGUUCUCCCAGUCAUGGAUUUGGGAAGGUGGGAGGUGCUCAAGCCAUGCUCCAGUAGAGUCAGACAGAAAGAGCAGUAGGAUGCGAAUGAUGAGGUUGUCAUCACUCGUCCUUGGGGCUGGAUAAUGAGCCAGCUCGGCUCGUUUUGGCUUGACUCGUUCUAGCUUGUUAGUGUAACGAGCUAGCUCAGCUCGACUCAUUAUAACAACGAGCUAAAAAUCCAGCUCGGCUUGGCUCGUUAGCCAGCUCCAGCUGGCUCGAUAAGCUCGUGAGCCAUACUAACAAAAAACACGAAUCCGUGAACAUACAAGUCUAGAAGUGUAUAAAACUCGGUCGGGGAGGGAAAGACCGCCCUCCCGGUAUUAAAUUAAGAAGAGACCAAAACAUGGUCCCGGCCGAGAAAAUCCCCGAACCCUGGCCCCCCAUCACUAGCGGGUCGUCACCGCCCAUUCUGCAACGGCCCAGCCGGAGGGUGGCGCGCAGGACGUAACCCAGGAGCGGGCGGGGCACAGCGAGGGGAUUUUUUUAACCAAGCCAGAAAUUCGCCCCCGAGGGGGAUCGAACCCAGGACCUGGAGGUGCUACUUGGAAGCCUUAACCAUUACGAUAGAGGCCCUUUUGCAAGUCUAGAAGUGUAUAAACAUGUACAAAACAAUAGCAUACAUUGUAAAAUAGAAAAAUAAUUAUUUAAACCACUUCCAUAGUUCAUAGUUUAAUAUUUCCAUUCCAUAUCUCCAUGUCUAAUCUAGGCAACAGUCCAUCAAUCCAAAAUAUUAAUAUGCAAUACAAGCAUGCAGCCACAUAUGGCAUGCCCACAUAUCGACUUACACAUCAAAUACAACACUCCAUCAUAGUCUAUGGACUUAAACACAUCAAUUUUCACUCUCUAGUUAAAAAAGGUCACCAAGAGAUAACUUUGAAGCUAGCACGAAAAUAGACACAAAGACAAAAUAUACAUGUCUCCACUCUAGGUAUCCAAUGGUACACUCUCUUAAACCUGUUAGGUAAGCACCAACAUCAAAUGAGGACCUCUUUAAUUGAAAUUCAAUAUACAGUUCUAUAAUAAACAAGUAAAAUGUUGAAUAUCUACUAGCUACUUGCCACCACACAUUGUUUCAAUGAUGAUUUGUUAGGGCUCGAGACUCGAGAGCAAGGAGGUCAAAGACUCGCAGUGCAGUUGCUACCGCCGACCGUAGAGUCACGGUCCGCAGACUUAUAGUUUUGCCGAGUGAAACUGAUUUGUCAAACUAGAUGUCUUAGGGUUUUUUCUUGGGCUUUCUAAGCUGUGUGGGCUAUUAGGUUGUUGACUUAGCUCAUCUAGCUCGCGAGCUGCUCACGAGCUAGCUUAAGCCAGCCCGUUAACGAACCGAGCUAAAACAUUGGCUCAACUUGUUACAAAAUAUAAACGAGCAAAGCCACUAACGAGUCGAGUCGAGCGAGUUAUCGAGCUUCGAGUUUUUUGUCCAUCCCUACUCGUCCCUCCAAGUUGACAGGCCAGACGAUAGUCAGCGAACCAUAGCUCUGGUUGGUUUCCCUUGAGUACUUGGUAAUAGUAGUCGGGGCUCGAAACCGGGAUGGGAACGACACCCUGCAGAUGGCUCGACUGAAGACUCGUGGACCUGGUGGCUCGGGCGAGGGGCUUCAAUCUUCCCCACUGUUGUAGCUACCACUCUGCUGAGGGUGGUAGCCAUGCACGGCAUGUCGUCGGUCGUUGUGGUGUAGCCGUCCGCCAAGGCGGUCGUGAAUACCACGGUUCUGGUGGUUGUGGAGGAGGUGGUUCCAUACCGUGGGGGAUUUCUCCUUUGUGGGCUCAGGAUGGACCUAGGCCUCCCUCUCUUGGCAAGAGGGCCCCGUUCGUUGUUUCGAGGCGGGCUCCCGAAACCUAGAGGCGGAGCUCUCGGCCUGCUGGACCACAGCACACUCCAGGAGUCCCCUGAUGUCAUAGUGGAUUCGGCGUUCCUUGGUGGUGGAUGCUCUGGCAUGGUUCAUAGCAAGAUGGCUACCGCAACAAGGUUCUGGCUGGCCCUAUGAAAGGCCAGAGGGGCUUCAACCUCGGCAUCUUCCAUGAUGCAACGAUGGACGUCGCGAGCCUUGGCGCGUGCUCCCUCGUCGGGGGCUCUACAUGCCACUUCCCGCUCGAGAACUUGCCGAAACUGUUGUAGCCAAUGUUGUUCUUCCUCGAGCUUAGCGUGCAGCUCACGGAGCUGUCCAAGGUGGGCUAUGUGACUCCCCGCAGGUGUCUAAGCCACACCCUGCUCCCUUGGCUCCCUUGAGUGCGGGGGCGGUGCCGGGACGUUGUCCUCUCGAGGCACGCCGAGAUGGUUCCCUUCGUCAUGCUCCUCAUGCCCCGCGUGAAAGCACUCCCGAGUUGGGUCGUAAUCCUCCCCGUCGGAGCUGUCGAAGAGGAGGUUGUGUGAAUCAUCUAGGCCCCUAAGUGGUGUUUUGGUAAUUAAUGACAACUGAUUGUGGACUAACAAUUCUUGGAGAAAUAAGAAUGCAGGACUGGACCACAGGAAACAGUAAAGUCUUUGGGACUUAUAACCAUUGAUUAUGGAUCAAGUGAAUGCAAAGGUAAAACAUAGGUUUUUUACUUUGCUGAUCACCAGGUGUUUAGAGAAGAAAUUGACCGGAUUAAUAGGAUAGGCAGUCGUACUAUUAAGAGGGGUCAAUGAACUUGAUUGGUGUAAAACUUAGUGCCUCGUAGAGCAUAAACGGUAGCAUUUGCAUGAGGGCUAACAACGCUUCAGGUUUCAAAAUAUAAAUUCUUUUGAACUAGCGCAAAAUCUUUUUUCUCUAUGGUCGGUGGACCGUCCGGGCCAGAAGGUCGGACCGCCCGUGACUCUGCCAGAGAAGUCUGCUGGCAGUCUGUCUCUGUCUCCCUUCGUGGACCGUUCGGGCCAGGAGGCCGGACCGUCCGCAUAAGCUGAACUGAGUUUGGGCAGGGACAAUGUGUUUUUGUGUCCUUACACUACAGACCAUCUGGGGUUUUUAGCCGGACGGCAACAGGUCCAUGUGUGGACCGUCCGGCCAUGAAUGGCGGACAGUUCGCACAAAUUACUUUGACUGACGAGCACUGUGUUAUUCCAUGUUGCCAGGUCCUAGACCGUCCAGCCCAGGAGGGCGGACUGUCCGCCCUUGACUUUUAUAACAGCUCGGGCAGGUUUCAAACGAUCAAUAUAGCCAUUACUAGUACGGCGGACCGUCUAGCCAUGGGGCGCGGACCGUCCGCAUGUGCGCAGAAGCUGUGCUAGUUGCCCAUAAUGGCUAUGUGUGUGUUGUGGCCUAUAAAUAGAAGUGGAGCUCGUGUGUGAGGGCUCUCUUGGCCACUCCUAGCACACAUUGAGCUCAUUUGUGAUCCUCCAACUCAAAUACUCACUCGUUGAUUGAGAUCGCAUUCUAGUGAGUGGUUCAGACGUUCUAGUGCAUACGCAUUCGUUGUGAUCUUUUGAGGCACUAGCUGGUACACCAGGCAAUCAUCAUUGACUUGUUGCUCUUGGAGGUUGCCGCCUCCUAGAUGGCUCGGGUGUUGUCUUUGUCGAGCUCUCCGUGAAGAUUGUUGAGGAGCCGCGGGAUUGAUUGUGAGGGGUUCGUGCCCACCUCGCUGGAGCGGCAAAGGCCACGCUAGUGAAAUCGCGGUAUUGAGUGAUUUCUUGUCCACUUGGCUCAAAGAUCAAGUUGUGUCUUAGUAGAGGAGCAAGUGAGAGCUUGAAUUCCACCUAAACAUGGAUUAGGGGUGAUCGGCAAAUCACCGAUACCAGAUAAAUUUUGGUGUCACUCUCUCAACUUUCAUACAUUACUUGCAAGUAGUUGGUAAUUUGUAUAUUGUCUAUCUUUUGUGGUAUUAGCUUAAAUUGCUCAUUAUAUUUUGUUGACUCAUCAAGUCUGGUAAUUUUAUAUCUCUUGUUGAUUUGAUUUAAUUUCUCUAGUGUAUUUUAUUUUAGUCAAAACCGUCUAUUCACCCCCCCCUCUAGCCGGUGUCCUAGAUCCUACAGGUUGCCGCAUGCGAACAUGAGCUAUAGCAUGGCCUCAGGGUCACGAAGCCUAGAGAAGUCUAGGCCAGGGUACAGACCAUGUUCCUCCUUGGAGUCAAGGCACCCCGAUGGGAAGGGAGAUUAGCAUAUAUGUUGGUUAAGGUGCUCGUGUUGAAGCUUGCUUGAAAGGGGAUGAGGUUGAACACCGAUGGUUCUCACCUAGCGAAUGAUGGAGCCAACACCUCAUGGCUUGCUGAAGUUGGUGCCUCCCGACCCACAGGUGGGGAAGCCGGCGAAGCUGACAUGACUCGACCCAUGGCACGGGGAGCGGUGGAGCCGAUGCUCCCCAUGCUAUAAGAGGAAGAGCGAGUGGAGUCGGUGCUGGGGCAACACGUGUUGACGACGAUGCUCCAGGCGUGAGGCUAACGCUUGUAGGUCACUCGCGAGGGAGUCUGUGUCGUCGGCUAGCCCGGGAGCGUUAACUAGGCGUGGGGCACUGCCCGUGAUGUGGUUGCGGUAAUCCUGUCUCCGUCUCCUAUGGCGAGGAGGAUGGGGGUGAAAGUCUGGCUGCUCCUGAGCGUCAACCAGAUGUCUAGGUGGGAGGAGCACCAUAUCGUACUCGAUGCCAAGCGAUAUGAACUCAAGUCUCCUGAACCAGAUCAUCGUGCCGUGUCAUAAAGGGUGCUAGAGUUUGGCCAUCUAGAGCCUUGAUGGGAACGUGGUGUCUGCACGGAGCGAGCCCCUGCCUAGCGCGCCAACUGUCGGUGUUUUGACCCGAUGAUCCCACCGACUAGUGAAUGAUUGUUGUGUGCCCUAGCUUAAAUGGGUGAUGCAAGAAGACACAAGUCUUCAUCCUGGUUCGAGCAAGAGAAGGCCCUACUUCCAGUAGAGGGGGGAUGAGACUUAUAUUUCUUGCACCUAAGUUCUUGUAGUAUGGAGUACAAGCUGGUCGGGAGAGGGAAGGAUCCCAAGUCUUUGGGGUUGAAUGAGGCAAGUGCCAAUAUCAUCGUGGAGGUAAAAACCAUGAAGUGUUUGUCCCCUGCCUGGAGCCCUGAAUGCCUCUAUUUAUUGCCUGAGGGUCUUCAGGAGCGUCAGGGUUUCUCGCGUAUGGAUAGAAGGUGUGGUCGAGACCUUAUAGCCGGCAUGGCCUUUGGUAUGGCCCUUGCUCUCGUUGUUGACUUAUGUCGGUAGGUGGAUGUCUGGUUCCUAUAUUUGCAUCUUUGACUAUGCAGAGAGCCAAGGCCAAGGCCGAGGGCUCAGUCACAUACUCGAGCCUGUUUGAUGGGGAAGCUGUCCAAGUCGUAGUGGUUGGAGCAAUGGCGGGUAUGGCAAAAAGGUCUUGGUGAUAUCUUAGCUCUGUUGCUUCUCGUGACGUCGGGUGUUCUUUCGUUGGUAUUAUCGAGGAUGAAGCCAUGCUUGGGUGAGGUGGAAGUCUUCUCGAGUGUAGGAAACGGGUGAAGCCUAAGAGGGGGGUGAAUUAGGACUUCUAAAACUUUUACUAAAUUAGGCCACUAAUAAAUCCCUAGAGCAAAACCUAUGCAAAUAAUCAAACUAGAAUGUGCAAACUAGGUUUUGUCUAUGUGUUGCUAUCUCUACCGCAAUGGAUAAGUUUCAAUCUACACAAUAUAAGUAUGAAUACAAGAUUGAAACUUAAAUGCUUAAUAUAAAUGUGGAAACUUAAAGAGCAAAGUAGAGAUGCAAACUCUCGUGGAUGAUGCCGGUAUUUUUACCGAGGUAUCCGGAACCGCAUAAGGUUUCGACUAAUCCUCGUUGGUGCCCCUACGCAAAGGGAAGCCCACGCGAGGGCCAAGCACCUCAGUCGAGUAACUCCGUAGAGAGCCACGGGCCUUCUCCACGCACAAGUGGUGCUCCGCUUCCGGCUCCUCUCGGAUGCUCCCCGCUGUCACACCCGGUUUUAGAAGGCAAACCGAAUGCGAACCAUGUACGUGCCAGGAUCAGUUAUUCACGUACACAGCAGUUACAUAAUAUGGACAUCAUCACACAGUGCUCAAAAUAGUAUUAAUAAGGGAAAUAGUCGAUUACAUCAUACGUCUGAGACGUCCAUAUAGUUCUUACAAUAAAUCAAAGUGCGGAAAAGAAACGUAGAUAACGCGGCCUUCACAGGCAGCCGACUGGGGGUUGCCGCUAACCCACACCUAGAACUCGUCGUAGUCUUGGAACUCCUGGAAGUCUCCUUCCACAGCUUCAUCUUCGCCUGAGCAGUGGUUGCAAUGCUGACAACCUGGGGGGGGUUUGGUGUGUAGAGCAAGGGUGAGUACACAUCAACAUACUCAGCAAGUAUCCUGUUUGGCUGUAGUGGACUAGCUUUAUGUGGGGAUAAGUCAAGCAGUUGCUUUUAGUUGGUCAGAUUAUUAUUUACUAGUAGAAAGCCAAGUUUUAGCAUUAACCCAAGUUAUUAACCCGAUGUACCCUUUCCAAACGGAAAGAAUACCACUUACCAGCACCAUAGUCAUAACCAAAACCAUCAAUCUCAUUGCCACCUGUACCACAAUGUCUCUGAUCAAGUACCACUAAUCACUGGAGCUCCCUUGGCCGCUCAUAACCGCGAGCACGACUGAUAUAUCAGUUUCAUAACACUCUGCAGAGGUUGUGCACUUUACCCACAAGCCGUGAUUCCCUCUUGCCUCGGGCCGAUCAAACCCUUAAACACUACCAAGGUGAAUAGGCAGGGUUUCACUACGUAGCCUUUACAAAGAUUCCCCGGGGCUGUAGCCACCCGUUAGGUUUCCUAAAUGCACCGCACUCCUCCCCAAGGGGCGAACCCAAACUUGGCAGAGCGAGCCGCAUACACCGAGCCCCAUUGACGGCACGACGGCUAAGUGAACUACACCCCGGAUCCUCUAAUUAUUCAGCUAAGGGCACCCCAUUCCACCCUCAUGGUUGCACUGUUUUCCCGGGCGGUCAUCCAUAGAACAGGUCCUUACGGAGAGGCACUCGAGAAACCGCUCGAGCCCCCUUGAAUACCACAAGUACAACAUCAUAAUAAGAGAAGGGAAAACAGCGUAUCAUAGAUAAUCUCAUCAUGUUCAUUGAUUAGAGUUGAGCAAUAGCAUAAAGCUAAACAGUAAUAAUCCAACCCAAAUAGGUAAACAAGGACAUGGAUAACAAAAGCUAGUCAAUCCUUAGGUAUAAAGGUGUAAUGCGGGAGGUGAAUUAAAUAAUGAAUAGGACAGAGAUAGGUCAAAGGACACUUGCCUCCACCAACCGACUGCUGCUCAGGGGCUUCUCCUGUGAAUUCCUCGGGCUCUUCGACCGGAUCGUUCUCUAUGCGAGCGCAAACAUACAUACAUCCACAUAUUUAAUACAAAAGAACAGUACACCAUACAAGGAAACAAAUAAAGCGAAUAUGCAUCAAGUAUGACAUUUGACAUUGCAUUUGUUAUGGUUAGAAAGAAACGGGAAAGGGUUUCGCAGGGGGUUAAAUCUUAUGCACUAACGAUCAAUUACAAUUGGUUCUUAACAAAAGAAUUCCGUUAUAUGCACUAGUGAGAACCUAAUCAUUUUAAGUUGUUCAACAUCGCACGAGAUAAACAAUUAACUACAUAAAUCAAUUAGCAUAACGGAAUUUUAAAUUAAGCUUCAUAUUUCAAUAACAUUAACAAUGAUUAGCCUACCUAAAAUAAAAUAGCUAUGAUCACAGAAAGUAAAUAAAAUAAAAUAAAAAAAAAUAAAAAACAGAGGGGGGGGCGGUUGAACCGGCCCUAGGCAGGGCGGCCGAGCUGGGCGGCCGGGCCGGGGCGGCUGAGCCGGCCGAGCGGCCAGGGGGGCGCGCGACCAGGGCGGCCAGGCGGGCGGCCGAGGGCGGCCAGCGGGGGGGGUCGGGGUGGCCGGGGGCGCGGCCAAGGCCGGCCGGGGCCAGGGGCCAGGCGGGCGCGCCAGGGCGCGGCCGGGCGGGCGGCCGAGGGCGGCCAGCGGGCGGCCAGGGCGAGCCGGCCAUGGCGGCGGCCAUGGCGCCGAGCGGCGAGGGGAAAGGGGAGGGGGGAUGGGGGGAGGGAGGAGAGGGGGAGGGGCCUCACCGGCGAUGGGGACGGGGACGGGGCGGGGCGGCCGAGCGGGGCGGCCGAUCGGCGACGGGGCAGGGGGCGGCGGCGGCUUAGGGCAGGGGUAGGGGCGGCGCUAGGGAGAGAAUGAGAGAAAAUGAGAGGGAGAGGGAGAGGGAGAGGGUUUGGGAAAAAAAGGGGAGGUGGGGGGCGGCAUGGGCCAAUUGGGCCCAAGGGGGGGCGCCAGGGGCGGCUGGGCCGGCCGGGGUCGGCCCACGGCGCGGGAGAGAGAGAAAAAGAGGAGAGAGAAAGAGAGAGAAAAAGAAAGAAAAGAUCUUCUCCUUAUUUUCGAAAUCCGAUCUUCCUACAUGAAUGCAUUUGCACUUUCAAAGCAAUCAAAAGAAAUGCAAGGUUCGGCAUGGUGCAUCAAACAACAUAAAGUAUUUAGGGUUUUUCUUACACGGGAAAUCCAAACCGAAUCCCGCUAGAACUUUGGAAAAGGUCAAGGUUUAGCGAAGGGAAAAAGAAAAAGAAAAGGUAACGCCCGAAUUUUGGCGAGUAAAGAAAAGAAAAAAAAUUCAACUGCAAAAAAUUCGGGCCGUUACACCCGCCGUCUCCACUAUCGAGCUUCCGGCCGAAACGCCGCGGGCCUCGUUCCCUCCGGUACACAGUGGCGGUCGUGACACAAACGCGGUUGUCAUAGUCUCGCAAGACUCUCGCCCCACUCGGUACACCAAUGACGACUCAUGAAAGAGCCGAGGGGUUGUGUUGUUUUACAAAACUCACUCAACUAAUUAAGGUUCACCUAGAUCAAGCGCUAGAGCAGUCUAACUAACCUAAGCACUUCGCAAAGCACCUACGCUAAUCACCGAGUGAUUCUAUUAAGCACUUGGGUGUAAGAGCACUUGGGAAUGUCUACUAUAUGCCUUGGUAUGUCUCUUGGGCUCCCACACUUGGAAAUGGCUGGUUGGGGUGUAUUUAUAGCCCCCAACACAAAUCUAGUCGUUGGAGGAAAGCUGCUGCUUUCUCGGUCACACCGGACAGUCCGAUGGUGCACCGGACAGCACACUGUUCCUUGUCCGGUGCGCCUAGCCGUUACCCUGUCAGAGCAGGUGACCGUUGGCGCCACAGGCUUUCACACUGGACAGUCUGAACUUCACACCAGACAGUCUGGUGGUCUUCCCUCUGAGUGCCACUUGGAACUAGACGUUGGGGAUGAGGUUCCUGGUGCACCGGACAGUCCGGCAUGUGGGCACCGGACAGUCCGCAGGCAACACACAUCUUCAUUCUUGGACUUUUCUUGGAUCUUCUUAAUGUCUUCUUUUGAGGUGUUGCUUUCCUCAAUUCCUUGGUCCAAGUAAUUUUAGCAUCCUGUGAACUACAAACACAAACAUUAGAAAAUUCAUUAGUUCACGGAUUGUGUUAAUCAUCAAACACCAAAACUCAUUAAGCCAAAUGGCCCGGGGUCCAUUUUCCUUACAAUCUCCCCCUUUUUGGUGAUUGAUGACAACACGACCAAAACAAGCAAAUAAUACAAGUAUUUGAAUGAAAAUAUGCAAUCUACUUGCUAGGAUGCAUGUUUGUCCCCACAAUGUGAUAUUAUGGACUUAAGCCUCCCCCUAACUCCAUAAUUCACUUACUUCCUAUUUUGGACCAAAUAACCAAAACCACUUGAAAAGCCACUUGCAGAUUUUAAAAUUUUAAAUUGAUGGUGUUUAGUGUUUGAUACAUUUUUCAUUGCUUUGGUUAAAUUGGUGGUGUUUGGUGUUUGAUACAUUUUUCAUUGCUUUCGUCCCUAAACUUCUCCCCCUUUGGCAUCAACCACCGAAAAGGAAGACAUUAAUAGUAUGUAGGAAGUAAAUAAGACUUGCCCUCAUAAGGAAUUGAAACACUUGGAGGUUAGCAUCAAAUGAUAACUCCCCCUAAAUGAGUGUUCUCUUUAGAAAGAAAUUUCUUCCCUUUUUAGAGAUGAAGAAAUACUCCCCCUGACAGAGAUCUUCUACUUAGGAAAAAGCAUGUAAAAAUUAGAGGUGCAAGACAUGAUUUGAAUAGACUAACUUCCCUUAUGCAUAGGUAACAGAAUAUGAGUUAACCACAUAUGCAUUUUUUAGCAACAUGGAAGUAUAUGAUAUGAAAAAUCAAAUAUUGGAGGAGACAUGUAAAUGAUACUAAAUAUAGUCUCAAAAGAUAUCGAUUGAAAGUCAAUGGCGGACCAAAUGAAAAUCAAUGGCAGGCUUGUGAGACAUGAGAGUUCUUGGAGAUUUUGCAGUGGAAGAUUGUCGUCUUUCUCCGGGGACUUCAUUUUCCUUACAAUGAGACUAUCACAAGAAAUAGACUUGAAAGAGGUGUUAGUCUCAAAGUCUUAGAUUAUAGAGUAACCUCCCCUUGAAAGUGUGCAUACAAGUUUUGAAUACUUGUAGGAGACAUGCACUUUGAUUUGAUAUCAAGAGGGACGAUUUAUCUAUAAUCCGAACUUUGGCACAUAUAAAAUUAAAUGAUACAAAUUGUAGAAUAUGAGUGUUUUACCACUUGUAGUAUUUAAAAACAUCAAUUGAUGUAUCAUUUACUAUGGAGUGAUAUAGAAGCUAUGUGCCGUGCUUAAAUAAACAUUUUAAACCAUGUAGGUUUGCUUAAGGGUAUGAAUUGAAAGCAAGCAAUCCUACCAUGUGAUUUACCUAGUAUGCAUGCAUUUAAGCAAAAGUAAGUACAAAUUGUAAUACUAGGCAUGAAAGGUAAAAUAGAUAUAAAUAGAUAUACAUAUCUAAUAACAAGAAAUACAAUAAAUCUAGUUACCUUAGUCAUGGGUGGGAAAUUUGGGUCCAAACUUUUUCAUUAACUUACUUGGCAAUAACUUGAUCCAAUAUGAUGUAUCCCAUGAUAUACAUCCCCACUUUGCCAAGUCUCGAAAUUUCCCGUUGACCUUCGGUCCACUCACUUCCCUUUCGGCAUCCAAACCUUCUUGGUGCUUUUCUUGGUUGAAAUUAUUUCCUUUGGCACCCAGAUGCAUUUGGCCCCCUUUCCUUUGUUGGCUUGCUUGUUGCCCUUAAUUGCUAUCAACUUUCCAUUCUUUUUCUUUUUGAUCAGAUAUGAUGUAGCAGUCUUUUUAUCCACCUUUUGAUGUAGGUGUUGGAGAUUUUGCUUGAUGGCUUUUGCUUGAGCUUUUGCUUUUGCUUAUCCCCGGUCAUCGCCUUGCAUUGGAAAGACUUAUGGCCUUUCUUGUGACAUAACCUACAAAUCACAGUUUCACCCUCCAUAGGCUUGUUCACUCCCGCAGUGGUGUUAUCCUGUGGAGGUUGGAUUUUUUUGGCUUUGCCUUUCUUGUUAUACAAGGCUUUUCCAAGGCGAGCCACUUCUUGCUUUAAUUGCUCAUUUUCCUUUGCAAUCUUGUCAGAACAGGUUUCUAUAAUAACAUUCUUAAUAAGAACUUGAUUACAGGGGUUAGAAUCAUCAAUUAAAUCAAAGCAGGAAGUAGAAGCAUCUUUCUUAAUAAUUUCAGGUAUUCCGAUCAAAGAUACUUCUGGGGUGCUACCAAUGUUUUCUAGCUUAGUAGUUUGCUCAUUGUUGUGUAUGCUAAGAAUUUCCAUUUUCCCUAGCAAAUUUUCAAUAGCUUCUUGAGAGCUAGCUAACUUAGCCAUAAGUUUUUCAUUCUUUUUAAUAAGGCCAUCAUCGGUAGCAGUGGAUGGAGCACUAGACUCUAAUAGCUCAAUUUUAGUUGAUAGCUCACUAUUUAAGUUUGCAAAAGUUUCAAAUUUUUCUAGCAAACCUUUAUAAUCAUUUUGGGAGCUAAUCAACUUAUUUUUCAAAGUUUUAAGUUGAGUUUUUUGCCUAGUGCAAACAUCCUGAAAAAAUUUAACGGCUUUCGCAAGCUCAUCUACGAAGAGGGCUUUCCCUCACCUUCAUCAUCACUACUACUUUCAUCACUAGAGGAUGGAAUGCUUUUGUUACCUCUUGCCAUAAGGCAUUUGUGUGAUGACCGUGAUGGGCAUGAUGAGGACUGGUGGCUGCGCGUCCUUAGAGGUUCAUCUUCACUUGAAGAACCAUCCCAUGUUCUGACACUUGUUAGCGCCUUGCCUUUGCUUCUCUCCUUUUUGGGUUCGGCCAUAGUUGGACAGUUGUCCCUAAAGUGGCCCUUCUCCCCGCAUGCGAAGCACCCUCUCUUUCUUUGCUUUUUCCUGUCAAUGUUAAAGAGAAGAUCUUCGACCUGCAGGGGCACACCCAUUAGAUUAAUCUUGCGGAUCAUCCCCAUUACCUUUCCGACACGUCGGAUUGUUUCUUCAUCCUCGGAGGAUGAUGUGCACGGUUGAUUAUCUUCAUUAUCAUCACUUUCUUCUUCCUCCUCUUCUUCACUCGAGGAACUUGGAGUGGGAUCCUUCUUUUUACCCUUCCUUUCAUCACAUGCAAAAGCAUAUGGCCUUGAGGAAGUUGGCUCCUCGCCCCGACACAUUUUUCGUGACAUCUCAAAAGCCGCGAUUUUCCCAAUCACAAUGGUCGGGGUCAUGGUACUCAAGUCCUCCAUGUUGUGAAGGAUGGUGAUGAUGCUCCCAUAUCUUCGUUGUGGUAGAAGGGAGAUAAUCUUCCUUACAAUGUCUGCAUCACCUAGCUUAUUUAUGCCAAUAGAGUUGAGCUCAUUGAUAAUUAGAUUUAAACGAGAAUACAUGUCUCUAACAAGCUCAUCAUCUCUCAUAGCAAAAGAAUUAUACUCAUUUAAGACUAGGCAAUAUUUUUGCUCACGGACAUUUGAUGUGCCGUCAUGGAGCUCAUGCAAUUUUAGUCAAAUCUCAUUAGCAAUUUUCAAGGUAAAUACUUGAUUAAAGAUAUCCAUGCUAAGAGAUUCAUACAAGCAAUUUUUGGCUCUAGCAUUUAAAUGAAUUUCUUUUUCCUCACUCGUGGUGGGUUUCACGGGAUUCUUGGGGGGUUUCAUCCCGUCACGAGUGACUCGCCAAACACCUAGAUCAACAGCCUCUAGGUAACAAGACAUUCUAGCACUAUAAUAUGGGAAGUUAGUGCCAUCGAAGUGUGGUGGCCUAUGGGUAUCCAUCCCUUCCUCUAAAAAGUGUCGGCUCUUUUAGCGAUGAAGCUAAAAUGUUUCAAAUGAGCCAAACCAGGCUCUGAUACCACUUGUAGUAAACGGGUGAUACCUAAGAGGGGGUGAAUUAGGACUUCUAAAACUUCUACUAAACUAGGCCACUAAUAAAUCCCUAGAGCAAAACAUAUGCAAAUAAUCAAACUAGAAUGUGCAAACUAGGUUUUAUCUUUGUGUUGUUAUCUCUACCGCAAUGGCUAAGUUUCAAUCUACACAAUAUAAGUAUGAAUACAAGAUUGAAACUUAAAUGCUUAAUAUAAAUUCGGAAACUUAAAGAGCAAAGUAGAGAUGCAAACUCUGGUGGAUGACGCCGGUAUUUUUACCGAGGUAUCCGAAACCGCGUAAGGUCCCGACUAAUCCUCGUUGGUGCCCCUAUGCAAAGGGAAGCCCACGCGAGGGCCAAGCACCUCGAUCGAGUAACUCCGUAGAGAGCCACGGGCCUUCUCCAUGCGCAAGUGGUGCUCAGCUUCUGGCUCCUCUCGGAUGCUCCCCGCCGUCACCACUAUCGAGCUUCUGGCCGAAACGCCGCGGGCCUUGUUCCCUCCGGUACACGGUGGCGGCCGUGACACAAACAUGGUUGUCACGGUCUCGCAAGACUCCCGCCCCACUCGGUACACUAAUGACGACUCACGCAAGAGCCGAGGGGUUGUGUGGUUUUACAAAACUCGCUCAACUAACUAGGGUUCACCUAGAGCAAGCGCUAGAGCGGUCUAACUAACCUAAGCACUUCACAAAGCACCUACGCUAAUCACCGAGUGAUUCUAUUAAGCACUUGGGUGUAAGAGCACUUGGGAAUGUCUAAUAUAUGCCUUGGUAUGUCUCUUGGGCUCCCACACUUGGAAAUGGCUGGUUGGGGCGUAUUUAUAGCCCCCAACACAAAUCUAGCUGUUGGAGGAAAGCUGCUACUUUCUGCGGUCACACCAGACAGACCGGUGGUGCACCGGACAGCGCACUGUUCCUUGUUCGGUGCGCCUAGCCGUUACCCUGUCAGAGCAGGUGAUCGUUGGCGCCGCAGGAUUUCACACCGGACAGUCCGGACUUCACAUCGGACAGUUCGGUGGUCUUCCCUCUGAGUGCCACCUAGAACUAGACGUUGGGGCUGAGGUUCCUGGUGCACUAGACACUCCGGCGUGUGGGCACCGGACAGUCCGGUGCUCCUCACACAGACGAUCCGCAUGCAACACACAUCUUCAUUCUUGGACUUUUCUUGGAUCUUCUUAAUGUCUUCUUUUGAGGUGUUGCUUUCCUCAAUUCCUUGGUCCAAGUAAUUUUAGCAUCCUGUGAACUACAAACACAAACACUAGGAAAUUCAUUAGUUCACGGAUUGUGUUAAUCAUCAAACACCAAAACUCAUUAAGCCAAAUGGCCCGGGGUCCAUUUUCCUUACACCGAGGUCGUGGUCGAGCCUACUCUGGGGCUCACAACCGUGCAGGACACAUUUAAAGGAGUGGCCUUCUAUGGGAUUCGUGGGGGGGCACGUAGCCGAGGCUGAGGCCGGCCUCGGGCGAGGCGUAGUGUCCUCCCGAGGACUAAACCACGCUUUGUUGUACACGCGUCCAAUCCUGGGUUGGCAGACGACGUGGGUGAACAGUAGUCAUUAUUCCCAGGCAUGUGUCAUCGUAGUUGGUGAAAGUGGACAUGACUGUGGUCCUGUUGCUCCUGUUUGUCUGUGAUGUCGCGUGGGAUAGGUAUGCACAUUGAAUUCUCAUGUCCCCUGUAGCCUUUGGCUGAGGCCUGACUCGGGGUUGUCUUCCUUACUCAAGAUGUGCUAGGGCGAGGCAGAAACGGUGGUUCCGUGGAGAGGGGACCUCGGGCUGGACGAGGAUUUCUCCGAGUAUGUCCCUCGUCCGAGGGUAGGCUCGGACGAGGCGGAGUUUUGAGUGGCCGCCGAGUGGAUCCUCGGGCAAAUUGUGGUUCACACUUUCUUGACCUCGAGGGAUGUGUCUGAUGGUAGCCUUAGGGUUAAGCGCAUUUUAGGGGCGUAAUCCAGGUACCCCUAAUUACGAUACCUGACACUAUGUAUACUACGUUAUUUUCAAAUAUUGUUGCUUCCAUAUCUAUUUUUAUAUUAAUUAAAGCAUGGUUUCUCCCUAUUUUCUUAGAUGUGGUUGCCUGCUUGCAUUUCACGAUUCAACUUAAAUGUUAUGUCGCAAGCCUCCUGUUUUGCUCUUUUUGUUGACACAUAUAUAUGGAAUUUGGAAAAACACAUGUCCUAUGUUGUGCUUCCUUGUAUUCUCUGGAACAAUGUAAUAGAUCACUAUGACUUUUCUGUAACAACUUUUUAUGAAACAUAUUUUUUGUAAUAUCUAUAUCUUACAACAAACUGUCGCAUGAAUUUAGUAUUUUUCUGUUGACUUUAUAUGGCAAAGUAUGGGCACACACGUAUAUACUUUUAAGGUAUGUAAACCACUUUAACAUUCAAAAUAUGCCAACAAGAACAUAGAAUGACAAAUAUUAUUUCUGUAUCUCAUUGUAUCUUAAUAUAACAUAUUGACUCUAUAACAACGCACGAGUAUAUAACUAGUAUAUAUGGAAGAAGUUUUAGUGUCUUUUAGUGUUUUGCACAAACAUUUUUAGCUUUUUAACAGUUUACAACCCACAAUAGUUUUUUCAUAGUUCACAACAUACAACAACUUUUUUUCGUAGCUACAACCAACCAAACAGACUCCUAGAUCUCGUGACAGUUAGAUUAUCUAGAAAUCCAUAUUUUUCAGAAAAGUUUUUUAGAAAAAACAGUACCAAACGGGUUCAAACGUAGUCAGAGAAAAACCAUAAGAAGUGAAGGAUUUGGGCGCAUAAAGGAAAAAGUCUACAUAACACCUCGACCUUUAGAGGACACUCUACUUCACCCCUUGCCUAAAAAUCGUUUGUUUAACCCAUUCAUCUUUACAAAACCACACAAAUAAACUCCUAAGCAGUUUUAGUUGGCGAUUUUGAUGAUGUGACAUUGAUUUAAGUGACACCGUUUUGUCAUAUAGUAAUAUCCAAAAUUAUAUAAUUUUACAAAAAUCAAUAAUUAUAUAUUAUAUUUGCCCUAGUUUUCCUGUAAUUUUAAGAGUAGCAGCUUAAAAAUAAAAAUCUAUACAAAAGCUUAGUAUUUUUGUACAUGAUUCAUUUCUUAUAUUCUGUGAAUAGUGAAAGAGAAAUAGGGUUUAACCUUUUCCCAUAAAUAAUUUUGGUGGUUGAAUGCCCAACACAAAUAAUUGGACUAACUAGUUUGCUCUAGAUUAUAUAUUCCACAGGUGCAUAAAGGUUCAACACAAACCAAUAAAAGAUCAAAGUUAGGGUUCAAAAAGAAAGGAGCAAAGAAACCAAAGGUGCCCUGGUCUGGCGCACCGGACUGUCCGGUGUGCCACCGGACAGUGUCCGGUGCACCAGUACCGUACAACUCCAAACUCGCCACCUUCUGGUUUCUCAGGCCGUGCUCCGCUAUAAUUCACCGGACUGUCCGGUGUGCCACCGGACUAUCCGGUGCACCAGCGGAGCAACGACUACCAGCGCAACGGUCCACUGCAACGGACAUCUGCGAACGCUACAGUGCACGGACAGUGCGCGCAGAAGUCAGAGCAGCCGUCAGAGGCGCACUGGACUGUCUGGUGCCACUAGAAGACAAAGACUCCAAUGGUCGGCUGCACCCAAACCCUAACAGUUGGGUGACGUGGAUGCCGCACUGGACAGCGUCCGGUGGCGCACCAGACUGUCCGGUGCGCCCAUCUACAGCAACCCCUCCCCAACGAUUGUUUGGUGGUUGAGGGCUAUAAAUACCCCCAACCACCUCCACUCCAACCAUCCAAGCAUUCCACACAUUGCAUUCAAUACAAGAGCAAUAGACUUCACUCUAAGACACAAAUCAAGCGAUCGAUCCACUCAAAGUCCUAAAUUCAACUCUAGCGCAUUAGGGCUUGUGAGAGGAUCACUUGUGUUUCUUGUUGCUCUUGUUUGCUUGGAUGGCUUUCUUUUCUUUUCCUUGUUACUCUCAAGUGCUUUGUAAGCAAGGCAAGAGACACCAGUUGUGUGGUGGUCCUUGCGGGGUCUAAGUGACCCGUGAGAAAAGAAGAAAGCUCACUCGGUCUAAGUGACCAUUUGAGAGAGGGAAAGGGUUGAAAGAGACCCGGUCUUUGUGACCACCACAAUGGGGACUAGGUUCUUUAGAACCGAACCUCGGUAAAACAAAUAACUGUGUCCAUUCGCUUUAUCUCUUGGUUGACUUAUUUCCCCCCUCUCUCCCGGACUUGACAUUUGCUCUAAUGCUAACCCCGGCUUGUAGUGUGUUUAAAGUUAUAAAUUUCAGAUUCCGCCUAUCCACCCCCCUCUAGGCAACUUUCAAUUGGUAUCAAAGCCCGUUACUUCAUUUAGAGUCUAACCACUCGAAGUGAUGUCAGGAGGAUCCGCCGAGAGGGAGAUAGAAACCGGUGAUAAGGCCACAAGCCACGGGAAGGCUCCAUCAAGGGAGCCCGGUGCCAAAGGAAGGGAGGAAUCACCUCCUCACGUCAAGUCGCAUCUGAGUGGCGACAAGAAGAAGAAGAUGAAAAAAGUGGUCUACUAUGAGACCGAUUCUUCGUCGCCCUCCACAUCCGGCUCCGACGCCGCGUACGUCACUUCUAAGCGCCAAGAGCGCAAGAAGUUUAGUAAGAUCCCACAUACGCUAUCCCCGCAUUUCUAAACGCGCUCCUUUACUUUCCGUUCCAUUAGGCAAACCACCAUAUUUUGAUGGUGAAGAUUAAUGUAUGUGGAGUGAUAAAAUGAGGCAUCAUCUUACCUCACUCCACGCAAGUAUUUGGGACAUUGUUGAGUUUGGAGCAUGGGUACCUAAUGUGGGGGACGAAGAUUAUGAUUCAGACGAGGUCACCCAAAUCCGGCACUUUAACUCCCAAGCAACUACUAUACUCCUCGCCUCUCUAUGUCGAGAGGAGUAUAAUAAAGUACAAGGGUUAAAGAGCGCCAAAGAGAUUUGGGAUAUCCUAAAGACUGCACACGAAGGAGAUGAGGUGACCAAGAUCACCAAGCGGGAAACGACCGAGGGGGAGCUCGAUCGAUUCGUCCUUCACCAAGGAGAGGAGCCACAAGCAAUGUACAACCGGCUCAAGACCUUGGUCAACCAAGUGCACAACCUCGGGAGCAUAAAAUGGGAUAACCAUGAAAUGGUCAAGGUUAUUCUUAGAUCCCUCGUAUUUCAUAAUCCUACUCAAGUUCAAUUAAUACGUGGUGGUCCUAGAUAUAAGCUAAUGUCUCCUGAGAAGGUAAUUGGGAAGUUUGUGAGCUUUGAGUUGAUGAUCAAAGGCUUCAAACACAUCGUCGACUUGAAGCAAGGCGGCACCUCCACACCCGAGGUGCAACCCGUCGCAUUCAAAGCGAUGGAAGAGAAGAAAGAAGAGUCUACAUCAAGUAGACUCCCCAUCGAUGCCUCCAAGCUCGACAAUGAGGAGAUGGCGCUCAUCAUCAAGAGCUUUCGCCAGAUCCUCAAGCAAAGGAGGAAGAGGGACUACAAACCCCGCUCCAAGAGGGUGUGCUACAAAUGUGGUAAGCCCGGUCAUUUUAUCGCUAAAUGCCCUAUGUCUAGUGAUAGUGACAGGGACAACGACAAGAGGGGGGAAAAGAAGGAGAAGAAGAGGUACUACAAGAAGAAGGGCGGUGAUGCCCAUGUAUGUCGGGAAUGAGACUCCAACGAGAGCUCCACCGACUCCUCCUCCGACGAGGAUGCCGCCAACAUCGCCGUCAACAAGGGCCUCCUCUUCCCCAACGUCGGCCACAAAUGCUUCAUGGCAAAGGACGGCAAAAAGAAAAAGGUACAAACUAGAACCGCCCCCAAGUAUACUACAUCUAGUGAUGAGGGUAGUUCUAGUGAUGAUGAUGAUGAUUUGCUUACACUUUUUGCCAACCUUAACAUGCAACAAAAGGAAAAAUUAAAUGAAUUAAUAGGAGCUAUUCAUGAUUUUGGAUAGCCAAGAGGAAUUCCUUAUUAAGGAAAACAAAAAGCAUGUUAAAGUGAAAAAUACUUAUGCUCAGGAAGUAGAAAAGAAUGAAAACUUGACUAAAGAGCUUAGCAUUUGCCAUGACUCAAUUACCAAUCUUAUAAACGAAAAUGCUAGUUUAAUUGCUAAGAUUGAUAAAUUGAAUGAAUCCAUUUCUAGCCUUAGGACUGAAAAUGAUAGCUUAAUUUCCAAGGCUAAGGAUUUAAAUGUUUGCAAUGAUUCUAUUUCCUGUCUUAGAGAUGAGAAUGCAAUAUUACAUGCUAAGAUAGAUGAAUUAAAUGCUUGCAAACCCUCUACAUCUAGUGUUGAUCAUGUUACUAUUUGUACUAGAUGUAGAGAUGUCAAUAUUGAUGCUAUUCAUGGUCACCUUGCUUUAAUUAAACAACAAAAUGAUCAUAUAGCUCAAUUAACUACUAAAAUCAAUGAGCAUGAGAUAGAAAAUAAAAAAAUUAAAUUUGCUAGAAGCAUGCUCUAUAGUGGGAGACGCCCUGGCAUUAAAGAUGGCAUUGGUUUCCAACAUGGAAGCAAUGUCAAGCUUAAUGCCCCUAAAAGAUUGUCAAAUUUUGUUAAAAGCAAGGCUCCCAUGGUUCAGGAUAACGAGGGCUAUAUUUUAUAUCCUACUGGUUAUCCCGAACACAAAAUUAGGAGAAUUCAUGCUAAGAAAUCUCAUUUUGUUUCUCACCAUGCUUUUAUGUAUAAGAAUGAGGCAUCUAGCUCUAGGCAUUCUACACAUGUUAAAAUGCCUAAAAGGAAAACUCAUACUGCAUCAAAUGAACCUAACAUUUCAUUUAAGACUUUUGAUGCUUCUUAUGUGCUUACUAACAAAUCAGGCAAAGUAGUUGCCAAAUAUAUUGGGGGCAAACACAAGGGCUCCAAGACUUGUGUUUGGGUACCCAAGGUGCUUGUUUCUAAUGUGAAAGGACCCAAGACCAUUUGGGUACCUAAAAACAAGGCCUAAAUUAUUUUGCAGGUUUAUGCAUCCGGGGGCUCAAGUUGGAUUAUUGAUAGCGGAUGCACGAACCACAUGACAGGGGAGAAAAGAAUGUUCUCCUCCUACGAGAAAAAUGAAGAUCCCCAAAGAGCUAUCACAUUCGGGGAUGGAAAUCAAGGUUUGAUCAAAGGACUUGGUAAAAUUGCUAUAUCAGCUGACCAUUCUAUUUCCAAUGUUUUUCUUGUAGAUUCUUUAGAUUAUAACUUGCUUUCAGUUUCUCAAUUAUGUAAAAUGGGCUAAAACUGUCUUUUUACGGAUUUAGGUGUUACUGUCUUUAGAAGAAGUGGUGAUUCAAUAGCAUUUAUGGGAGUGUUAGAGGGUCAGCUAUAUUUAGUUGAUUUUAAUGAAAAUACAGCUGAACUCAACACUUGUUUAAUUGCUAAGACUAAUAUGGGUUGGCUCUGGCAUCGCCUACUAGCCCAUGUUGGAAUGAAGAAUCUUCACAAACUUCUAAAGGGAGAACACAUUUUGGGACUAACCAAUUGUCAUUUUGAGAAAGACAGGGUUUGUAGCGCAUGUCAAGCAUGAAAGCAAGUUGGCUCCCACCAUCCACACAAGAACAUAAUGACAACGGACAGGCCACUGGAGUUACUCCACAUGGAUCUAUUCGGCCCGAUAGCUUAUAUAAGCAUCGGCGGGAGUAAGUACUGUAUAGUAAUUGUGGAUGAUUAUUCUCGCUUCACUUGGGUAUUCUUUUUGCAGGAAAAAUCACAAACCCAAGAGAAUUUAAAGGGAUUCUUGAGAUAGGCUCAAAAUGAGUUCAGAUUGAGAAUCAAGAAGAUAAGAAGCGAUAAUGGGACGGAGUUCAAGAACUCUCAAAUUGAAGGCUUUCUUGAGGAUGAGGGCAUCAAGCAUGAGUUAUCUUCUCCCUACACACCUCAACAAAAUGGUGUAGUGGAGAGGAAGAAUAGAACUCUAUUGGACAUGGCGAGGACCAUGCUUGAUGAGUACAAGACUCCGGACCGGUUUUGGGCUGAGGCGAUUAACACCGCCUGCUACUGCAUCAACCGGUUCUACCUUCACCGAAUCCUCAAGAAGACAUCAUACGAACUCCUCACCGGUAAAAAGCCCAGUGUUUCAUAUUUUAGUCUUUGGUAGCAAAUGCUUUAUUCUUGUUAAAAGAGGAAGAAAAUCUAAAUUUGCUCCUAAGGCUGUAGAAGGGUCUUUACUUGGUUAUGACUCAAACACAAGGGCAUAUAGAGUCUUCAACAAAUCCACUGGAUUAGUUGAGGUUUCUUGUGACAUUGUGUUUGAUGAGACUAAUGGCUCCCAAGUGGAGCAAGUUGAUCUUGAUGAGCUAGAUGAUGAAGAGGCUCAAUGCGUCGCUCUAAGGAACAUGUCCAUUGGGGAUGUGUGUCCUAAGGAAUCCGAAGAGCCCACUCAAGCACAAGAUCAACCAUCAUCUUCCAAUCACGCAUACCCUCCAACUCAAGAUGAGGAUCAAGCUCAAAAUGAUGAAGAUGAAGAUCAAGAAGAUGGGCCACCUCAAGAGGAGGACAAUGAUCAAGGGGGAGAUGAAGUUGAUCAAGACAAUGAAGAUGAUCAAGAGAUUCAGGAUCAAAGACCGCCACACCCAAGAGUCCACCAAGCGAUUCAAAGAGUUCACCCCAUCAACUCCAUUCUUGGUGAUAUUCAUAAGGGGGUAACAACUCGAUCUCGAAUCGCUCAUUUUUGUGAACAUUACUCUUUUGUGUCCUCUAUUGAGCCAUACAGGGUGGAGGAUGCACUAAGAGACUCGGAUUAGGUGUUGGCAAUGCAAGAGGAGCUCAACAACUUCACGAGGAAUGAGGUAUGUCAUUUAGUUCCACGUCCUAACCAAAAUGUUGUACGAACCAAGUGGGUAUUCCGCAACAAACAAGAUGAGCAUGGUGUGGUGACAAGGAACAAAGCCCAACUUGUGGCUAAGGGAUAUUCACAAGUCGAAGGUUUGGACUUUGGUGAAACUUAUGCACCCGUAGCUAGGCUUGAGUCAAUUUGCAUAUUACUAGCCGAUGCUACUUACCAUGGCUUUAAGCUCUAUCAAAUGGACGUGAAAAGUGCCUUCCUCAAUGGACCAAUCAAGGAAGAGGUCUAUGUUGAGCAAUCUCCCGGCUUUAAAGAUAGUGAGUAUCCUAACCAUGUUUACAAACUCUCAAAGGCGCUUUAUGGGCUCAAGCAAGCCCCAAGAGCAUGGUAUGAAUGCCUGCGAGAUUUUCUUAUCACUAAUGGCUUCAAAGUCGGUAAAGCUGAUCCUACUCUCUUUACUAAAACCAUUGCAAAAGAUUUGUUUGUAUGCCAAAUUUAUGUAGAUGAUAUCAUAUUUGGGUCUACUAACAAAUCCACUUGUGAAGAGUUUAGUAGGAUCAUGAUUAAAAAAAAUCGAGAUGUCUAUGAUGGGGGAGUUGAAGUAUUUCCUAGGAUUUCAAGUCAAGCAACUCCAAGUGGGCACCUUCAUCAGCCAAACAAAGUACAUUCAAGACAUACUUAAUAAGUUUGGAAUGAAGGAUGCCAAGCCCAUCAAGACACCCAUGGGAACAAAUGGGCAUCUCGACCUCGACACGGGAGGUAAGUCCAUAGAUCAAAAGGUACACCAGUCGAUGAUAGGAUCUUUACUCUAUUUAUGUGCAUCUCGACCAGAUAUUAUGCUUUCUGUAUGCAUGUGUGUAAGGUUCCAAGCUGAUCCUAAGGAAGUUUACCUUAGGGCCGUGAAAAGAAUCAUGAGAUAUUUAGUUUAUACUCCUAAGUUUGGACUUUGGUACCCCAAGGGAUCCACUUUUGAUUUAAUAGGCUAUUCAGAUGCCGAUUGGGUAGGGUGUAAAAUUGAUAGGAAGAGCACAUCAGGGACUUGUCAGUUUCUGGGAAGAUCUCUGGUGUCUUGGGCUUCAAAGAAACAAAACUCAGUAGCUCUUUCUACCGCCGAAGCCGAGUAUAUUGCCGCAGGCCAUUGCUGUGUGCAAUUACUUUGGAUGAGGCAAACCCUCAGGGACUAUGGCUACAAAUUGAGAAAGUCCCUCUCCUAUGUGAUAAUGAGAGUGCAAUCUGCAUGGCGGAUAAUCCCGUUGAACACAGCCGCACUAAGCACAUAGAAAUUCGGUAUCACUUUUUGAGGGAUCACCAACAAAGGGGGAUAUCGAGAUUGCUUAUGUUAGCACCAAAGAACAAUUAGCUGAUAUCUUUACCAAGCCUUUAGAUGAGAAAACUUUUAGCAAACUUAGGAAUGAGCUAAAUAUAUUUGAUUCUCGGAAUUUUGAUUGAAACAUUGCACACAUAGCUCAUUUAUAUACCUUUGAUCAUAUCUCUUUUAUGUCUGUUUUCAAGUGAAUUUCUAUGCUAAGUCGUAGAUUGAAAGGGAAAUGGAGUACUCGACGAAGACAAGGCUUCCACUCCACUCUAUCGGUAUCUUUACCCUUCGUCAUUACUCCGCACUCCAAAUUGGUAUAAUCCUUCACCCUUAUUUACCUCUACCAAUGGGGAGAAAGUUUAAAAGGGCUCACAAAGUCUCCGUUUUUGGCGAUUAAUGCCAAAGGGGGAGAAAGUAUUAGCCCAAAGCAAACGGACCGCACCACCACCCUUCGAAAAAUUUUAAAUUGAUAUAUUUCAAAUUAGUAUGUUGAUUUUCAAUUGGUAUAUUUUCAAAACUAGCAUCUAAAUAUAUUUCCAAUUGAUAUUUAUUAAAACCCUCUUGAAAGCUAAGAGGAGAAUUUCAUUCAGUGGGAGUUUUGUUUAAGUCAAAGGAAAAGCAUUUGAAACAGGGGGAGAAAAUUUCAAAUCUUGAAAAUGCUUCUCGCAAUCAUAUUCAUAUACCUUUGACUAUUUGCAAAAAGAUUUUGAAAAGACUUUCCAAAAGAAUUUGCAAAAACAAAACAUGUGGUGCAAGCGUGGUCCAAAAUGUUAAAUAAAAGAAAGCAAACCAUGCAUAUCUAGUGAAAGUAUAUAUUGGUUUAAUUCCAAGUAACAUGUGCACUUACCUUAUGCAAACUAGUUCAAUUCUGCACUUAUAUAUUUGCUUUGGUUUGUGUUGGCAUCAAUCACCAAAAAGGGGGAGAUUGAAAGGGAAAUAGGGUUAAACCUUUUCCCAUAAAUAAUUUUGGUGGUAGAAUGCCCAACACAAAUAAUUGGACUAACUAGUUUGCUCUAGAUUAUAUAUUCCACAGGUGCAUAAAGGUUCAACACAAACCAAUAAAAGAUCAAAGUUAGGGUUCAAAAAGAAAGGAGCAAAAAACAAAGGUGCCCUGGUCUGGCGCACCGGACUGUCCGGUGCACCAGGACCAUACAACUCCAAACUCGCCACCUUCAGGUUUCUCAGGCCGCGCUCCGCUAUAAUUCACCGGACUGUCUGGUGCACCAGCGGAGCAAUGGCUACCAACGCAACGGUCAACUGCAACGGACACCUGCGAAAGUUACAGUGCGCGGGCAGUGCGCGUAGAAGUCAGAGCACCCGUUAGAGGCACACCGGACAGUGAACAGUACCUGUCCGGUGCGGCACCAGACUGUCCGGUGCCACUACAAGACAAAGGCUCCAAUGGUCGACUGCACGCGAACCCUAACAGUUGGGUGACGUGGCUGGCGCACCGGACUGUCCGGUGCGCCCAUCGACAGCAGCCCCUCCCCAACGGUUGUUUGGUGAUUGAGGGCUAUAAAUACCCCCAACCACCUACACUCCAACCAUCCAAGCAUUCCACACAUUGCAUUCAAUACAAGAGCAAUAGACUUCACUCCAAGACACAAAUCAAGCGAUCGAUCCACUCAAAGUCCCGAAUUCAACUCUAGCGCAUUAGGGCUUAUGAGAGGAUCACUUGUGUUUCUUGUUGCUAUUGUUUGCUUGAUUAGCUUUCUUUUCUUUUCCUUGCUACUCUCAAGUGCUUUGUAAGCAAGGCAAGAGACACCAGUUGUGUGGUGGUCCUUGCGGGGUCUAAGUGACCCGUGAGAAAAGAAGAAAGCACACUCGGUCUAAGUGACCGUUUGAGAGAGAAAAAAGAGUUGAAAGAGAUCCGGUCUUUGUGACCACCUCAACGGGUCUAGGUUCUUUAGAACCAAACCUCGGUAAAACAAAUCACCGUGUCCAUUCGCUUUAUCUCUUGGUUGAUUUGUUUUCCCCUCUCUCCCGGACUUGACAUUUGCUCUAACGCUAACCCCGACUUGUAGUGUGUUUAAAGUUAUAAAUUUCAGAUUCCGUCUAUCCACCCCCUCUAGGUGACUUUCAAAUAACAAUUUUACUAGAGUUAAAUAAUAAUAUUACUAAACUAUUAUUUUUUGUUGAUUUUAUUAAGUUAAGUGGUCAUUCUUCUGAUUAUUGACUAAAUCAAUUAUAUAUAUUUUUAAAAGCACUUAUAAAACACUAAUAAAAUGAUUCACAAUUUUAUUAUAUACCUUCUCUUAGCUAAACUAACAUUCACAAUUACUAUUCCAGAAUUUUCUAAGAACUUUAAAUUUUUACAUAAAUAUUUUUGAGUGCUUUAUAUAGUUCUAGAUUUAAAGUUCUUAAAAAUUAUAGAAAUAUUUAUAAAUAUUAGUUUAGCUAGCAGAAGAUCUACGUAAAAAUGGACAUCAUUUUAUUAUUAUUUGCUAAGUGUUUUAAAAAGCAAUUAUAGAAUUAAUUUAGUUAAUAAUUAGAAAAAGACUACUUAACUUGCUUAAUAAAAGCAACUUAAAUUUUAGUAGUUUAAUAAUAGUAUUAUUUAGGUAUUGGUAAAAAUUUUAGCUUCAAAAGGUAAGAAAUGAAUUAGAGACAAAAAUAUUAAACUAUUUUUAUGCAUUAUUUAGGAAAAUAAGGGUAAAUACAGUAUAUAAUUAUCAAUUUUUUUAUUUAAAAAAUUAUUUUUUGGAUACUAAUAAAAACACAAUUGAAAAAUAAAACUGGUGGCACUUAAAUCAGUGUCAUGUCAUCGAAAUCGUCAACUAAAACUUUCUAAGGUUUAGAUAACCGAUUUUGAAGGUGAAUGGCCAGGAGGAGAUUAUGUAGACUUUUUACUAUGUAUACGACCUCGACCUUGUUUGUUCCAUUCCAAGAUCAUAUAAUCUAGCUUAUGGAUUUUAUAAGCAUCUAAUGACCUAUUUAUUAUAUAAUCCAUAAUCCGUAUUAUUUGUUUGUCUUUUAACUUAUUUAAGUUGAAUUAUACUUCCUCCGUUAUAAAAUACUAGUUGUUUUAACUCUAGCUAUUUAUGUCCAUAUUUAUAUAGAUAAUUAUGAACCCAUAUAUAUAUAUAUACACUAGUAUGGUGCUCGUGCGUUGCAACGGCAAUAAUUAUGAAAACAAGGCACAUAACUGUCGCUACCCUGUAGCGCCUUCGCCGUCGCCCGCUUCUUCUAGGCGCAAAUGCGCUGCACCACCACGGCGCGCAAGCGAGCACGAAGCAGAAAGUUGUCAUUUUUUGCAUCCAGACAAACAUGGCACCCAAUUCUCUUUAAAACUUUUGCUAAGACUUAACAAUACAUUUUGUUCUGGGGACUAAAUUAUUAUCCUACUAACUUGACCAUAAAUUAGCAACAAUUAUUAUUAUUUAUAUGAAAUUAGCACCAUACUUAUAAUCUACUCCAAUCAUUCUACCGCAGAACAGAAACAGAAAAGGAAGGCAAGAGGACCGAUCGCCACAUUUCACAAAAGAUAAAGCAUGAAGACAUUAUACAUGCAAAUUAAAUUAUGCCGAUAGAACAAUCCUUCUUACAAGAGAAAGUAGAGAUUUCGUGCAGCACCAUGUUAUUUUUCAUUAACACCAGUUAUGAGACAACAAUGUGGUGAUCGUUACGCCCUUACACUUUAGUUCGAUCAUCAACAUUCAAAUCAGAUAUGUCUAAAGCCCCUCUUUUCAACUUAGCAACAAGAACCCACAUGCCUGCUAGAUCAUUCUCUAAAGAUAGUUCCUUCUUUUCCUCUUCUCCCUGAUGUUGGCAGUCUUGCCCAUAGAUUUCUGGCUCAACAUCCAGGCUACCGAGUUUCGCAGUCUGUGCGUCUGGGACUGGGAUCCAUUGCCAGAUUGGCCCAUCGUCCUCUCUAGCUCUGACAAGAGCGCCUUCACAAGGACGUCGAAGCGGCUCUUUGAUGUAGGAUAUCUAGAUAUCGACUUUGUGAUUCCUUGCAACUGCAUAAUGGUACCAUUCAGUUAUAUAGUGCUAUUACUUCAUAAGUUUACAUGUUACCAGCAGUACAAAAACAUUCUAUUGGCAAUUUGUUUUGCAUAGCGAGUGACCUUACUCUAAAAGCAUGUACUAUGCCAGAUUGGCCGGUAAUGGCAUGUACAGUGGUGUUUAAUGUGGAGGCUCUUAAGGUGUUUUAAGGGGGUAUUUGCAAAAAAAUCUUAGACACGUCUCUCUGUGAAGAGACGCCUCUGGCUCGUAAACCAAGUAGCAACAGAUGCCUCACUUCCCACUGUACGAAUUUGUCGUCUGUUCUAUCAAUCUGAUGUUGUACAAAUGCAUUUAAUUCUGUAUUUAUUAACAGACUAUAUUUAUAGACACUCCAUUAUAUAAUAGAGUCUCUUAGUUGUCUCUUGUGCUUGGAGAACCGUUUUUUAUGUCUCUCCACUAUAUAUGCCCUAAAGAAAGUGAAGGUCUACAGAAUUUGGAUUGUCAAUACGCAACUAAGUUGAGCUUAAUUAAUGCCCCAUGAAACUCCCAUUAAGACUGGCCUAAGCAAUGGCAUUGCAGCCUGACUAUUUAAUAGGAGGAGAAUCACCUUGAAUGGAUUGAAAUCAUCAAUGUUGUUCUUAAAUGAAGUAACACGAGACGGAGGUCUUUCCCUUCUUGCUUCUCCCUGUUGAAUGAGGAUGGUCUGGAUAAUGGACACUGUGUCCGUGUGAAGACUCAUCUUUGCCCUUACGAUUUUUAAAUCUAGAGAUUUCAAAAGUUAGCACAAGACUUUUUGAAUUGUUUGUCGUAGCAAACAAAGGCAUCCAAUAUGAAUUUACCUUGGAAAACAAGAACCAGGCGCCAUGUCAAGAACAUCAUUUGUGUAUUCAUCAAAUAUAGACACUGCCGAGAACACAUAGGCAAUUCCCAGGAUAAGGGAGGAUUCCUGGGACAUGAACAAGAUCAAGCUCCAUGACUUCAACAGGAACAAGUUAAAUGAGCUAAUGCUCAUUAAAAGGUGGAAUUGCUUGCUAAACAAAUGAUGUGAUGAAAGUAUGCACUGUUUGACAUCAAUGCACAGAAAAGAGAGAGGGAAUUUUACUAUACCUGAUAAGCUACAACUACAGCAUAAGCACCUAAAGGGACACUGGAGAGUACGGAUGCCAGAACGGAUCCUACUAUAGCAAAUGGCCAAAGAAGAAUAGCAAGACCAACAAAUGGCACACAAGCAGUCUCCAGAAAGGGCCCUUCUCUCCCAAUCAUGUCCUGGAUCAGUCGUUUCCAUCCUUUGAAAAGCAUCACGGGGCACUUAUAGAAGGCAAUUAAUGUGAACAUUAUUCCAUCAAGUAGAAAUUCAAAUGCAACCACUAUUAGUGCACCAGGAAUAUCAAGCAAUCUGGGAAAAAGAAAGUCAUGCAUGUCAGUUUAUUAUACAUUGUUCUUCAGAUGAAAAGAAAAUCAGAAAAAGUGCCAUCUCAAUGCAAAGCACUGGAAUGGUGGAUUAUAUUAUUCAAAAUGAAUGUCUGAAUGCAUGCUCUCUUGCAAAUGUUAUCUCUCAAGCCAAGCAUAAAGAGUGAUUCUUGCACAUUAAAGCUGAAAGGCCUAAUGCUAAAAGGAGAAAAGAGAAAAAAGUAACAACAUAAGUCUAUGCCAACAGGAUGCAUACCUUAUCUCAUAUGGCUCCUGUUGGGGACUUGUCCUUAAAUGCUAUGAAUUAAGAACAAGGCAACACAGAAAUUAUUAAACGUUAAAGUCCUUCGUCCUUUGAAACGUUAUUUCCUUUGGGAUAUAACGACCAUCGGACGAAGGUUAUGAAGGACAUACCUUCGUGAUUACGGUAUAUGAUAGUGAAAAUGAGAAACACACGAAAUAUGAAAGAUAACAUAAACAUUUAUAUAUCAUUAUUAAUUCAUUUCUAUUUUAUUAACAUGGAAAAUUAGAAAUGACAUUUAAGCUACAAGUGUACCUUCGGCUUGAAGGACAGCAAAAGUACAAGCGUGACGCAAAAGCAAAUGCCAAGUCAGCGUGAACAGUACAGGAUUACUGUUCACCUAUUUAUAGGCACGGGUCGCAGCCCAUGUAAAAUUACAUCCAGGCCCUUUGCAUUUGAUAAUAACUCUAUAGUAAUUUAUCAGGGUCUAGAUAGUCUUUUUCUCUUUAAGUCGAUUUCCUCUUUUCUGCCAACAUGCCGAAGCUUCCUUGCGCACAGCUUCGGCUCUGUUCCAUCCUUCGUUCUCCUUGUGUUUCUUCAUACAGCGAUUUUGACAUGUCCGAAGGGUCCAUGUUUGAAGGUACCUGUUCAUGUAUUACACUCCAGAAACAUUGUUAAAUCACUUUUUUGAGGACCUUCGGAAGCCGAAGGCCCCCAACAGUAGCCCCUCGCAAUAUUAAUUUGUUAGGAUAAUAAAUUCAGAUUGCGAUAUGGACGAAGGCCCUAAGCCGAAGGUCCGAGAAAACACCUUCCUCUUGCUAGAAUAGCAACAAUCAAUGGCAAGUGGGACCCUCCCACUUGCAAUGCCCUGGGUGUAUAAAUAUGUUACCACCGCGAGCUCAUUUGGCACGCCUUCUUGCCAUUUGCUUUGCCUGCUCAAACAACUCGUUGCCCACAAACACUUGACCAGCUUUCUAGAUUUUUAGCUUCGGCCCUAAGAGCAUAUUUUUAGCAUUUUCGAAAGGAUGUCUCAGGAAAAGAAAGUUGUUGCCGAAAUGAAACUGAGCCUUUCUGAGGAGAAGAAUCUGGGCUUUCUUGAAUCUAUAGCGAGAACAAAUACAAAGAAGAUUACUAGAGAAAUUUUAGAAGGCUUAUCUGAAGAUACCGGUGAGAGUGACACUUACGAUGUAGAAAGUGGGGGUGAAGACUCCGAAGAUCGGCCCACAGUCUUCGGAAAAUCAAGUAUUAAACAGAGUCAUCUUGAUAACAUGAGGGGGAGAUAUUUUCGAGACAUGUCUACUGUGCGAGCAGAUGACGGAGAGAGGACUGUGCCUACUCCCGAAGAGAAUGAAGUUGUGAUCUUCCGAAGCUUUUUUAAAGCUGGGCUUCGGUUUCCAUUAAGCAAAUUUGUGGUUGAGGUUUUAAAGAUCUAUCAAGUCUACCUUCAUCAAAUUACGCCCGAAGCAAUCAUAAGAAUGGGAAUUUUCGUCUGGGCCGUGAGGAGCCAGGGCUUGGAACCAAAUGCAAAAAGCUUUUGCAAUAUGCACGAGCUAUUAUAUGAGACGAAACCCUGGGGUAAAGAGCAAUAUCAUAACAAUUUUGGCUGUUAUAGCUUCGGUGCUCGCUCUGUGUCAAGCUGUCCCGUGCCAACCUUCCGGAAAAGAUGGCCAGGGGACUGGAUGAAGGAAUGGUUUUAUGUGAAGAACGAUUUAAAGGCACGAGAAGACAUUAAUGAUAUUAUCAUGCGUCCUAUCUGGCAGCGAUUCGGUCUUAGGAAGCCAAAGGUGAUUGUUGACGAAGCAGUCGAAGAAUGCCAGAGGGCCUUCGGUGUAGUCUGCUCUUUCGUCGGAACGAGGGAUUUAGUCCAAGAGCACAUAGCUUUCAGAGUUUGGCCACUUGUAGAAAGUGGGAAAUGCCAAAAGAAACUAUCACCAAGCCUGACGAAGGUGGACUGAUUAGGAUGAAGUUCACCUUCAGAUACGAGGGUAAAUUUGUCGAGCCAGAUGAUGAUUGGCUGAAAUGUAUUGAAGCUACAAGCGAUGAAUUGCUAGGGCCAUACUCAAAGGCAGAAGAUACUGCGUUAUCCGCGACCUUCGGAGGCCGAAAGAAGAAAAGAUUAAACCGAGUUUUUGAUGCUAUUGGGUUUGUGUACCCUGACUACCGCUACCCUCUACGGGGGCGAAAGAGAAAAGAAGCAACUUCCGGGAAAGACGAUGCUUCAACUGCUCCAAGCGAGCCUGUGCCGAAGAGGAAAAGGGUAAAAGUCCUUACUCACCGACCGCGCUUUAUUGAACCGGCCAUAGUGCCCGAGUUUGUCGGCGAGGCUUCUUCGGCUACUGAAGCCAAAAAACCUAUACCUGCGCAAAAAACUGAAGAGCUGACUGCAACACCGAAGGCUGAAAGAAUUGAAGAGCCGAAGGCUGAAGGGACAAAAAUAUCAGAAAUUUUAAGCCCUUCGGCAGAAGUUGGAGUGCCACAAACUCAGAAAGGUCCAGCGGUGACCCCCAAAAGAAAAAGAAUGGUUAACGUUCUAGAUGUGCUGGAGACAAUAAAAUCUUCAAGCACUACUCCGAAGAAAAUUGCCGAAACCCUCGAAGUGCAAAUUGAAACUUUCAGUGCCGAAACUACAAAGCACCAAGUUGAGACUGAAGCUGGUCCUUCAGAGCCUGCCAAGGUGAAAUCCUUAGAUACCAAAGAAACAGAAGUAGCCGAACAAGUUUUGGCUGAAGAAACUAGCACUGCCGCCCCCGAAGCAUUUUCCGAAGCUUUCAAUUAUACUUUACGACAUGCUUCGGGGAAAAAGUUGACUGAAAAAGAAAAGCAAGAGGCUCAGUUCUAUGCCCAAAAAUUGAAAUAUCCAAAGGGGGCGUUGAUUUUCAACGACAGCGGAGAAGAAGACUUCUUAUACUGUCUCCCAGACAGCAAGGAGAUCUCUGUCUGUCGGGAGAUGGCAAGAAGCUUCGGAUUCCCAACACUAGAAGACGGACUCUCAGUGUUGUCAAAAGAUGAAUUGGCCGACAGCUUGGCGUACAACAGCUUAAAGGUGAGAAAAUAAACUUUUUAUAUGCUUAAAAAUUCGUGUGCUUAUUUUUUAAUACCACAUUCCUUUUACAGGGCCUUAUUCUUAGCAAUGCCCUCAGAGCGCAGAAAAGUGUUGAAGACGAGGGAUGUAUCAUGGCGUUGAAUAACCUUCGUUCCGAAGUGAUUGAGCUAAGGAACAAAGGUCUUGAGAAAGAUAAAAUAUUAAACUCAUUGCUUAGUAAAAUAAAAGAAGACGAAGCUGCUUCCAAGGCCCAAGCUGAAGGCCAGAAGUGCGAAAUUGAAAAUCUUCAGAAACAGCUGGCUGAAGCGAAACUAAAGUGUGCAAUUGCCGAAGCUGACCGAGACGCCAGCGAUUAUUGGAAAAAUCAUUGGGAGAAAACAACUGCAGAACUUCGGUCUUCAAAAGAAAGAUGUUAUGAAAAAUCCAUGAAAUGUGUGGAAACAAUUAAGACUAGUUUCGCCAGCGUCGGCGCAUAUUCGAAUGAAGGCAACUUCGUACUGGGAGAUACUGAAGGUCCAAUUGACUGGAUCAAUGGCGAGGCCGAAGCUUUUGAAGAAAUUUUGAGUGGCCGUGGGGACAUAUGCGCCUUCUCGGGUGCUAGGGGGAUAGCCGCUAUCUUGGAGAGGAGAGGCUGCGAACAUGUGAAAUCCUUGGCACAGACCGAGGUUGCCUUAUGCAUUGAUGAUAUAAAAGAUCCCUCAGCCGAAGCAAGCUUGGUUGGUGGAAAAUUUUUCAUCGACAUCUGGGAAAAUGGCGGUCGGGAGAUGGCUCAAGAAAUUAUAAGAAAAAGUGAAAAAGGUAUUCACGAUGCUAGAAAAGUAGCAGAGGCCACUGAGAAAAGUGCAGAUCUUGAGAGGCGAAUAGGUAUUAAUUAAUAGCUUUUGACUUUAUGUUCUAAUUUAUGACUUCGAACUUAUUUACGGUUUGCAUCACAGCCGCACUAUCUCCUCCCCCAGAGCCCGUCGAGCCAUUGGCGGACCCCAAAGCAAAGGAGGACGAUGAAAUUAGAAAAAUGGUCGAAGCUAUUAUGGAUAAAGUUGUUGAUCAACUAUUAAACGAAGUUGCCGAAGUAGUUUUAAGAGAAGAUUAGCUGUUAUUGUAAAGACAUUUGAAAUGUAAUAUUUUGCUGGACAAUGUGUGUAAUAUCUUAUAAUUUUGAAUGUAAUAUAUAAGUUGUUUAUAAUUCAACUCUUUACGAUGCAUGAAACUUUACGUACAUACCGUUUUUGAGCCUUCGGCGAAAAAACACCUUCCCUUCUUUUCAUGCUUCGUGAAGAAUAUCCAUAUUCCGUAAAAAUAUAUAGUUUCCGAAAAAACAUGAUGCUUUGUGAACAAUGGAUCUCCUUUUCAUAUUAAAAUGACGAAGCUGUAUUUCUUGAAAACUUGUUUUGUGCCUUGGCACUUCUUCGAAACGAUCUCCGAAGCUCAAUAUUGUAGGUCAACAUUGUCUUCCUUUCCGAAGGUUAACAUUGCAUCCCCUUCUUGUGCCAUUGAUGCAAUAUGAUGUAUGAUGUUGUGCUAUGCACAUGAUGUAAUGAUGUAAUGACAUGCAAAAUGAUAUUUGCACCGAAGGCCCACACACACUCUCCAAUGGAGCACACAAUCUUUUUGUCGUUUAUUUUUUGGUGGUAUCAGCGUUGACUUUUCGCUGUAAGCCUCCCUUAGGAGCUUCUUCGCCUUUUAUUUCGGCGGUAUCAACGUUUAAUUUUCGCUGUAAGCCUCCCUUAGGAGCUUCUUCGCUUUUUAUUUCGGCAGUAUCAGCGUUUAUUUUUCGCUGUAAGCCUCCCUUAGGAGCUUCUUCGCCUUUUAUUUCGGUGGUAUCAGUGUUUAUUUUUCACUGUAAGCUCUGCAUUCCCUUUGGAACGACUUUUGAGCAGAAAACUUACGCUGCGUCCCCUUAAGAACGACUUUUGUUGCUUCGACAAAAACUUGCAGUGCAUUCCUUCGUCAAGACCUUUAGAGCUUUGUCGAUGUUUGAAGGAAGUAUAUUCAUUAUGAUAAUGUCGAAGCAAUUACAAGAAAUUGAAAACAACAAAAGAAAUAAGAUUUCAAUGAUUGCUCUUUAUUGAAAAGGUAAAUGAUAACAAAUGUAAAAGCUGCUUCAGAGGUAGGAUACAUCUUAGUAGAUGUGCUUUGAUUCUGGCACAGUACUGUUGACUGUGCGAGCUUCGGACUGCUCCCUAAAGUCUCUCUGCUGGUGAUUGUGCUGGCUCCCUUCUGGCUGCUGGCCUUGGGGAUAAGCGGGUUGCAUUGGUGGUGGAGGUGGGGGCUGUUGCCAAGAUGCCUGAGGUUGGCUUACCGAAGCAACAGAAACUGCAGGAUGAUUACCCACAUACUCUGGGAUGUAUGGUGAGUGGUACAAAGCAGUAUGCAUGACCUGCUUUGGCUGGCUCUGUUGGGCUGCAGCUUCUGCUAUCUCUUUCUAUUUUUGAAUGGUGACAUGACACAUCCUGGUAGUAUGUCCCUUGUCCUCACCGCAGAAUAGGCAGUAAAUUUUCCUGGGCUGAUCCCCAAACCUUCCUUCGAAGCCCCUGGCGCCUCUGCCCUUGGAGCUGGGGGCCGAGGAUAGUUCUGUUGCUGCCCCGAAGCUUGAGAGGAAUACUGCGGCCUUUGUUGCUGACUCCCCCUAUCGUCAGUCUCAGUAGAAUGGAUAGAUCUGACGUGCCUAGGGUGGAUUCUCCCUCCGAAGCCCCUGGUCGUUUCGGAGAACCUGUAAGCUUCCUCCCUCCUUUGCCGAAAGUCAUUAUCUGCUCGGAUAUAUUCAUCCAUCUUCUGAAGCAGUUUCUCUAGGGUCUGAGGGGGUUUCCUAGCGAAAUAUUGAGCUGUAGGUCCUGGCCGAAGCCCCUUAAUCAUGGCCUCGAUAACAAUUUCAUUAGGCACUGUUGGCGCCUACGCCCUCAGUCGUAAGAACCUUCGGACAUACGCCUGAAGGUAUUCUUCAUGAUCCUGAGAGCACUAGAACAAAGCUUGAGCAGUGACUGGCUUCGUCUGAAACCCUUGAAAGCUGGUGAUGAGCAUGUCCUUCAGCUUUUGCCACGAUGUGAUUGUCCCUGGUCGAAGAGAAGAGUACCAGGUAUGUGCAACACUUUUGACUGCCAUGACGAAGGACUUCGCCAUGACCGCAGUAUUGCCACCAUAUGAAAAUAUGGUUGCUUCGUAGCUCAUCAGAAAUUGCUUCGGAUCUGAGUGUCCAUCAUACAUUGGGAGCUGAGGUGGUUUGUAAGAUGGGGGCCAAGGUGUAGCCUGCAGUUCUGCUGACAGAGGAGAAGCAUCAUCAAAAGCAAAAUUUCCAUGAUGGAAAUCCUCAUACCAGUCAUCCUCGUUAACGAAGCCCUUUUGGUGAAGCUCUCCGUACUGGGGCCUCCGGUUCUGCUCAUCUUGCGUAAGAUGACGAACUCCUUCAGAGGCUUCGUCUAUCUGCUUUUGUAGGUCGGCUAGCCAGGCCAUUUUUUCUUUCUUCCUUUGCACUUGUUGAUGCAACAUUUCCAUGUUCCUGAUUUCUUGGUCCAAAUCGUCCUGCUGAGGCGUUGGACUGGUGGCCUUCCUCUUCUGGCUUCGGGCUUCCCGAAGAAAAAGGGUCUCCUGGUUCGGGUCCAGCGGCUGCAGAGCAGCAGCCCCUGUUGCUGAAGCUUUCUUUGGCGGCAUGACGAAGGUCGAUGCUUGCCAAAGGUGGUCAAAAAGGGUUCACCAGAGGUGGGCGCCAAUGUUGGGGACUUGUCCUUAAAUGCUAUGAAUUAAGAACAAGGCAACACAGAAAUUGUUAAACGUUAAAGUCCUUCGUCCUUCGAAACGUUAUUUCCUUUGGGAUAUAACGACCAUCGGACGAAGGUUAUGAAGGACAUACCUUCGUGAUUACGGUAUAUGAUAGUGAAAAUGAGAAACACACGAAAUAUGAAAGAUAACAUAAACAUUUAUAUAUCAUUAUUAAUUCAUUUCUAUUUUAUUAACAUGGAAAAAUAGAAAUGACAUUUAAGCUACAAGUGUACCUUCGGCUUGAAGGACAACAAAAGUACAAGCGUGACGCAAAAGCAAAUGCCAAGUCAGCGUGAACAGUACAGGAUUACUGUUCACCUAUUUAUAGGCACGGGUCGCAGCCCAUGUAAAAUUACAUCCAGGCCCUUUGCAUUUGAUAAUAACUCUAUAGUAAUUUAUCAGGGUCUAGAUAGUCUUUUCCUUUUUAAGUCGGUUUCCUCUUUUCUGCCAACAUGCCGAAGCUUCCUUGCGCACAACUUCGGCUCUGUUCCAUCCUUCGUUCUCCUUGUGUUUCUUCAUACAACGAUUUUGACAUGUCCAAAGGGUCCAUUUCAUGUAUUACACUCCAGAAACAUUGUUAAAUCACUUUUUUGAGGACCUUCGGAAGCCGAAGGCCCCCAACAGCUCCCCGUCAGGAGGUUUCUGAAGACGAAGGUCAUCCAUAAGUGAAAAAUAGGAGUGGAAAAGCAAAUCUUUCACGUCCCUGACUACAGUACAACUUCCAGUGAUAGUACUCCAUGUUCCAUCCUACAGUUCAGAAUACCAAGCUAAGCCACCUCUAAAAGAUAUGCUAACAAAUUAAAUAGCCACAGAGAUAAACAUAAACGACUCAUACAAAGAAAAACUUACCACAAAGCAAUGAACAAAUGUCUUUUCUUUGCCUUCUCCUACAGCAUCAAAUGUAGCCAUUAUGGGUGCUAGAAAACCAUAUACCAAUCUAGCAAAUAUGCUUCCUGAGAUGCCAAUUAUCAACCAUAUGAUCAAGACUGCAGUCGCAGCAAUAAGAAGCAGAAGCUUUACCACAGGUCCAACCAGCUUGGUUCUGCCCAAAGAAAAAUGGAGGAAAAAAUAUGAGCACUUUCGGUUAGUAAUUUAAUGAAGUUGCCAAAACAUGGAACUUAGAAAACAUGCACCAUACAUGACAAUGCGGUUGUAUGUCCAAAUCAGAUGCAUAGGCCAUAAGCCCGGUAUUUCCUCUCUUUGGUCCACACAGAAAUUUUCUCACCAUUGAUCGGGUAGGGGGUCACAUCGCCCUAGACGAUUAGGUCUGGACAGAGCUCGAUUGGGUAGCCGCGCCUGGGCGCUCGCCCUCGGCGGUCGACAGCGGACUCCGGCUACCCAUGUCCAUUGCAGCGUCGACCGCGCCCUGCUAGCUCUGCGGUCGCCGGAGCUCAAAGGCGGCAAGAGUGGGGCGACUGGCUACCCAGGGGCACAUGCCCGCAGUGGCCAUAGGGGGAGCUCGGAGAGGGGCGACACUGGCGUCCUUAGAUCUGUCUUCGUCGAACUCGCGAGCGGGUGAGGCGGUUAGCGCGAACCCGAGCAUGGGCGGUCCCGAAGGCUGUCUGGGGCGGAGGGGAGCGGUGGUGCGCGGCGGGCACGGGACCCCACGAGCCAGGAGAGGGAUUGGGCAAGACGGGCGUAGGGGCAUCCUUGGAAGGGCGAGGAUCGCAGGGGCGGGGCAGGUCCCUAAAAUAGCGCUUUCCAUCGAUGGAGCGCGGGCGCUAACGCAAUGAUGGCAGGGGAGGCGAUGGAGGGUCCCUGGAAUGGCGCGACGGAGAGCGAGGCGAGGCGAGAAUAUUGGGGCGGACGCGCGGCGCGGAUUCUGCGGAUCGCGGAGGCGAUCGCACGACCUUGCAUCGGCGUCCGCGCGGUGGGGGAGGCGUCGAGGUGAAGCUGCGCGACCUUCCAUCGGCAGACGCGGACGCGCGGUGGGGAGAGUGUGCGAGGCGCGGACGUGCGGUGCGAGCGCAGCGCGGCAGAACAUGGCGCACGGAGGUGUGGACGCCUACAAUGGUGUCUUAAAGAAUAGUAUAUAUAUAUAUAUAUAUAUAUAUAAUAUACUUUAAUUAGUGUAUGGAUUCAACAAAAAUGUAAAACAAAUUUUAAUUUGGGAUGGAGAUAGUAUAAUCUAGAGGGUAAACAAAUCGAACCUAAGAGUAUCUCCAAAUGACUCAUCUUUUUUGCUCUCCUUUUGACUCUCUAUUUAACAUUUUAUAAAGAUUACACUCUAUAUAUAACAUAUUACUCCAACAAACUAUCUCUAUAUUUUAGCUAGUCGUAAUGGGUAGCUAAGUUUGGCUAAUGAGUGAGUUAAUUUGGAGAGUUGGGUAGUUUGACGAGUCAGAUGAAUAGCAUGUUGGACAUUUAUUUUAGUGUUGAGUAACCAAAAUUUAGCUUAGGACUAGUUUGACAACUCUAUUUUUCAAGUGAUUUUCAUUUUUCCAAAAAAAUAAUUUAUUUUUCAUUAAAAAAAGAAAUCCGUUAAAAAAUAGAGUUACUAAAUUAGCCCUUAAUUAGUUGUUUAACUAAUAUCUUAGAGAUGCUAUAAAUGGCCUUUUUUUUUGCAAACCCCUCUUCUCUCUCCCAGUCUCCCCCAAACCGCCUUGCCUCCGUUGCCCUCCCCACUCCCCUCUCACCUCCUAAAACCCCUCUUGCUCUCCCUUGCCCGCGCGCACGAGCACGCGCAUCGACACCUUCAGCUCGUGUGUCCGUGCGAGCGGGCGGUUUCCUCGCCAAGAACUGUCGCGCGGGUCGGGGGAUUGAGGAAGAGAGUGUCGGCGGCGGCGGCGGCGACGACGACGGAUUUUUCUGGCCCGAGAUUCCUGGUCAAGGCAAUAUGAAGUACGUCCUUGUCACCGGCGGGGUGGUGAGCGGCCUGGGCAAGGGCGUCACGGCCAGCAGCAUCGGCGUCGUCCUCAAGGCGUGCGGCUUCCGCAUUACGUCCAUUAAGAUCGGUACGUGCCCGCCUCCUCCUUGCCUAAAUGAACCGCGCGCACCUUCCAUUUCAAAACACAGGAACGGCGCGUUAGGGUUUCGCUGGGGAUUUGACCCAGAGUCGGGGGUGGCUGUGAGUCCUUGAUCCGUUCCGGAAAUACGGGCCUGCAAAAGAUUUGGUUUUGGAGCGAUACUCGUGGCGGGGACUGUGGGUGAGGAUUGGUGUCGGAGGACCCGGGUUAAUGGUCGAGUUAGGUGAAAAGUCCCUCUUUUGAACCUUCUGCUCAGUGCCAUUGCUGUUGUAUUCGUUGGUGCCUUGGGUUUGGAGGAUAUGGUGUCAAAUUGGUUUUUAAUUUUCCUGAUAAGUUUGCCGAUCUUGUCAGCGAAAGAGGUUGUAGAUAUUUUUCUUCAAAGAUUGCUUUAUAAUGGAUGGGCACCUAAUCAGGGUUAACUUUGUUCAAGGGGUUUUUUCCUUUCCUCCUGAUAUUGUUUAGGAGAAGAAUAUGUUUAUGGAUGGAUGGCUCCUUCUUUUGACUUUGUACUGGUUAUUAGGAGAUCUUCUUCUUAAGCUAUAUAGACUUGGAGUUUGAACAAUGGCGGUUCAUUCAUGAUUUGCCUAAUAUUCUAGAACCUUGUAAUUUAUUUUACUUCACUGGUUGUUGGUCAGAACUUAUGCAUAGGUAAGUGCCUCUGUCAAUAUGUUCUCUUUAGUAUUUUUUUUACAGAAAUAGCUUAAUAUGUUCAUGUUUGGAACAAGAAAUAUGCCCUUAUUGGAUGCCCAUAAAUUUGCUUCGACUCAUUAGUUGAGCACAAUUUUUGGUUCUUGAUGCUGUGGCCAUGGAAACAAGGUAGUUGGAGAAGACUAGGUUUCUUUCACCUUCCAUGCUUGUUUGUCUUCCAGAUAGAUUAUGCUAUGGAGGGGCUUGCCUAUGCUGAUUUAGAUAUCACGUGACACCAAUGCUGAUUUAGUUAUCGUCAGGUCAUGAACCUACGGAUGCUAGCUCCGCACUGUGGAAUCUUCUGACUUAAUUCAAUCUAAUGUUACAUCUUUUGUUUGCCAUACUUAUCCUUAUCCAGUAUCACCUAAACCCUUCUUUGUUUUUGCUGUUGUUGCCUUGUGACUCCUUGUACUAUUGUUGCACUUGUUGCUCUGAUUGUGGCCUUUGCCUUGUAAAAUCGGUGGUGGCAAGCCAGCUAUUACUUGCAUUAAUGCUUUAGUUGCUUGUGUUUGUCUUUAUGUGGUUGACAUGUUCUCAUUCAGUUACCUGAAUAUGCAGAUCCUUACCUUAACACCGAUGCUGGGACUAUGUCUCCAUUCGAACAUGGUGAAGUGUUUGUGCUGGAUGAUGGUGGCGAGGUAUUGAUAUUGACAUGUCACAAAGUCAAUUUCUGCCAGGCACAAUGCUUGUUAGCCCACCUAAUUUAAGUACUUAUCUUGUGUCUUUUAGGUGGACUUGGAUCUUGGUAAUUACGAGAGGUUUCUGGACAUUAAACUUACUCGGGACAAUAACAUAACCACCGGAAAGAUCUAUCAGGUAAGAAUAAUCAAUAGUAUUUUCUUUUUGUCAGACCUUAAUUCAUUGCGCUGAACUGGUAUAUGAAUUUAAAUUUCUAUAAUCAUAACUUCAGGUUGUUAAAUAGCCAUGUAAUGACAUUUUUUUCAUACAAACAGUCAGAAGAUGAAAUAGUCCACUUGAUGAUGGUGUUGACAUCUUGUACUAAAUUCGGGGGGAAAGGACAUCCUUGUUGUCUUUAUGUUAUUUGAUUAUGUUAAAAAUGCAAGGAGGAAAUAAUUAAUCACAAGGAUAUAUGUAACAAUGAACAUCUCGUAUUUGAGACAUCAAAAACACAGUUGCUUUUCCCUGCACAAAGGGCUGCAUUGAUUUUUUCUUAUUUUACUUAUAAUUUUCAAUGGUUUAUGCUAGUCUGUAAUUGACAAGGAGAGGAAAGGGGAAUACUUGGGAAAGACUGUCCAGGUAUUUGGAUCAUGUUUGUUUCAUCUGUCUUGGAACUUCUGCUUGUGUUCUUAUUCUAGUACUGAUCAUCCAAAUGAUUUUACUUUUAAGGUUGUGCCACACAUCACAAAUGCCAUACAGGAGUGGAUUGAGCGUGUUGCUAUGAUACCAGUUGAUGGCAUGGAGGGACCUGCUGAUGUCUGUGUGAUAGAAUUGGGGGGCACUAUAGGUGGCAUGAGAUGACCAUUCCCUUUUUAUUAUUUUGGGUCGAUACCAGUGGACAUUUCAUAUCUAGUUUUCCUGUUAUUGAUUGCAUUCUGAACACCUGCAGGUGAUAUUGAAUCCAUGCCAUUUAUAGAAGCUUUGGGUCAGUUCUCUUAUCGUGUUGGUGAGAAACUUCACACUUAUUAUGACGCAUACAAACCUUCUGCUAGUAAGCACGAUUGAUGAUCCUAUUUUAUGUUAUUUUGGUUGACACUUGACAGGUCCUGGCAACUUCUGCCUGGUGCACGUCAGUCUAGUUCCAGUUUUGAAUGUUGUUGGUGAACAGGUAUUCUUGGUCAUUAGUUAUGUUCUACUGUUUAUUAACCGAUCAUAAAAGUUUUGUUUGAAUAAAUCUGUUUGGUUUCACUGACUUCAUUCUUGAUCUAUGUUGCUUGUUGUUGUAGAAAACAAAGCCAACCCAGCAUAGUGUACGUGGUUUGAGGGGACUCGGGCUCACUCCAAAUAUUUUAGCUUGCCGCAGUACUAAGGUUAGUUAUCAAACUAAUUAUUUUUUACAUUGGUAGAAUAUGACCUUUACCGAGUUACUUAAUAACAUUACUUAUAACUGAAACUGUGUAUAACAGGAAUUAGAGGAUAGUGUGAAGGAGAAACUCUCCCAGUUUUGCCAUGUGCCGGUAGGGAAACAUUUUCAUUCAAAGCUUCAUAUGCUGUAGCAACUUUACUCCAGGAAGUGAAUUCAUAAUUGGUUUUUGCAGGCAGCAAAUAUUAUCACUUUGUAUGAUGUUUCCAAUAUCUGGCGCAUUCCUUUGUUGCUUUGUGUAAGGCACAUCUGUUUUCUUUCAACUGGAAGUCAUUUAUAUGUUUUGGAAUUCACAUUGUGUUAAAAUGAUAAAAUUUCAUCUGUGCCCUGCAGGACCAAAAGGCUCAUGAGGCUAUCCUUAAAGUUCUGAAUCUGGAAAGGGUGGAUAGGUUGGUCUUGAACUAUGUAGUUAGUAUGUUCUCGGCAAUAUUUUACAUUGCUUUUUGCCAGAAACUAAUUUAUUUAUAACAUUUCCAGCAUUGCCCGAGAGCCGAAGUUAGACGAAUGGGUUGCAAGAGCUGCUAUAUUUGAUACCCUUCAUGACACUGUUAGUGUUUCUCCUCAGUCAGACCCUUGCUAGUGGGAAAAUUUUCAUCCUUAGUUCCAUGCAACUAACGGUGAUUAUUUUAGGUGAGGAUUGCUAUGGUUGGGAAGUACACUGGCUUAUCAGAUUCAUACCUCUCUGUGUUGAAAGUGAGCUUGCCAACUUGUUCAGUGCAGUGAUGUUUUUUUCUGUUUCCAAAUGUGAAUAUUGUUGUAUAACUAACGUGUCAUGCAAAAAAAUUGCAGGCCCUCUUGCAUGCAUCUGUUGAUUGCCGUAGGAAACUUGUUGUUGAUUGGGUUGCUUCGACGGAUCUUGAGGAUUCCACAGCAAUUGAGGUUUGGCACAGUAGCCUAUUAUUCAGUGUGCUAAGUCUUGAGGCGAAUCGUUUUUUACUUGUCUCUUUUUAAACUUUCUAGGCACCCGAUGCAUAUAAAACAUCAUGGAAUUUAUUGAAGGUGGGUUAUUAUCAAAUGGACUACUUUUAGGAUACAUAAAAUUGGAAUCGUGUCACAUUUUUUAUUUCUGAGUAUCAUGGUUACAAGAAGAGUUUUCAUUACAGGGGGCAGAUGGAAUUUUGGUACCUGGUGGCUUUGGUGACAGAGGUGUUGAAGGGAAAAUUUUGGCUGCUAAGUAUGCCCGGGAAAAGAAUGUCCCAUAUCUUGGUAUAUGUCUUGGGAUGCAGAUUGCUGUCGUGGAGUAUGCCCGUCAUGUUAUGAAUUUCACUGAUGCCAACAGCACUGAAUUUGAUCCAAAUACCAAGACCCCUUGUGUUAUUUUUAUGCCUGAGGUAAUUGCUAAUGGGUUGGAAUUGUUUUGAAUUAGGUUUGACACUGAUCUGUUUCGAUGGCAAUUAGCAAUCUUUUAUGGCUGAUACAGAUUAUCUUGGAAUUUAAUUUUAUUGUAGGGUUCCAAAACACAUAUGGGUGCAACAAUGCGCUUAGGAUCAAGGAGGACAUUUUUCAAGAUUGCUGAUUGCAAGUCUUCUAAAUUGUGAGUUGCAUAUAGACCCUUCUUAAUUUUCAUUGUACCCCUUCGAUGAAGUGUCUCGUUGAAUUCUUUGUGUAGUUCUAUGACUAUUUAGUCAUUGAUUAUUUUGAUCUUUUUAGGUAUGGCAAUGUCACUUAUGUUGAUGAAAGGCACCGGCACAGAUAUGAGGUUUGUUUAUUGAAGUUCACCAGUUUCCUAAAUGUGCAUUUAAAUGCUAUGUCGUUCCUACACCUUCAUGUUCUUUGGACUGAAGUUUUGUCUUCACAGGUGAACCCUGAUAUGGUUCCAGAGUUCGAAAAAGCUGGGCUUCAGUUUGUUGGCAAAGAUGAUACUGGAAGGAGGAUGGAGGUCUGACUCACACUGAGACUUGCUUUACAAUUUUUAUUUUCACGAAAUUUGCCCCUUAACCAACUUGCUAUGUUCUAGAUGAUUGAAAUACCCAACCACCGAUAUUUUGUUGGCGCACAAUUCCAUCCUGAGUUCAAGUCAAGACCUUCAAAACCUUCUCCCCUAUUUGUGGGUAAGAUGCUAUCUGACGCUGAAAAUUCUGCACUUGUUCACUUCACAAGCAUUUGUGCUGUACUUUUCCAUAGAAUAUAUCAUAACCAAUUUUAUGUUUCUGCAGGACUAAUUGCAGCUGCAUCUGGGCAGUUGGAUAGGGUGCUGCAAGACCGCUGCAAUGGUCAUGUUGGUUCAGCUAAACAUGUUCUGAGCAAUGGCUCAUAUACAUCCGCAGUACACCAAAAUGGGAACCCAAAGAAGCUCACCAAUGGUCUCUCAAACGGAACAUACUAUGCCAAUGGCAAUGGUGUGCAUGCUUAGACCAUCAGAUGGAUGGAUCAAGGAUUUUGCAACUCUUUACUUCAAUUAUGCGGUUCCUAAUGCAUCAGUUUUGUCCGUUCGAGGAAGAAAAAGUUCUUGCGCUCGAUGCAGACUGUCUGCUGGGAAUAGUGCUCGUUCGGUGGUUUUUAGUUAAAGAACUAAGCUGGAUCUCUUUGGAAGGCACGAGACUGGUUUCUGUGUUCGUCUCUACCCUAUUGUGUAAGCUAAAGGAGCAGAUUUGGGACGGAAGAGUUUACAAGUUGUAUAUCCUCAAAGAAAAGCUGAAUAUUUUUAUUAACUUAAAUUAGGUCUUCAGUGAGGUCGAGAGCUGAUGCUUAAAAGUGGGCAGCAGUGCAAGUGCAAGAGAGAGUAUUUCGAAAUCAGGCAACUCUGUAUUUUGAUUUUGGACAUUUUUUUUGUUUCUUGUGCGCAAAUAAGUUGAUGCACUGUUGCAUGAUCAUAUAUCAGUUUUGACUUUAGAAUCCAUCUUGAGCGCUUGCUUCUCAUAAUUCCUGCGACUUGCAUUGUGGCAAUCUAAAACCUAUUUAAACCGUGAUAAAUAAGCUAGUUUAUUUUUAACUAAGCUGUGAUAUAAAUUAAAAAGAACGAAAGGGGAGGGAGUGUCUGAUACGCAAAAUCAUCCUAUAUCACAACAAUUUCGAGUUUUUUUUGCCGAGUUGAUCGAAAUUCCUUGCGGUGCAAAAAUACACGAGCAUAAAACUUUGCCAUCAAGAAUCUAUCUAUGAAAACCGAAAGCUCAAUCCGUGACCGUGCAACGGCUCAGGGUUCCCACUCUGAGAGAAGCUUGUCAAUCAGCUCCACCAGCUUCCCUGUCUCCUCCGGCUGGCGCAUCGCCUGCUCCAGCGCCCACGCUUCCUCGAUCCUGGCGUCCUGCAGCAUCGCGUCCCGCACCGCCUCCCGCAGCUCCCGCGUGGCCUGCAACCCGUCCGUUGCCAUCUCCCUGAGCGCAGCCAGCGCGCCCCUGGGGUCCUCAAGGCGGCAGAGCCCCUCGACGGCGUCAGCGUAGGUGGCGGCGUCGGGCCGGCGCGGGGAGUCCGGGCGGCAGAGCCAGCGCAGCACGGAGGAGGCGUCGCGCGCGCGGCGCAGGGAGAGGAGGCUGCCGAGCAGCGGCGACGCCAGCAGGAGCGGCGAGGGCCGGGCCGGGUGAUGGCGCAGCGCGGUGAGGAGCGCGAAGGCAGCGGAGAGUGUCGGAAGCGAGGCAAGGUGCGCGGCGAGGGAAUCGAGGGGGAGGCCGUCCUGGGAGCCCGGGAGGAGGAGCGCCGCGGAGAGGAGGCGGCCGGCGGCGGGGACGUGGCCCGCGUAGAGGAGGCGCGGGAGGAGCGCGGAGAUCGCGUCCAGGUCGGACGGGGAGAGGGGUUGAGGUGGGGGCUUGGAUUGCGGCAGCGCGGUAGCGCAGAUGCCGCGAAGGACGCCGGCGAGCGGCGGCGCGAGGCGGAUGGGCAAGCGGGGCAGCAUCGUCUUCUGGGCUCGGCUCACUCAGGAACGAUUCUGAGUCUUUUUUUUCUUUCUGCAGGAGGGCGCGCCGCCGUCAAAUGGACGAGCGAUAUCUCAGAUCGAGCGAGAGAUGGCCAAACUGGCCGCCGGGCCCGGCCCGGGCCCGGUGAAGCACGGCCCGUUUUGGGUCCGGCCCACUAUGCACGGUUAGGAAACGGGGUCGAGCCUUCUAAACCCGCAGGCUCGAUUCUCUGUCUAAGCCUGGCCCACAGCGGGCUUAAACGGACAGGGCCGACCCAUUUAGCACGAAAAAAGCGGGCCGAAAGCGAGCUAAGCGGACCAAAAAGCAUGUUUUAGUGCAAAAAAAGCGGGCUCAACGUGAUUAAAGAUAAACGGGCUGUGCCGGGCUAGCCCACCAUACCUAGUUUCUUGUCCGAGCUCGGCCCGCUUAUUCGUGCCGGGCCGGCCCGGGCUCGCAUAGAACCGGACCGUGCUGGGCUCGGACCGGACCCAAACAGCGGACUUCGUAUCGUGCUCACGGGCCUCGUACUUAUUGGCCAUCUAUAGAUCGAGCAGACACUAUCAGCUUCCCUAUUCUUUGUGCAAUUAAUGAAGGUGGUCUUUGGUUUUUCUAAACUAAUAGUCUCUAUAUAUAAUUUUAUUUUAAUAUUUAAAUUGUUAAAUAUAGAAAUUAAAACUCUAUUUUAAUUUUCGUAUUUAGCAAUUUAGGAACUAAAACACUAUAAACAUAGUCCAUACGAGACACUUUAUGAAGUCACUUUUAAAUUAUCUUUUUGAAAAUAUUUAUAUAGAAAUCAUUUUCUAUAUAUUCUCUGAUUCGAAAGUUUUUCUAUACUUUGUGUAUACUUUAAAGCAAGUACAACAGACCAGCUAAACAUCUCGUGCUCGGUAAAAUAAACAAAACCCUAUGAAUAUGGCCUCGAACAGGCUUGGUAUCAACCUCGUCACUUUAUCCCGCUCGGUAUCGCCUUGUCGUAGCUGACCAUCUUUGGCUAGCCCUCCGGACUCGCCAUCGCCCGGCUGUGCGGUCUCUCGCCCUCUUGCUCCCUUCUGUGUGCAACCGCUUUAGUUUCCCGCGUCUUUGUUGAGACCUUGUUGUAGGCUCAUGAAGUUCCUUGAGAUGGCAGCGUUCCUGAACUGCACGGCUGCACCUAGUGCAACGCAGACAUCACGAGGGAGACGGUGAGCAGGGCGCAGCCCAGGAGGCCGCGACGACCGCGAACAGCCUGAGGUCACAAGACGUGACACUCAAUCCCACGCCAGCCCUCGACGGAUGCUUCUGACGUUGGUGGUGCUUCCUCUGUCGCAACCUCCCGAUGUUGGUCACGCCUGGCCUCCAGGGCCGGCCCUCAGGCCCCCAAGGUCUACAGGUUCCUGUUUAUUCAGUUUAUAUCCAAAUAUAUAUACGUUACAGAUAAAUCUCUAUUCUCGUUCUUUUGUUGGGUCUAUUUGAUUUUUUUGAAAUCAUCUUUUUAAGGUCACGCAACAGUCUGCUUAAUGACGAAUACUAAAUAUUGAUUAACGUGAGCAGGACGGAAGGUAUUGUACACUUGUGCUUGUCGCGUUGCUUAAUUCUAGUCUACCAGAGGGCCAACUCUAAUAACCUAUGUUGCUUAAUCAUUGUUUAGUUUGUUGAACUUUGUUUUCAGAAAAUUUGCUCUAAUGUAUUAAGAUUUGGUUUACUGUGUAUUUUAAGGUUUAGGUUAGUUUGACAAAUUAAAAGUAAAAAUACUCGCUCUCAAAAGUCAAAACAAAUGCAGAGUUAUAUUACAUAAUUUGUAUAAUUUUACGACUCAUAAAAUAUUAUAAAAGUUUCUUCAGUCAUAUCAUUUUCAAUAAAAUUGUAUAAAUUAUUAAUUUUUUAUUUUUCAGAUAUUAUUUAAAAGUUAAAAAAUAUCAUAUUUAAAUCUUCGUAUAGAUCCUCCAUAUAGAUUUUUGCUUAGGGCCCCCGAAAUAUCAGGACCGGCCCUAGCCUCUCGGGCUUCCGGCCUCGGCUCCCCUGCACGGCAGUUGCCGCUGGCGAAGAAGAAGGACCACCGACAGUGGAGGGCAAAGCACCGUCCAUUCCCGGCCCAUGCUGCUCAGUCAAGACGACUGAGGUGGCAAAAACAGUGAGGUUGAAAAACAAAAACCCUAUAUCAAAUAGAGAGUCUGUUGGCACAUCAUCCUUUAAGCAAGUUGUCUAUUUUAAAUAGUCAUCUCUAAACUAUAUAUUUAGCUAGUAUUUAUAGAUAAACUGUUAGAGUUGCUCUUAUAGAGCAAUUAUUGCUUUUAACGAACAUUUAUAUUUAACUAGCCAAUUUAAAAACUGUUGGAACACAAUUUUUUAAAUAAAAUCCCUAUUCGUGACAAUUAGAAACGAUGGCAUUUUAAGGCUGUUUGAAUCUACUAUAGGUAGACAAUAGACUGUUUGGAUCCAUUGGUUAGAGAAAAGGAACUGAUUGAGGUCUUGUUUGGAAGUCACACAGUUUUAAGAAACUAUUUUUUAUCUUUUAAGUAGUAGAGAAUUCAAUUUCUAUAAAUUAAGGCAUAAACUGGUAUGUUUGAAACCACCUCAAUUUUUAUAAACCAAUUUUUUUAAAAAACCGGAUGCUUCCAAAUAGAUUCUAAGAUACGACCUUGGAAACUAGAAGUGUGAAAACACCAUUCAUUCAAAAAGUUAGAAUAUAAUAAAUUAGGGAUAAUUGUGAUUAUAGUCUUCGCUGCCCUUGCAAUUACGAUUUUAUCCUCUAUUUUUUAACUCUGUGAUUUUACCCCUCCGUUUUAAGAAGGAAGCUCUGUUAUACCCUUGCGCUAUUGUGUGCAGUUAACAGCGUUAAAUCUAAUAGAAAAGACAAAAACAUCAAUGCAGUUUAUUGUUAUUUUACCCCUCGUUUCGAUGACGUGAUAAAAACAUGGGUAAAAUCAUAAAUAUAUAAUAUAGCGCGAAGUAAAAUCAUAGUAAAUUAUAUGGGCAUUUUUGUCUUUUCACAUCGAUUUUAGCAUAAUCAACCACACAUAACGGCGCAAGGGUAUGACAGAGGAUUGUUUUAAAAACGAAGGGUAAAAUCACAAAGUUGAAAAAUAAAGGGUAAAAUCACAACUACAAGGCCUGGAAGGGGUAUAAUCACAAUUGCAUGUCUAGAAAAAGGAAAAAGCAAAACAAGUAGAAGUGAGUAGGGUCAACAAGAUUACAAGUGUGACGAAGGACAUUUUUAUGUUAUCCAAAUUUAUCCAUUGAUUGAUUACUUGUUUUUAGAGCUAUAUUCAUUCAUUUACGUAUAAAAACUCUCUUGCAUUUUCUUUUCACUUAAAAUUAUCUAAAACAAGAUCAUUUUAGUAACAACAUGCAUUAUAAAAAACGGAAGAAAUCUAUUGAAAAAUUAUAUCAUGAGAAUAUAAGUUCAUUUAAAACUAUAUUAUCAAUAUCUCUAAGAAUAUUCGGGACUAGUUAUUACAUUGAAUCGAAGGAAGAGACAUGAAUCCUUAUCCCAGAACAAAAGAAUAAAAAAAGGAAAACAUUUUUUAUUAUAAAAAUAGGUGUUUGGAAUAUAAGGACAUGUAAAUAUGUUUUUCUCGCUACUAAUAAAUAAGGAAUUGUUCAUCUCUAUGUCUACAUGUAGGAAAACAUUUUACAAGGUUAAAAGAUGUUUAAUUUUUUUAUUUUGUAAAGUAAAACAUGCCUUUCUAUAGAAAAAAGAAAACUUCAUGUCACAAAUCAAGUGGUGUACAUGAUCAAAUUCCUGCAAUUCUCAUUUGACAUAUGUGUCAACAUCUAGAGAACAUUAUACCCUCCGAUCACCAAGACACAUUCAAAUAUUCUGGUAAAAGAGGCUAUCAUUGAGCCAAUUAUAUGGGGACAAACAACACCUAGGAUACCAUUGCUAGAGGACCUCCCUCUCCCUAACAUAGGAGCCCCUGACAGGUUCGCAUCUCAUAGGGCCUUUGCUACUUCAUCGAGGACAUCCACACCAGGGUACUUUCCUCCUUCCUGGAUUAGUUAGAGCUCCUCUAAAUGUUUCACUUUUUUUCUCUUAGUUUUGAGAAACUUGUGAAAGACGCCUAGAGGGGGUGAAUAUGCGAAACCUGAAAAUUAUAAACUUUGAACACAAUCUUUGUCCGAGAUUAGCGUUUGCAAAAAAUGGCUUCUCAUCUCAUAAACGAGAAAUAAGUACCUCCUCUUUGUAGUAAUAAUAAAAAUGUCAUGUGUCUCUACUAUCUGUAAGCUAUCCCAAUCAACUUUUGGCAUAUUUCCUGCAACCUCAAGAUCAUACCUAAACAAAUGUAAUCAUUUAUGAAAUACAUGACAUGAUAUAGGACACAAGCACAUGCUUUCUUCAUACUUGUUGUACUAUACAGCUGCGCAGGGUGUGGGCAGGGCCUGUCUGGCGCUGGGAAGGUUGUGGCCAGCCUAGCGGCGGCGAUCGAUUCGUCAAUCACAGGUUCGAUCCUCCCGUCCAUGGCGGCGCAAGCAAACACGAUCUCAACGAACACUGAGAAUCAUGCACAGGGGUAAAUGUGUCUCCUCAGGUGCUAACUACAUGCAAAUGGUUAAUGGUUUACAAAAGAAUAUUAUACGGUGGAAGGCAGUAUACUCAAUUGGAAGAUCUUUGUAAACCCAUUUUUGCGAGAUAAAUAUUUGUGAUGGCAUUACUGCGUGUUUAGAGUCCUAAAUAUGCAAUUGUCUCCCAAAAUACAGUUCAGUCAGUCCUAUCUAAUAAGAUCUUGCGAACAAUGGUCUCAAACAUACCGACUGAUUGGUUAAGUGUGUCCGUGGCUGCAGGAUGACCCGAGCCUGGCUGGUCGGAUACCGGCGUUUUGGCGGUACGAGCGGAUGCAGUCAAUUAGCCUCUAAAUGACUUGUUUUGCAUCGGCUCGUACAAUCCGCGUCUUCCACGUGCAGGUAACCAAAUACACGCUUAGUCAAAGUCAAUGCACGCAGUAGUCCAGAAUAAAGCGAUGCGAGCAACCAAUCAUAUGGAUAGUGUCUUUCACACUGACACUUGAGAUUCCACCAGAGUUGCUGCAUAAAUGACGUAAAGCAGAAAUUGUGUGAUAGUAUGUCCUUGCAAUAAACAUGGCAUUCUCACCGUGAGCAGUAUAGUAAUCUCUGCCACUUUCCUCCUGUAUUGCUUCUACUACAGCCUCCUUAUCAAAGAUAGGCCCCUCCUUAAAAGUAGCAGACACCAUUUAUCAAAGAUAGGCCCCUCCUUAAAAGUAGCAGACACCAUGUCAUCGAUGUAGCUCAGACAAUUUGUCAAACACAUGAAGGGCGCACUAGUGUUAAAGAUACUAUCAAAUACGAGCUCCACGUCAAAGGCAGGGUGCCCGUUGAGGACGCCGGUGUGUGCAGUCGAGGAGCCAUCGUUUCCUUGGUUGAACACGGCAAGCACGACAUCAUGGACCGGCUCGGUGUCAAAUACCGACAACGACCUGUCCGAGUCGGUGUCGAAGACGGUGAACUCAGAAUCACCGACCAUGUCACGGAGACGGUGAUAUGGUCGGUGAUCGAAUCAGUGUCGAACACCGGUCCCUUGUCGAGCUCGGCGAGGUCGUCGAAGUUGGUCUCAAUGUCCUCGAACACCACAUCGUCAAAAACGGGUUCGGCGCUGAGGUUGUCGGUGUCUGAAGACGGGUGCAAGGUCGACGUGGAACAGCUCCCGGUCAAAUAUGGUUCUCCCGACUGCUCGGAUUUGAGUGGAAUCGAGAGAGAAAUAGGGUAGGGUAGGAUGGGAAAAUUUUCUCCAAGGAAUGGAAUGGCUCAAUACCAUUUGUGAUGGUUCCACCGGGACGUGAGCGCACCGCAAGCUGAAUCCGCCUUCGGACGGAAGCCGGCGACGGAAGGGGAUAAGACCCGAUUCUUUUCUUCUCCCCUCCCCAUCUCUCUGAUGCUGCUCUUGUACCCAUCUCCGAGUUGUGGGCCAUGGGACACCAGACCAGAAACAAGCCAUGUGUUACAGUGAGAUACGACGCUAGAAGAUUAAUACCAGAUUAAACGAGUAAAUUUCCAAAGAACACCAAAUAGGAUGAACAAGUAGCUAAUACUCAAAUGUUAUUGUGGUACUGUGAAUUUGCUUAUUUGAAUGAUGAUGCAACGCUGCCAUUCAAAACCGAUUUCGCCAGUUGCCACGAACGCUCACGCCACGGUGGCCCUUGUCAUCGCAAGCUUCUCGUCGGCUCCGUCUUCAACAUCACCAUCCUCCUUCCCGGAGGAGUUCAGCCCGGCCGCCACCUCAAGCUCCCUCCACGGCCCGUCGAACAUCUCGGGGAACUUCUUGCACAAACCGACAACCACCCGCCUUGCCGCUCGCCCCUUGCCAGCGUCCUUAAGACCGCGCACCAGCACACGCACCGUUCCAAGGUCGGCCACCUUCCGGCGCUUCACUCCCGCGUAGAACACGUCCUCCGCCUCCGACCACCGCCCUGCGCCACAAAGUGCGCCCACCACGCAACUAUAUGUCGCGCAGUCCGGCACCACGUCCGCCUUCUUCCCGGCCUCCAGGCUGCGGUACACCUCCACCGCCUCAUCCAAUCUUUUGUGCCGCGCCAUCGCCCGCAUCAGCGCGUUGUAGGACCCGACAUCCGGCCGUAGGCUGGCCUCCUCGCGCAUGACGCGGAUCACCUCCUUGACCUCAUCCACGGUGCCGUUGGUGGACUUGUAGGUGAGCAGGGCGUUGUAGGCAGCGGUGUCGGGGGCGAUGCCGUGGUCCUGGACCAUGGCGCGCCACAUCUCCUCGGCGCGGUGCGGGAGGCGUUGCUUGUAGAAGGAGUCGAUGAUGGUUGUGAAGAGCUGGAGCGACGGCGGCGCUCCCGACGAAGGCUUCCGGAGGAGGUGGAGCGCGGAGUCGGCGCCGGAGGUGAGGCAGAGCGACUUGGCGAGGAUGCUGUCCGUGACGGCGUCCCGCGGGACAGAGGCAUGCGCGGCGAGGAUUGAGGGCACGAGCCCGGCCAGGCGGCGGCGGCGGAGGAGUGGACCGAGGACCGCGUUCAGGUGCGCGGUAUUGGGCGACGUCAUGGUGCCGAGCAGAGCGGAGGCGCGGUCGGGGAGGCCCAGCGUGGAGAGGGCCGAGAGCGCGGCGACGGGGUGGGAAGGGAACAGGGGCGCGAGAGUCGCGUCGAUGUCGUCGAGGCGGCCAGCGCGGGCGAGCUGGCGAAGACGGGCGAUAGGGACGGGGAGCUCGGUUUUCUCUGCCGCUGCCGCGGCGGUGGAGAGGAGCCGGCGGCCGGCGGCGGAGAAGGUUGCGGCGGCCAUAGCGGCGGAAGUGCGGAGCGAAACCAGUGGCCCUGUAUUAGGGUUUCGAGAAGCCGACUGCAAUAGUGAUCAGACUUCUUUCGCGGGUUCGGUCAGGCAGGCCUUGAGAAUGUGGAGCUGGGUAAAACAGCCCGUUCAGCAAAAUUCUCUGCGUGCCCUUCCUGUCCAUACAUUUUUAGUCCCAAUUUUAUGUCUGCGUUUCCUAUUAACCUCGUCCGAUUAAUCCACUUUUAAAAAUUAAAAGAUCUCGUAAACAAUAAAUUGAAGGAUUUGAUUACUCAAUAUUUGAUUGAAAUAGAUUCAUAACAAUUCUAAAAAAUAUGAAUUUUCUAUUUCAUAAUCAUUCCUAAUUUCAUUCUAAAAAUAAAAUAAAGAACCUAUAUUAUAAUAUGGUUUCUGUGAUUAAUAUUUAUUACUUUGAUUCGUUAGAACAACUUCCAUUGAGUCUCUGCACCUCCUUUUCCUUUGGGUUCUAGUUUAAGAACCACUUAUUUUUUAAAAAAAAACAGAUUUGGCUCAGGAUUCCCAUUUUCCAUUCCAAGGUUUCUCUGAAUUUGGAAGUUACCAUUUAGCAGGUUUCGAUAACAAGGCUCAAUAGAAUCAAGUUUGUAGCGUCUACCGAUUUCUCCAUAUCCCCGUUUUACUUUCCUUUGAAACCAGGAUUCCUGGUAUAAUUUUUCCAUCUCUUAGUUUUUUUUCGAAUCAUUGAAUUCAUUAUUCGGCGUAGUCUAGCAACUCAUCUGUAUUUGAGACACCCCGCUUGCUUAUUGCAAUUCAGAAUUGCAUUGAUUUUAUCGUUAAUAUAUUUGCAAUUCAAUCGGAAUGAAUAUAUCCAAAAGUUUUUCUCCCUCCUACCUCCCUCCUUCCUUUUUAGAGUAUUCCAAAUCAUACUAUAACGCUUGAUAUUCAUUCUUUUUUCUAAACUGAAUUAGAAAUUUCAUUUGCUAUGAUUCUAUCUUCUCCUCAGUGAACUAUUUAUCCUUAAAUUAUUAACAAAUAAAAAACUUGGCAUUUUCUCUUUAUUAUAUUAUUCAUAUAUAUUCUUCUUUUCUAUGUAUUAGAUUAUUCCUCCAAGCCAUAUCAAAUUGAAAAUAUCUGAAAUCAAAUUCAAUAUACAAUUUAGAAUAUAUUUUUAUUAAAAAUCCAUUUGUGAAUUAGAGAAAUAAAAAUAAAGUUCAAUAAAUUCUAUAAUCCUAUUUAAGAAUAUCAUUUAGUUAAGCAUAUCGCUAACUUUAUCUUUAUGAAAUUCUAGUAUUUUUUCUAUCUAAGUGAAACUUCCAAUUUAGAACUAGUUAAUAAUUAAGAUAUGACAUUUUACAUAUUCCCUAUAUAUAUUUUAUUUGUUACAAUUUUCUAUUAUGUAAACCCCACUUAGCUCAGAGGUUAGAGCAUCGCAUUUGUAAUAUGACGGUCAUCGGUUCAAAUCUGAUAGUGGUCGACUUUUUUCUAUCGAUGUUCUAUGAAUAAGAAUUUCUCUUUUUCUCCAAAUAAAAUGGGGAAUCCAGAGUCUAUUAUGUCGUUUCACCUUACAAUUUUGCUAGAUACAAAGUAUACAAUUAAAUAAUAUAUAUAUAUACAAAAAAAUCCAGAUGUUGAUGAAAUUCCAUCUUUUGUGUUACUUUAGUAGAUUCUACUCUAUUUAUGCUUUAGUUUAAUUCUGUUUGAAUUUCAAUGUAUUCUGUAAUAUAAAUAGAACAAAACUUAUUGUGUAAAAUGAUAUAUCAAUAAAAUAAAAAAGGAGUCUUUAUGUCUCGUUAUCGAGGGCAUCGUUAAAAAAACAUCAUAUGGGAGCUUUACUAGGACUCACUAGAAAAGCGCAUAAAUUCGGAAGUAAUCAGAAAAAGAAAUUCCAUUAUGGGAAAAAGAGUAAUGUCAUAUUCAUCUUCAAGACAACAGAAAUUGUGUUUUCAUAAUUGUCUGACAGACCGACAAUUACUUAGAUAUGUAUAUAUCACUGGAAAAGCAAAAAGAUCCACAUGUCAGGUUUCACUACAAUUACUUGAAAUGUGUUUGGAUAACAUCCUUUUUCAAUUGGUAUACAAUUUGCCUCCACGCCAAAUUUGUUUGGAAUCUAAGAUUGUUUCAGGAACUUGCAGCUCAUGAGACCUAUCUGGCAAAGAUGGAACAACGAAAACAUUAGCUCCCACUUUUGGUUUCAACGGUGAUACAUGGAAGAUGGGGUGAAUGCCACAUCCCAUUGGAAGAGCCAAUUCAUAUGCCACCGCAUUGACCUAACAAAAUCACUGUGAAAGGCCUAAAAACUUGAAUGCCAAUUUAGGGUUAAUGCGUGAAGCGACAUAGGACUGAUAGUAAGGUUGAAGUUUGAGGAACACUUUGUCCUGCUGUAAAUUUACGAUCAGUUCGGCCUUUGUAAGCUUGUAUUUUUUCAUUCUUUCUUGAGCUCAGUGAAGAUGUAAUUUAAUUUGCUGCAACACAUGUUGUCUCUCUUCCAUCAUUGUCUAAAUGUCUGGUAUUGUAUGCUUCCCAGAGAUAUCAAUACCAAAGUGUAAAGGCUUAUGACCAUACAACACUUCAAAAGGGGAUGUUCCAAGUGCUGAAUGGUGACAUGUAUUGUACCAAAAUUCUGCUAAUGGCAGCCACAACGACCACUUCUUUGGAAAAGAAUGUAGGAAACAACGAUGGUACAUUUCCAUACACUAGUUCACUCGUUCUGUCUGACCAUCAGACUGGGGAUGGUAAGCACUGCUUAAACAUAACUUCGUGCAUGCUAAACGAAAUAGCUCCUGCCAUAAUUUACUUGUAAACACUAGAUCUCGAUCGGAUAUCAUGGCCGCUGGCAACCCAAGUAGCUUGUAGACCUCAAGCAGAUACAGUUUGGCCACCAAAAAACUAUGAAUGGAUGGCUCAAGGGCAAGAAGUGAGCAUAUUUAGAAAAUUUGUCCACCACUACUAGUAUACAACUUUUUUGGUCUAAUUGUGGAAAUCUAGUGGCAAAGUCAAGACUAGCAGUGUGACAUGCAUGAUUGGGGACUGGUAAUGGUAGAAGAAGGCCUGGAUAUUUUGCCCAAUCCGACUUAGCCCGCUGACAUGUGAUAGUGGAUUGCACAAACUCCUUGACAUCUUUCUUCAUUCCCGGUCACGUAAAGGUAGCCUUGAGUCUACUGUAUAUCACUGGAAAGCCCGAGUGUCCACCCACUGGAUCGUCGUGCAAUGCUGCCAUGAUAGUGUGCUGCAGUUCAGUGUUUGAUCCUAACCAUAUUCUACCUUUAAAUCGAAUCACACCAUUGACCAGACCGUAUUGCUCGUGAAUGCCCCAUGUAGUCAGUAACUACAAUAUCCUCUGAGCAACUUGGUCCUUCUCAUACCUUGAACCACUUGCAACAGCCAAAUAGGAACUAUAGUGGACACAUUGACUUGAUUCAACUGUAACUCGGGUACAUCCAUUUCCAAUCCUGGUCACAUUGAUAGUGCAUCAACUACGCGAUUAUUAGUCCCUUUCUUAUACAUAAUUUUAUAUUGCAACCCCAUAAGUUUGGUCAGGGUUUUUUGCUGCCACGCAGUGGAAACUCUUUGAUCCCCGAGAUGAAUAUGUUGGAUUAAUGUGGGCUUGGCCCAAUUAAUAUUCAAUAAUAGUCAAUGUUAAUUCCAACUCAUGUCCUUGGUUCUAGCCUCCAUAGAUUGCAACCAAUAUAGAGCCGAGCCCUGAAAAUGCAUGACUGCCACCUGGAUCCACAUCUCCAUAGGAACAACAUAGUAUUCAAAAUAAGUUUCACAUUGACUCUUCCACAAAUUGGGAUUGGAACCAUCAAACAAUGGAAAACUUGUUUGGGGUAAAUUCACUCCGGACCCUUGAGACCAACCCUAUCGACGCGAACUGGCUUGCAAGUGUUUGCCCGAACAACCAUGGGGCAUAAGGAGGAGGCAUGACCAUACCUCCCGUUGGUUGAGGAAUUCGAUUUACAUCCAUCUCCAUGAAUGAUCGCCGAAAGGGAUCGGUUGUUCAGUGCAAAGUAGACCCCAGCGGCACUUAUCCAAACGUCGUGUUCGAUGUCGUCGACGUUGAAGAACUUGUUCCCACUAGAACAACACCCCGAUGAGAUGGGUGGUGGAAGUCUCGUAGCCUUCUAUGCCAUCUUGUCCAUCUGGGUGUGUGUGCUUGCCAACACUUCCGUUAUCUCCCCAACCUUCUUCUCGAUUCCCGGCCUCCACCUCUAAAACUCACCCCGAUCGGUCAUCAGACCUUGCACGGUGAGAUCCAUCUACUCCAUGGUUGAGUGCAUCACAUCCAUAUGUCGUCACGUCUCCUUGUUACCCUCAUCGAUUUUGGCGAUUAGCUGCACCAACGAAUCCUCCACCCGUGGACGUGCCAUCUCUCUAGCCUUGGCUUGAAACCUGGUGUUGUACGCGUGGUGAGGAUCCAGAUCGGCUCCGAUUACCAACUGUUAACACCACACAAUCACACAAUCUCGCAAACACUCACAUGCUCGGAUAGUGGUUGGGUUUAUUCUUUCGUGUGUUCCAAGUUCAUCAUCAGCCAAAAGCCAGCCUUACAAUGGAUUACCUUUUUCCCUUUUAAACCCCGCUAAGACUCACAAUAUUCCUUGACUUACAGACAGGUGAGACCCCAGUUACACCCAGCUAUCACCAUCAUACUUCGAAUUCAGCUUCCUCUCCCGAUGGUUCCUCAGCUUCUGGUCCUCAACAACUCCAGCUUUUCCAAGUGGCUUCUCUUCCCCUGGCUUGGUUGGUUACUGUGGUUUGUCUGGCAUGACGGUUCAGUUUAUCAUUAUGACGCAUGAGCUGUUGACAAUUGUCCACUAAACCAAGCCAACUCAAGUGCCCAAAGUUGACUAGGCCGCCCUCCAAAGACGGCCAAUUCGAUCACAGUGUCCGACCCUGUGAAAUCCAGUCUAGCUGAUAGGGGCGAAGCCAGGUUACCUUUUUGUGGUGCACAGGACCAGGGUAAAAUAAAAUCUUGUUAAUAUACUAGUACGAUGCACAUGUGUUGCGACGGCAUAUAAAUUAUUUAAUAAAAUGUUUGUGCACAACGAUUACAUGAAAGCAAACAACACAUAUAUUAUCAUCGACUUCAAUAUCUCAUAAAUUUCACAAAUUGUGCCAACAACCAAUCUCUACUAUAAAGCAUCAAUUUACACAUGCUUUUGGUGGAACUCUAAAGUCAUCUUCACAAUCAGAAUAUCAUAACCUAAAGUCCAAUUCUUAUGGUGACUGACAAUAUAAAUCUACAAAAGAGAAUCAAAUGCAGGUACAAUCUCAAGAAGAAUAUGGUCCUUGAAGAUGACAUAAGCAAAGCUGUUUUUUUUAACAUAUCUUACCUUUAUGUAGAGAAAAAUACAUAAUAUAAAGCUUCCAUAAACAAGAGCAGAGUAUAUCUCCCCAAGUGAUCAUACGCUAUUGGAGGGUUAAAUAUACCGAACCUGACACAAAAGUUUCUUCGUGUUAGCAUGUUUAAUUGUGGACAAAUGACACAUCGACAUACACAAUUUAAGAGCGCCAACACCCCAAUUUGGAAAGGAAAUUGGAGGGAUAAAGUAAAGUCGAUUAGUUCAUAUGCUUAUAUAUAACAAAAGGAUACAUAGAAAUGCAAGCAAAGUUGAGAAUAUCAAAAGGAUAGAAAAACUACAAGCGCAUACACAAGGAUUAUCAGUUUGAUGACCAUAAGAUCAAAGGUUCCAGAACCUUAUUUUGUUCUAUUUAUAGGACUGAUGAAUAGCCAAGAUGUGUGGCAGAGCGUUGAUAGAAGGUAAAUCACAGGAUGCCAGCAUUUAUUCAUUUCAUGCAUGCCCUUCAACAUCUCCUGAAGAGGAAGAGAAAUGGAACCAAGUUAAAAUUACACGAACAACAGGUUGACUAUAACGAAAAAGGAUAGUCUUACCACCACAAACCAAGGUUAAGUUAUCAAGGUCCAAUAUAGUAUACUCAAUUGAUCUUCCAUGUUUAUCUAGCUGCUAGUACUUAUUCAAUUAUUAUUUCUCUUCAUUAAGUUCUUUUAGUCUUUCCUCUAAGUGAGAGCACCUAGAGGGGGGGGGGUGAAUAGGUGAUCCUGUAAAAACUUGAAACUUAAUGCCACAAAACUUGAUUAGGAGUUAGCACCAUAAAGCCAAAUGGCUAGAGAGGAGUUCUUUCACAACACAAUAACCACAAGAAGAUCAACACAAAUAGGCACAGUGGUUUAUCCCGUGGUUCGGCCAAGACCAACACUUGCCUACUCCAUGUUGUGGCGUCCCAACGGACCAGGGUUGCACUCAACCCCUCUCAAGCGGUCCAAAGACCCACUUGAAUACCACGGUGUUUUGCUUUGUUUCACUAUAUCCCGCUUGCGAGGAAUCUCCAAAAGUUGGAGCCUCUCGCCCUUACAAUUUGAUGUUCACAAAGAAGCACGGAAAUAAGGACGGGAUGAGCAACGCACACAAGACACAAAAUCAGAGCACACACACGCGCACAAGUCACAACUCAAGCUCACAACACAACCCAAAGAGUUCUCUACUCAAAUGGAGCUCUAGUUGCUAUCACAAAGAAUCAAAUGCGUGGAAUUGGAGUCUUGGUGCUUAGGAAUGCUUAGAGAAUGCUUUGGUGUUCUCCUCCAUGCGCCUAGGGGGCCCUUUUAUAGCCCCAAGGCAGCUAGGAGCCGUUGAGAGCAUUCCAGGAAGGCAAUUCUUGCCUUCUGUCGUCUGGCGCACCGGACAGUCCGGUGCACCACCGGACACUGUCCGGUGCGGAUUUCUUUCCUGUUUUGGCGCAGCCGACCGUUGACGAUUUGGAGUCGUUGGCGCACCGGACACUGUCCGGUGCACACCGGACAGUCCGGUGCCCCCUUCAGACUGUUGGCCUGGCCACGCGUCACGCGCGGAUUGCGCGGCCGACCGUUGGCUCGGCCGACCGUUGGCUCACCGGACAGUCCGGUGCACCAUCGGAUAGUCCGGUGAUUUAUAGUCGUACGCCGCCGACGAAACCCGAGAGCAGCCAGUUCGCCAGAGCCAGCCUGGCGCACCGGACACUGUCCGGUGCUCCCAGACUGAACUGUCUUUGGCUGAACAAAGCCAUCUCUUUUCCAAAUUGAUUUCUCCUAUUUCCAGUACUUAGACACAAUACAUUAGUCCUUAAAACAAAGUACUAAGUCUUAGAAACAUACCUUUAUGUUGAUUUUCACUUCUUGAGUCCUUGGCAUAAUUUAACACUUAGGCACUUGUGUUGGACACUUAAUCACCAAAAUACUUAGAAAUAGCCCAAGGGCACAUUUCCCUUUCACUAAGUAGUGGAGACAAUUUGAUCAAUCUGUUUCCCUUUGUUGGCUUCUUGUAAGUAAGGAAUUGUGUCUCAACAUGCUACUUUGAUAUUUGUUAAGAUAUAUUAAGAAUUAUGGAGAUUCAAAGUUUCAAACUACUUGUUUUGGUCAUUAUUUUCAAGCUCUCCUUCCGCCUAUCUUCAAAUAUGUGUGCCACCAAUCUCUUUGGGAUGAUAUAGUUGUUCAGAAUCUUUCAUCACUUCAUCAGGGUAAAGGAUGCAAUCUACUAUUGACAAAUGUGUCCACGUAAUAUCUGAACAGAUUGAAUACAUGGAUAAGUAAAUGGUGAGUACUUGUUACCUUUCCUUGCUAGACAAUGUAGUAUGGAUUACAACGAGAGAAACCGGUACUGGGAGUGAACUUUUAACAAGAAUGAAACAUUAGACUCACCCAUGGAGUUCAACAAGUCUGUUAGUAAGCUCGUACACAUAAGAGUAAUAAAAGUACAUACGAGAUGCCAAGACAUCAUUCAACAGUUCUCCACUUUAGAUUCUUCAGGUGAGUAAUGCUCACACUUGCACAUGUUUUAGCCUUAAUACAAAAGCAGUCAAAAUAUUAUUUUACACAUCAAACAUAAGGAAAAUCAGCGUUUUAGAUGUACCUCAUCGUAUUUCUUCUAAUCAAUAAGAAAAAUCAGUACAAGCAGGUAGCAAUAUAUUUCAAUCUCAAGGAUACCAUGUUUGAUUGAAAUCAAAGCCACAACAUCAACAUCCAUCUUAGUAUCGUCUUCCUGAAAGAAACUACAAGUGAACAUUAGGAGUUAUAAAUGUGAUAUUUUUUUCUAAAGUGGAUACAUGAUAGAAAUUGAGGAAAUGAGUUUGUGUCCUUAUCAAGUCAAAUUUGGGUAUUGUUUAUUCUCUAUAUAUGAAGCCACUUAGAUCAUCCCAAGAUGGUCUGUUUUAAGAUAAACUUAAAUCUUACAGGACAUACAGAAGCAAUAGACUUUGCCACUGGAACGACCUUGUCAUCAAUAUAACUAACAAAACAAUUGCAGACAGGACACCCUGCAAUUAAGCAUUUGAAAGAAGCACUCAGAUUAGUGGGGACAAGGAUGGCAUGGAACUAAAUCACAUUGUUACAAUGCUCCAAAUAAACAUACCAGACUUGGGCAUAUUACAACAAUUUGCUUCUCCAGCAAAACUCCAACGAAUAACCCUAACACCUUUAGGAAAAAAUAACUUUAUGCAAAAAUGAAUAGUCACGACAACAAUUACCAUUUAUAUUAUACCCCAUAUACCAAAUGUAUGAUCUUAAAAUGGGUUAGUAAUGAUCGUACUGAACAAACAGAAUUGCAUGGAUGUGACCUAUAUUUAAUGUGGUCUUAAUCACCUAUAUUUUACACAGCAAAAUAUAUAGUGUUUUGUGAUUCAAAAAGACCAGCUUCCAUUCAAAAAGUUUUGUUUCUCACCCUGCUCAGGCUUUGUACAGUCUUUUUUGUUUGCUCUCCUUUUUUGUUUUGUUUGUGCAAUUGUUUCUUUAGUUCUAACAAACUUUUAUUAUAGUGCUAUACUGUAUUUACAGUUCAAAAAUGUUUGGUUGGUUCAAGAACUAAUGAAAUCUCUCACUUCACUUCUUCCUGUUGAUUAAGAAAAAUAACUCACGACAUAGCAUACAGGUCUUAUCUGUGGAAUUUCACAAACAACAAAAAAAUAAAGAUAGAAGAAAAUCUUGGUUGUCAAUAUUAUAUCUUAGGAAAAGGUCUUGAGUGUUGAGCUUCUUCUGCAGUCACCAAAUGUAAAUUGAUCUACAUUCUAAGUUUCAAGAUUAGAGAAAUGGAUGAAUGAUACUGCAGGCUAUAGUCAUGAUAGGUCAAGUAUCUACUUUAAAUGUCCAAAUCGCCUCUGCAAAACCCAACAAGGGUAAUCCAGACCAGGAGUAUUUCACAGGUUGGACAUGUUCAAGGGUGUGGAAUACAAGUUCACCACCACGAGGUGGUUGAGGAAGAGCAUGAUAACCACAAACAAUCUGUAGAGGUUCAUUAUUGUGUGCCUAAAAACGAUAAUGUAUAUGAACAAUAAGAAUUCAAGCCAUCUUAAGGUAUUUGAGAGGCAUGAAUAUCUAAAAUGACCGGCACCGGUUUGUCCUCCAAAGUACUACUAUAAAUUUUUUUGUACACUUGUACUGACGGUUAUCAUGGGUAAAACAAAAAAAAAACACAGGGCAACUCUUAACUAAAUGCUCAUACUUUAAUGGUCUAAUACAACUUAUUUUAGCAGUGUAUUAUCUUGAUUUGUCCUGCAGAGAUAUGGUGCUUUGUAUUUGUUGGCAGCUUCUUCAAUUACUACUGGAAUGUCCAUGAGCUGGAGGUCUGUGGCUGUUUGUCUAUGUUUAGGUUAUCUCCAUCAGCUUUUCUAUCCUACAUACCAUGUCUCCUAAAAAUGCUCCAAACCGACCACAUACAUUGAAACUGCUUCAUUAAAAAAACAUGACACCAAUAUUUUUUAAAAAGACAACACUUCAUAAUUUUACUAAAAGCAAAUUUGUCAUGUUUCUCGGUCCAUAGUUUCAACACGAGAAGUACUUGACUAUAAUUCUGCUUCAGAACCCAUGAGAAAUAGUACUUUUCUGCUGUCCAUAAGCUAACAUGACCAAAUUUGUUUAAAUGUGGAGCCUACAAAAAAUCAAACUUUCUGCAUUAUUUUAAGCUAAGAGAAAAGAGCUAUUACUAAUACUCAAAGCACAGCAUGCAGAGCCCACACUCGAGCUCCCACUUUGUGUCCACUUCUGAUAAAUGCUCAUCCCUGCUCCUAAAUUUUUUCAGGCACAAUUUCCUUUGUUUCAUGUCAUCCAGCUCGGUGAUGCCACUUAGAAGAUGCAGCAGCGACGGGAAAACAAUGUCUGCCAUAGCGUAACGCAGUCAGAAUCGACACUUAUGGGCAAUUAUUCAAGGAAGAAAGUGGGUGGGUUACCAUAAAACUCCAUGAUGAUGGCCUCCAUCUCCCAAUCAGGAAGCGCCGACGAGCCAUUUGCGCACACCUAUCGGAGAAACAACAACUCUACAGCCAGCUCAUGGAGUGAAAACCUAAUCGAGCACGACCACGAGCUAGGGUGCAAGGUGAUACCUUGUAUAGCAUAAUCUUCAGGAGGUCGAACACGCCCGUGAGCUUGUGCCUUGCAGUCGGUACAGUGCAGGAGGAAAUGAGUGACGACGUUGUACGCCACCCACAUCUGGAUGACCGAACCAUCAUAGUCCCUAAGGAAUUUAGGCCCCCUGCUCACACAAACAAUCCCGAAACAAAAAAUGCGCACACAUCAUCCAUUCACGCUGUUGGACCUCAUGGACAGGGGCAGUGGCGGUGUUAUCGACACCGCACCAUCAUGUAGGCUGGCAUGACUCUCGCUGGACAGAUGUGCGGUGGUCAGUGCCUGAUCCAGACUUCUCCUCACCGCAUCGUCGCGGUCUUCCUUCCCAUGCCUCGAAAGCAUCGCGGCGCGCGCGACGAGGGAGGAGCUCGGUGGCGCCUCGGUUCGGGCGAUACAGGGGCGAGGGCUAUGCGCCUGUGGGGGAGGGAACACGCAGCGGGGCAUCAGGAGGCGGGCGUGGUGGGCGGGGGGCAUAGAGGUAGGAGAGCGGGACGGGGGCACGGACGCCGAUCUGGGGGAUGGGGGCACGAUAUUGCCGCGCGGGAGGGCGAGCUUGACGCGGGGACGCUAAGAUUGCCGCGGGGGAGGGAGAUUGCCGCGGGGGAGGGUGAGCUUGCCGCGGGGGACGCCAAGAUUGCCGCGGGGGACGCCGAGAUUGCCGCUGGGGAGGGCGAGCGCCGAGAUUGCCGUGGGGGAGGGCGAGGGGGAGCGUUUGCCGAGGGCGCGCUGCUGCGAUGUCAGGCGAAGGCGUGGUGGAUGCCCCCGCUACGUACAUAUGGUGCAGCAGAGAUACCUUAAAUUUAUCAUGUAUUUCCCUUUAAAUUGUAUACUUUUUUUGUGUUUGAUAGAGUGUGCACUAGUGUUAUUUUUGAGCUGGCUUCAUCCUUGCUAGUAGACUUCCAAUGUCGUCUAGGUUGACUUUAGCUCAUUUAGAGUCGAUUAUUUCCAAAUCGUUUUUGGAUCUAUUUCAGCCUGGAAAACUUGAAGAACAGAUUUCGGAUUUGUUUUUACUAGGAUAAAACCACCUAUCUCUGAUUUACGAAUCGUAAAUAAAUAUUUGAAUCGUGAUCUAUUACCACUCCCAUUUGUAAGCCCAUUUGUAAACCGAUGUCUCCGCCACGUAAGUGUCGACAAAUCCUUCAAGCGAGAGGGAUUGAGGGAACGACGACUUGAUAGGAUCAUAAAACCUUGGGCUUAAGAGAGACGACAACGGGACGCUUGAACGAGACUCCUCGCUGCUGGUACAGCUACAGCAUAUCGGUUAUCGGGGCCAUGCUCACGCACGACCUGUCCGCCUCACUAGGCUGUCAUGUUUGCCCGUUGGUGUCUCGCAUAAUGGAGGAGAUGGAGAUGGGGAGGAGAAUAGACAGGGGUUAACUUCCUGAUGAUGGCUGGCCGCCCAUCAUUAGUUGAGCAAAAAGAAAAAAACGAGAGGAUAUGCUUCUUUUUACGUUUGGCAGUCGUCUGGACUGGACCAGAGAGAAGGGAAGCGCAGCUGCAGACCAGAGAGGCGCGCUCGGCUCGACCGCAUGAUGGAGGUUUCACGUGCUCUCUCUGCCUUUUGGCCUUUCGUGUCUGGUGUUGCAUGGACCCAACCCUGACGGCUUCACUACAGGUACAAGGGUAGUAAUGGUUUGUUACACGCUUCAACUCCCCCUCCCUCGUCUCGACACGAGCUGCCAGAUCAUAACUGUAUUCUUUGUUGCCUGGCUUGAGAAGGAAACGAAGCUUAAGUACUCUUCUCCAUCAAACCACUGAAAUGAAAAGAAAAAAAAAGGAGGGGGGAGGGCAGGAAAGGUCUGGGUCAAGCUGAACCAGACCGUCCAAAGGAGGAGAGGGACAGGUCAGUGCAGCAAGCAAAAAAGAGAGGCCCCCAUAUGGCUCCAUGCCUUUUAACAGCGAUCAUGUGCUGCUCCUGCUCGCCCGCCAGUACACGCAGCGACUCAUCGCGGUCAUGUUUAUUUAUUUUUGCCAGGAUUGCUUUGCUAAGAAUUUCUUUGGAACUCGCACUGAAAUGAGAUCGGCAUUUCUGCCGCUGUCGCAUUCAGUUUAAUAAAAUACGACGAUGAUAUAAAAAGGAACUCGGCAAGGUUGGGCUUGGGCAUCACGAUUCAUUCAUGGUGUGAGCUUCUGUUUGCACGGAUACGUCUAACGACUAGGGAUGAAAGUGGUAAUCCGAACUGUUAGAACAAAUUUAAUAUUUUAAAAUAGAUAUGUAUAAAAUUUGAUGUUGAUCUUUUCUUAUGUUAUCAAGCACAUUAGUACAAAUAUGGAUAAAAUAUUAUAUAAGUUGUUUUAUGUAUUAUUUGCUCUCUACAACACAAAAAGUUGAAAAAAUUACCGAAUUUGUUUCCGAAUCCAUACCAAAGUUUAUAUCUAUUAUUUGAGAAAAUGUAGGAUGAAUUUGAGGUUUACCUUUUAUGAAUCUUAACAAACUGGAUGUUAAAAAUAAGAAUACAAAUUUGUAUUGUAUAUUCUAUAUCUUAUUUAUUCGCAAUCAAAGAAAAAACUGAUUACCGAAUAAAUACCGUUUCCGACCGUUUUCAUCCCUACUAACGACCCUCAUAAAUGAGAUGAGAUGCCCAAAUCUUCGCCAGCGAAGGAAGAGCAUUAAACUACACACGCCCCAAGGUUCAUUCUCCUGCCUGAGAGCAGAUCGAGAAAACACACCUGAAGGAGAUAUACUCCUAUUUUAACCAGUCACUCUUUUCAGAUGGUCAAUGAUUUAUUUGAUUUUUUAAAUCCUGGCUACAUCCACAGAAGAACGGAAACGGACCUGCGUCGAUGCAACGCGACGCGGAUCCCUAGUAGAAUCAAAUCUAACGCGUCACAGACAGCGACGCGAAAUUCGCAGCGAGCGAUGGAGCGAUGUAUAACGAUAAAUCAAGCGCAGAGAAAGACGAGACUAGCAGCAACGCAUAUCUCAAAUGGGACCAAUAUCAGUAGCAAAUAUCAACCAGACAGAAUCACCACUCACGAUCACGACGAGAUAGCAGAGUACUAUCUACAAGGGGGGGAUGAGAUCACACAACCGACACCGCGACAUGGUAUAGAAACCCUCCCUGCACCAAGGAAACCAGAUCCGACCAAAAUGCGACGACGACACGACAGCACCGAACAAAUCUCACUACUACUAGUACUACUGGAUAGCACUCCAAUAAAUAGAUCUAGGCGGCGGCGGCGGCGGCGGGGGAAGUACUGCUAGGUAGCCUGCAGGCACGAGGCCCCAUCGGCUCAGUGGCGGACGGCGGCGAAGAGGAAGGCGGCGGCGGAGGCGACGAGAGCCGCGGCGAAGGGCGACGACGCCGCGACGGCGGCGGAGACGGGGCUGGGCGCGGGCGCCUCGGCCGCGGCGGCCACCGAGAAGGAGACGGCCGCCAGAACGGCGGCAACGGCGAGGGCCUUCGAUCCGACUCCGGCCAUUGCUUGCUUCGCUUCGACGGGUUGUGGAUUGUGGUGUGGCGGCGGCGAGAUGGUUCCAGAAGGCUGAUGCGUUGCUGUGCAGAAUAAUAGUGGCGAGCACGAGAUCUAUGCUGGUGCCUGGUGGUGGGGAAAGGUGUGGAGGGGCGAGUAUUUAUAGAGGACAGGGGUUGGAGUCGCGGGCUAACGGGUAUGGCUCGCUGGUGACAGCUGGUAUUGGUAUAGAGCUUUAGGCCAACUCCAGUAACUGUAUGUGGAUGUAUAACAAUGUUUUCAUAGUAGAUACAUUAUUUGUAUUUGUAGAGAUGGGUUAAAAAGUGUGAUAAGAAGUGGGAUAAAGAGUCUGCUGUAGAUAGUAUUUACGAAUCUAAGGCCUUCUUUGGAAUGCGGUAAUUUUUUUAAAAUUUCUAGUGUUUUUUUGUGAAGAUGAGAUGAUUCCUGUAAAUUUAAUGUAUAAUUUUAGUGAAAUUCCUGCGUUCAAAGUAGGUCUAAAAGUAUAUAUUUAGAGUUUAGUUCAAAUAACGUCACCCACUGCGAAUUUACUAGAAUCAAUUAUAUUUUUAAAAAAUAGAUAAAUAAUACACAUUCGUGAAAUACAAAGUUGCCAAAUGAAAAGGCCCAUGCAUGAGAGUCAAAGUUCAAAGACUACUCGAUGUCAAAUUUAUCGAACCAAUCAACUAUCCAACAUGACUCGUUAAUGUAAUGAUGGUCAAGAAAAAGAAGCCAACAAGCAAGAUCUCUAACACCUACAUCAAUAAGGUGGACAAAAAACAGCUACACCAUACCUAAUUAAUUAAGAAGAAAAAGAAUGAAAAUGUGAUAGUCAUCAAAGCCAACAAGGGAAAUGGGACCAAAUGCAUCUGGGUGUCAAAGGAGAUUAUCUCAAUCAUUAAAAUCAUAAAUAAGGUUUGGGCCUCGAAAUGGAAGUGAGAAGUUCGAAGGACUUCGAGGAAUUUAGAGACUUGGCAAAUAGUGAUGUAUAUCAUGUGAUACAUCACAUCGGAUCAAGAAAAUUAACAAGUGGGUUAGUGAACACUUUGGACCCAAAUUCCCCACCUAUGAUUAAGGUAACUAGUUUUAUUGCUUCCUUGUCUUUAGAUACACGUAUCUAUUUUUUUAAUAUCUAGCUUACCUUUCAUGCCUAGUUCUACAUGUGGUAAUUAUCUUCAUCAGCAUGCAUACUAGGUAUAUAGUAGAAAUGCUUGUCUUUAAUUCAUACUUCUUGAGCAAACCUACAUGGUUUAAAAAUAUGAAAUAAAGCACGACACAUAACUUAAUUAAAAUUCCUAGAUAAAUGACACUAUCGAAUGUUUCUAAUGUUAUAUCUUUAAAUUGGUGUCAUUUUGGCUUAUAUGUGCCAAAAGUACGGAUUAUAGAUAAUUUACCCCUCUUGAUCUUAAAAUCAAUGUGCAUGUAUCCUACAAGUAUUCAAAACUUAUAUGCACACCUUUAGGGGAGGUUACUAUAUAAUCUAAGUCUUUGAGACUAACACCGUUUUUCAAAGCCUAUUAUGUGUGUAGUAGUCUAAUUGAAGGAAAAUGGAGUCCCCGGAAAAAGACAAUAAGCUUCCACUGCAAAUCUUCAAGUGGUUUCAUUCCACGAUUGGUAUCACUUUCAUAUCUUCUCCAAUUGAUGAAUAGGCCGAUUUAUUUCUAUCUUAUGCCCCCAAUGUUGCCUCAUAUGCAUAUGUUGUUAAAAUAUAUCUUUUAACUAUGCAUAGUUUUUCUAGGGAGUUAAUCUAUUUUCAUCAUAUCUUGUUUCCUCAUGUAUUCAUGAGCUUUUUCUUAAAAGAGGGUCUCCAAUAGGGGGAGUAUGUCUUCUUUCAUACAAAGGGGGAGAAUACUCUUCCGUAGAGGGAGAACUUUCUUUUAGGGAGUAAUUCUUUUUAGAGGGCAAGUACUCAAUUGCUUUCUAUAUGCUUAUCAUGUCUUCCUUUUCGGUGUUUGAUUCCAAAGGGGGAGAAUUUUAUGGACCAAAGCAAACCAAAGUAAUCAAAUACCAAAAACCACUAUUUUUUGAUCUUACAAGUGGUUUCUUAUGAUGGAUUCUAUUCCAAAUAGGGGGUAUGUGGAUUGUGGAGUUAGGGGAGCCUUAAGUCCAUAAUCACAUUAGGGACUAGUUGCAUUUGCAAGUAACGUGCUUAAUUCUAAAUUCAUCACAUAUCCUAUUGAAUAAUUAUACGAUUUUCAGAUUAAAUUCCGAAUAUAAAUCAUGACCAAAUUAGAAGAACUGAAGUAAAAAGUCAAAUCAGAUGAUGCGUACUGAUCAGACAUACUGAUAGAUGGCGCGGGCCCGAAUCAGUAGGGUCGACGACGUCGAAGCAGCGGGGUUGAAGAUCAGCGGAAUCAGUGAGCAGUUACGUGAGGACGCUUCCCAAAAACCUUAUUCGCCCUCUCCCAGUGUAGGAUCUCGAAGGCGAAGGGUUCCGGAGACCUGCUCUUCCGAUCGUAGAUGCACGUCGGUGGUCGGGAUGAAAGCAACUGAAGGCGGCUCAGUUGUGAAGACAGGCGAAAGCGAAAACUGGGAUGAUCUGGAUGCUGGCAAAAGGGAGCCACGCUCCCGCAAGGCGAGGGACCGAAUUUCGGCGGACAUUCACGCGUAUGUCGUGUGCCCGCGUCCUUCGCCCUGCCCCGCCCUGGCAAGGCGAGCGAACGCGCGCGUGUGGCUCUCCACACACUCUCCUCUCAUCCAUGACUUGGUGAGUGAGUGUGACCUCCAUAUUUAAACUAGUUCCACUCCACUUGGACUAGCAAUAUGGUAAUAUUGGUUCCACCAUUCCCUAGCCAUACACAUAUAUGGGCUUUUGAGAUUUUCCUGGGAUUUAAUUGAAUUUCUCAAUUGGGCCUAGCCCAUAAAUCCUAACAUAUCCUACAUUUGGUAUGAUAAAUAUCUUGCUUAUGCAUAUGCAUCAAUAACAAGUAGAUUGCAUAUUUUAACUCAAGUAUUUGAUUAUUUGCUUGUUUUGGUUGUGUUGUCAUCAAUCACCAAAAAGGGGGGAAAUUAUAAGGAAAAUGGACCAUGGCACAUUUGAUUUUGGUGUUCGAUGAUGAACAUAACCUUGUGGAAUAAUAUUUUAUGAGUGUUUGUGUUUUAUAGUCCACAGGAUACAAAGUGGAUUGGACUAAGGCUCCGAGGGUGCAACACCUCAAAACAAGACCUAAAAGACACUUAGAAGAUCAACAAGUAUCAAGCAUAAGGACAAGACAUAAGACCAAAAGAGACCAAAGAAAAAAUUGAAGAAAUCAAUAAAAUGACAGUCAGUUAGUAUACUGGUGGCUCACCGGACUGUUUGGUGAAACCGCUGCACUGUCCGGUGUGUGCCGGAGUGUCCACCGUGCGCUCGUGCCGUGGUACAAACAAGCAUGUGUGAACGAACGGACGGUCAUGUGUCGUCAAGUUAUCAGAGGGAACGCGCCGACGCCGAUGCUUGGCUUUGGCUUUGGACCCGUACGUGAUUUUUUUGCUGGCGCAGUCGCGUUUGCUUCGUUGCCAAGGGAAGGGAAGGGGAUCCCAAAGGGGAGCGCACUCGGCGGACCGGGGGAAAAGGCAGCAGGCAGAGCCGCAGAGGUGCGGCUGCGCGCGUGCCACCACACCACAAGCGUUCCGGCCGCGCCCAAGGAGUAAAGGAGGUAGCACCACCAACGGAAACGGAUCGGUACGCGCGCGCGCUGCAGUCCCAGUCCCUGUCUCACAAAUAAAAGAGGACUGCGUGCUCCUCCUCGUACAUUUAUUUGGCCUUGUUUGUGAAGUGCACUCCCAUCCACACAAACGGCUCGGAGGCCCACUCCACACAUGUGCUGGUCGUCACACAUGGCACCCCGCCCCGCCCCUUCCGUCCGAAAACGACCCGUCGAUGCAUGAUGCGUAUCAUGCACUAUUUCGCAUGCGAUUCCCUCGUUCGUUCGGUUACGCUGUUCCCUUCUCAAGCAUUGGCAGACUGGGGAAGGCAGCGACGUUUACAUGAAGUAUAGUAGUCUAAAGUCUGUUGGAGAAAGAAAUCAGAUGAAAACCUACACAGGGAAGGGACAGGCACAGGCACAGGCACAGGCAGGCAUUGCCGCGAGGCGAGAUAUAUACGGCUACCUACUACUAGCCCAUCCGUGUAAUUUAACGCACGCCAGCAAGCAAGCGAGCAUAAAGCUUGCAACACACGACACAUCAGCAAUAAUGGUAUUCCAUUCCUUAGCUAACUUGACUAGGACCCGAUUAAAGAACUGGCCGGGGUUCAUUUCUGGUACUAUAGGUACACUACACCUUUCCAGCUCCCAUCCAUCACUGUGUAUAUAUAUAUAUACCAAUUAAUAAUUCAAUCCAGCUCCGUCCAUACAUACAUGCAUCUGCUGCAUAUGUAUGUAUGUAUGUAUCGGGUAGCUGUAGCUAGUCUGCUAGUGUGGUGGUAGUUGCAACUUUGGUGUCACUGCUAGCUGUCAAGCCAAACCCUAGCUACGACCCGGCCGCCCGGCCUGCACGGCCAGCUCGUCCCCCUCUCUCUCUCUCACGUCUCACCUACUAAUAAUCAGUAAUCACCCAGUUAAUUACACCACGCAACGCAACCAAUCAUUUCACACCACCCCCACACAAGAAGAAGCUAGGCCCAAGUCAAGCCAACUACAUACAGUACACCUCCCAAUCAUGCACUGCUCAAUAAGCGUCCGUCCGUCCGUCCGUCCGUCUAAAUGCCGCGCACCACUAGCUAGCUACUUUCUCUGUUAAUUAGUCGGGCACCACUUUCUAGUCGUGGGGCGAUAGUUUCACUUUCCAACAGACUCUACUUUAGUUUCCAGCCUAAAAACGUCUUACAAUAUUUGAGAUCAACCAUGUGCGUGGUGGCCACAGAACAGAAGCUUCUGCAGAUCCUUUCAGUUAAACUAGACAUAGGUCAGUACUCUACUCCAGUAGUACAAUUACUGAGCUGGGCCGUGAUAUCCUGUCGCUCACAGAAUUUAAUCCUUGCGCCUAACCGGCGGCCCUGAUCAGUGCUUUAACUAUCUAUAUCUAUACUACUCUAUUAAAAACAUAAAAUGGGCACCUGGGGCUACCAUAACUUUACUCUCCUCACGCUCAACGCGCACAAAAAAAAGUGCAAAGUGUGUUAGAAAUAUAGGCAUUUUCCAUAUCAUUUUAAUUCCAUACAUUAACAUUAUGAUGAUGACAUAUAAAAUAUGUUUAAUCAUAGAAAUUGCAAUCUCAAAUAUAUCCAUAACAAUAUGGAUCAUGAGAACAUAAAGCAUAUGAAUCAUAUAAAUAUAAUAAGCAUAUAAACAUGGAACAUGUAUUAUUAUGGAACAACUGAAAAUAAACAGAUAGCAACAUAAACAGCAUGACUGUAAAAUUAAAACAAACAGAUUUAACAUAUUACUAGUAUGAACAGACAUCAGACAUGUCACGAUAUAAUACGAUAGAACAGUUUGGAUAAAUUCAUGGCUAUAUAUGAAACAUCAAAGAUGAACAUAUGCAACAUAUAUAAUCUGCAUAACGUAAAACAGUAAAGAACUGAAUUGAUCAUACCCUCUCAUGCGCUCCGAGGAUCCUGAUCCUUGUCCAACUUCCUUUGUCAUCCGUACGAGAUAAAGACGCCAGGAACCAGCGAUGAAGACAACGACGGACGUUGGGCAGUCGCGUAGACGCUCCCCAAAAACCUAAUUACCGAUCCCCCGUUGCAAGGUCUCGAACGGCACCGGCUUCGGAGGCACCUGCCCUCUCGCUUCUCUGUGCGCGUAGAGCUACGAGAUGGAAACACCCACACUUGCGGCUGAACUGUGAUUCUGAAGGUUCUGCUCCCGUGUACCAAGUGCCAGGGGUUCUCCUCUAUUUAACCUCUCGCAGAGGGAAGCUGAAGGAGAAGAGUCGCAUGCGGCGCACCAAGGGACGGACAGCAGAAGGGUCUCGCAUGCGGCUGACGAAGAGACGGGCAACUCCCGGAGUUGAAACUCCCGCGAUUAAUGAGUGCUAAAAAUUAACACAACCACGCCCGCUCGCGCGCCUGCCUGCCUCACCUCGCCACGCCCGACCCGAUCCUGGCCCGGCCGGCGGCGGCGGCGGCGGCGCGCGCGCGUGUGGCAUGCCCUUGUCCAUUUCUUGACUUCUCAAAUUAAGUGGAAUAAUUCCCACCAUAUAAGUCAAGCCAAAAGAUCCUUGGACUUCCAAUAUGGUACUAUUGGUAUUCCCCACCAUUACACACCAUAGAGUUUAUUGAAUAAAUGGGCCAAGCCCAUAAAAGAUCCAACAAUCCCCACCAAACUCUAGGGUUUGUAAUGAUGAAGUAUCAGAAUCACAAUCCUUUGAUAUACCAGUGUUUCGAUGGAGACUGUUAAGUUGAACAUCCAUCUAGAAUAAGAGUUUCACUCAUUCACAACUGAACAAUGGACUAAGCCUUGAAUUGACAGUUUUGUGCGAAGUGAGAUUCACUCAAAUCCUUUGCUGAUACUAGGCCGCAAAAGGGUAUUCCCGCUGUUUAGAAGCAUAUAAGUCACACUUCAGUGCCUUUCAUGAGUAUUUAGGGAUUACCCAAGUCCCAUAGACUGUGACCAGCAGUCUGACUCAUAUAGGUGUACUCCUCAGAGGAUGUUCUGUAGGACAACAUCUCAUCUUUAUAAGACUCUUGGAAUACAUUAAGGUAAAUACCAUCCUGCCUUACAGAUAGGAAAGAUGUGCAUCAGAAAUGAGUUAAAGAAGGGAUCUUUCCUCACAAUCUACUCCUAGCUUGUUUCUCCACUCUACUUCACGGGAUCUCCGAUCACAUAGAGCAGGUUACCACUAGAGUAGAUUUCACAUGGGUCUCAUACCCAUUUCUCUCGAUGCACUUUCUAUCACAUUGCGUGACAGACCCUUAGUGAAUUGAUCUGCCAGAUUAUUCGAUGUGUGGACAUAAUCCACUGUAAUAACUCCGGAGUUUUUUAGCUUUCUGACAGAUUUCAAUCUCCUCUUAACAUGCCUUGUAGACUUCAUGUUAUUCCUAGAACUGUUAACCUGUGUAAUCACCGUUUGGUUGUCACAGUUCAUGGAAAUAGCCGGUAUCGGUUUUUCAACUACCGGUAAAUCCAAUAGGAAAUCACGAAGCCACUCAGCCUCAGCCCCAGCAGUGUCUAAUGCUGCGAGUUCUGCUUCCAUUGUAGACUUCGUUAAGAUAGUCUGCUUGCAAGACUUCCAGGAAACAGCGCCACCUUCAAACAAAAACACAUAUCUGCUUGUGGCAUAAAGCUCAUCAGCAUCAGAGAUCCAGUUGGCAUCACAAUAGCCUUCCAACACUUUUGGGUUUCCAGUAUAAUGAAUACCGUAUGUCAUAGUACCUUUCAAGUACCGCAACACUCUCUCAAGAGCACGCCAGUGAUCAUCUCCUAGUUUCGACACAAACCGACUCAGCUUACUCACAGCAUAAGAGAUGUCUGGCCUUGUUGCACUUGCAAGGUACAUGAGCGAGCCAAUGAUCUGGGAGUAUGUCAAUUGAUCCCUUGCUAUUCUCCGAUUCUUUCUCAAUAGCACACUAGGAUCAUAAGGUGUUGGAGUAGGAUCACAAUCACUAAAACCAAAGCGACUCAAUACCUUUUCCACAUAAUGGGAUUGUAACAAAGUUACCCCACCAUCAGCUUCUCUAACAAGCUUGAUGUUUAGAAUGACAUCAACCUCUCCCAAAUCUUUCAUCUCGAAAUUGCUCGAUAGAAGAUAUUUAACCUCCUCAAUUACAUUGAGAUUUGAUCCAAAGAUCAAGAUGUCAUCAACAUAAAGGCACAGCAUAACAGACUCACCCCCACCAUACCGAUAAUAUACACACGUGUCAGAUUCAUUUACAGCAAAACCAGCGGCUGUAAGAGUAUUAUCAAACUUUUCAUGCCAUUGCUUAGGUGCUUGUUUUAGGCCAUACAAUGAUUUUAUCAACCUGCACACCUUGUUCUCUUGACCAUCCGCAAUGAACCCUUCUGGCUGAUCCAUAUAGAUCUCCUCAUCCAACUCUCCAUUUAGGAAAGCUGUCUUAACAUCCAUCUGAUGAAUGAUAAGACCAUAAGAGGCUGACACGGCUAUUAAUGUGCGAAUCGUAGUCAAUCGAGCCACUGGUGAGUAGGUAUCAAAGAAAUCUCCACCCUCUUUUUGGGUAUAUCCUUUGGCCACAAGCCUUGCCUUGUACCUCUCAAUUGUACCAUCAGGCCUAAGCUUUUUCUUGAAGAUCCAUUUGCAGCCUAUAGGUUGACAACCAUAAGGACGGUCAACGACCUCCCAAGUUCCAUUAGACAUAAUAGAUUCCAUCUCACUCCUUACUGCUUCCUUCCAUAAGUCAGCAUCAGGAGAGGAAUAUGCCUCACUAAUGGUAGUUGGUGUGUCUUCCACAAGGUACACUAUAAAGUCAUUACCAAAGGAUUUUGCAACCCUCUGUCUCUUGUUCUUUCGAGUGACUAUAGUGUCAUCCUCCUCAGGGAUGUGCACAUGAGAAUCCUCAGCAUGAUCUAUAGGAAUAGACAGUUCAUGCUCAUGGAGAAUUAUAGUCUCAUGACUUGUAUCACUAGGUGUAUUCUUCAUGGGAAACUCAUUCUCAAAAAAUGUUGCGUCUCUUGAUUCCAUGAUAGUAUCAACAUACAUAUCAGGCACAUCAGAUUUUAUAAUUAAGAACCUAUACCCAGUGCUGUGAAAAGAGUACCCUAGGAAUAUACAAUCAACAGUUUUAGGCCCAAGUUUACGCUUUUUGUUGAUUGGCACAUUCACUUUAGCCAAGCAACCCCAAGUGCGCAAAUAUGAGAGAUUUAAUCUUCUCUUUUCCCAUUCCUCGAAUGGUGUGAUCUCUUUGUUCUUUGUUGGAACUCUGUUCAGGACAUGACACGCUGUCAAAAUCGCCUCACCCCACCAUGCCUUGGAUAAACCCGCUGUACUCAACAUGGCAUUCACCAAAUAUGUUAGAGUGUGGUUUUUCCUUUCAGCAAUCCCAUUGGAUUGUGGUGAGAAUGGCGGUGUCCUCUCAUGAAUAAUACCAUGUUCCACGCAGAACUCAUCGAACACAUUAGAGAAAUAUUCUCCACCUCGAUCAGACCUUAACCGUUUUAUUUUCCUCUCAAGUUGGUUCUCAACUUCAGCUUUAUAAGUCUUAAAAUAAUCGAACGCUUCAUCUUUUGUUUUUAAGAGAUACACAUAGCAAAAUCUAGUGGAGUCAUCUAUAAAAGUGAGAAAGUAUCUUUUACCACCUUUGGUCAAAAUUCCAUUCAUCUCGCACAAAUCAGAAUGAACAAGUUCUAGAGGUGCCAAACUCCUCGCCUCAGCAGCCUUGUGAGGCUUGCGGGGUUAUUUUGAUUCAACACACACAUGGCACUUAGACUUUUUGACCAAGUUAAAUUUAGGAAUUAGAUUUAUAUUUGCUAACCGCAUAAGACAGCCAAAGCUUGUAUGACAAAAACGUGAAUGCCAAAAAUCUGACUCAUCAGAAAAAUGAACAGAAUUCACCAUUUUAUUACACACAUCAUGCAGUGAUAAGCGGAACAAGCCUCCGCAGUCAUAUCCUUUACCAACAAAAGUACCAUGUUUAGACACAACACAUUUAUUAGACUCAAGAACAACUUUGUAUCCAUCUCGACAUAGCAUAGAAGCGCUAACGAGAUUCUUCUUGAUAGAGGGCACAUGCUGCACGCUCUUCAAUGGCACCGUCUUUCCCGAAGUAAACUUCAGAAUGACCGUACCAACACCAAGAACAUGAGCACGCGACCCAUUUCCCAUUAACAAGGCGCCAGACCUCUCGACCUGGUAGGAAGAGAACAUAGAGACAUCAGCACACACAUGAAUGUUUGCACCACUAUCCAUCCACCACUCAGGUGAAUUACAAACUGAGAGAACAAAUGGUAAAGAAUUACCAUACCCAGAUGUUCCAUCUCUAGUUUCAGUGGUUACAACAUUAGCUAAUUUCUUGUCCUGUGUGAACUUGUGAUCAGGGCACUCUCUAGCCAAGUGUUGAUCACUGCCACAGACAAAACAUCCUCCCUUUCCUUGUUAUUGUUGUUCUUCUUUUUAAACUGUGCUGUUUGAACAGGUUUAUUUGUAUUCUCUUGUUUGUUCUGGUUUUUCUUCUUGUUAAACUUGCGGAAGUUUCUCUUCUGCACCACAUUAGCAGUAGAGGUCUCCACACCUUUUCCAUUGUCCUUUGUUCUAGCCCUUUCCUCAACAUCAAGAGUACCAAUGAGCUCUUCCACAUUGAAUUCUUGUCUCUUAUGUUUGAGAGAGGUAGCAAAGUCCUUCCAAGAAGGUGGCAACUUGGCGAUUAUACCGCCAGCCACAAACUUGUCAGGCAAAGGACAAGGAAAAAGCUCGAGUUCCUUAGCUAGUGCCUGAAACUCAUGAGCCUGUUCCACUACAGAUCGGUUCCCAACCAUCUUGUAGUCAUAUAGCUGCUCCAUGAGAUACAACUCGCUACCAGCGUCAGUAACUCCAAACUUUCCAACAAGUGCAUCCCACAGCUCUUUCCCUGUGGGAAGGAUGAUAUAGCUUUUCUGGAAUUUUGUGUCAAGUGCGCUAAUCACUGCUCCUCGAAAGAGGUUGUCAUCAGCCUUAAACUUAGCCUCAUCCUCAGGAGGUAAGUGAAAGGGAAAUGUGCCCUUGGGCCAUUUCUAAGUAUUUUGGUGAUUGAGUGCCAACACAAGUGCUUAAGUGUAAAUCUAUGUCAAUUGAUGGACAAAGUGUAAAUCAAGUCUAAAGGUAUGUUUCUAGACUUAGUACAUUGUUUUGAGAACUAAUGUAUUGUGUCUAAGUGCUGGAAACAGGAGAAAUCAAAUUGGAAAAGAGAUGGCUUUGUUCAGCCAAAGUCUGCUCAGUCUGGGUGCACCGGAGUGUCCGGUGGUGCACCGGAGUGUCCGGUGCGCCAGGCUGGCUCUGGCGAACUUGCUGCUCUCGGGACUUCGACGGCGGUGUACGGCUAUAAAUCACCGGACUGUCCGGUGAGCCAUUCACAGGUGAACUCGUCGCUCUCGGGAGAUGAUUAACGGCGUACGGCUAUAAGUCACCGGACUGUCCGGUGGUGCACCGGACUGUCCGGUGAGCCAACGGUCGGCCGCGCGAUCCGCGCGGGACACGUGGCCGAGCCAACGGCUAGAAGGGGGCACCGGACUGUCCGGUGUGCACCGAACAGUGUCCGGUGCGCCAACGGCUCUGAAUCUUCAACGGUCGGCUUCGCCAAAUAAGGAAAGAGAUCCGCACCGGACUGUCCGGUGCGCCAGGCGAUAGAAGGCAAGAAUUGCCUUCCUGGAAUGCUCUCAACGGCUCCUAGCUGCCUUGGGGCUAUAAAAGGGACCCCUAGGCGCAUGGAGGAGCACACCAAGCAUUCUCUAAGCAUUCCUAAGCACCAAGACUUCGAUUCCGCGCAUUUGAUUCUUUGUGAUAGUAACUAGAGCUCUAGUUGAGUUGAGAACUCGUCGGGUUGUGUUGUGAGCUCUUGUUGCGACUUGUGUGCGUGUUGUCACUCUGAUUUUGUGUCUUGUGUGUGUUGCUCAUCCCUCCCUUACUCCGUGCUUCUUUGUGAACAUCAAAGUGUAAGGGCGAGGGACUCCAAGUUGUGGAGAUUCCUCGCGAGCGGGAUAAAGUAAGCAAAGCAAAACACCGUGGUAUUCAAGUGGGUCUUUGGACCGCUUGAGAGGGGUUGAUUGCAACCCUUGUCCGUUGGGACGCCACAACGUGGAGUAGGCAAGUUUUGUACUUGGUCGAACCACGGGAUAAACCACUGUGUCUAUCUGUGUUGAUCCUCUUGUGGUUGUUGUGUUUUGCAAGAACUCCUCUCUAGCCACUUGGCCUUAUUGUGCUAACGCUUAAUCAAGUUUUUGUGUCUUUAAGUUUUCAAGUUUUACAGGAUCACCUAUUCACCCCCCCUCUAGGUGCUCUCAAUUGGUAUCAGAGCCGUUCUCUUCAAGAAAGGGACUAACCGCCCGAAGAGAUGGAUCCUAAGGGCAAGGGGAUUGUGAUCAACGAUAAGGAGAAGGAGUCCUUCGUCAACGAGCCGAAGGAUGACAAGCCUACCGACUCGGGCUCGGGCCACAAACGUAAAGAUGGGAAGAAGAAGAAGACAAGGCGCAUCAAGGAAAUCGUCUACUACGACGACAGCGAUGAGUCCUCUUCUUCCCAAAAGGACGACGACAACGACUACGAGAAAAAGAAGACGGUUAACUCAAACUUCUCUUUCGAUUAUUCUCGUAUUCCGCAUAGUUCAAAUGCACAUUUGCUUUCCAUCCCUCUUGGCAAACCUCCACACUUUGAUGGGGAGGACUACGGAUUUUGGAGUCACAAAAUGAGUAGUCACUUGUUCUCUCUCCAUCCAAGCAUAUGGGAGAUUGUUGAGAGUGGAAUGAAAUUUGAUAGUACUGAUAGUCCUAUGUUUAUAAAUGAACAAAUCCAUAAAAAUGCACAAGCUACUACUGUCCUUUUAGCAUCUUUGUGCAGGGAAGAAUACAAUAAGGUGAGCGGCUUGGACAAUGACAAUAAGCUACUCACCUGGUUCACCAGAUUGCCUCCGCUGUCCAUUGAUUCGUGGAGAAGUCUCAGGGACAAGUUCCUUCUCAACUUCCAAGGGUACCGCCCAGACACCGACGCUUUGGCCGAGCUCUCGCUUUGCAAACAGCUGGAAAAGGAGACCCUGCGGGAGUAUUACCGUAAAUUCUUAACGCUCAAGUCACAGCUGCCCUCCGUCGAUGAUCAGAUCGCUAUCCACUAUGCCAUCAGUGGCCUUCGGGCCGGCGUCCUCUACAGCCACUGUAUCAGAGAUCCACCCAAGAACCUUCAGGAGCUAUAUCAGCUCUUUGAAAAAUAUGCCAAAUCCGAAGAGCUUCACCAGCGCAAAGUUGAGUCACAGCGGAAGCCCAAAGAUGCCCCGCAGUCCAGCCGCACAUGGACGAGGACUCCGCAACCAGACUCCGGUCGAGAUGGCCGCAGUCAACAGCAAGUGCACAACAUCCCAAACCAGCAGCCUGCUGCUGACCCCCCUCGUCGCCAGGAAUAUCCCCCCCAAGGUCGCGGAAACGGAACUCGUGGCAGGGGCCGAGGGCGCGCGCAGCCGCCGCGCCGGUUCUACUGCCUUUUCCACGGCGAAGACUGCGCCCACCAAACCAAAGACUGCCCCGAAACGAAGGCCACCAGAGACAGAAUGGCGCGGGCGCAGCCAGCCGACAAUCCCAGAAUUGUCGCGCAUAAUUACCAGCCACCCCCUCCACCAUAUAUCCACGCUCCCGCUCCGCAUCCACCGCACCACGCUUACCAACACCAUCAGGAAGUACAAAUCGUACCUCCUCCACCCCCACCACCACACCAGCAACACCAAAACAUCCCCCAUGCCCCAAAGCAGGAAGACUUCGCCGAUCAACCAUAUCGCGGAGUCAUUCACAUGAUAACAGGGGGGUCCAGCACUGACUUCGACACCAAGCGGCAGAAGCGGGACCACUACCGCAGCAUCAACCAUGUCGCGGUCACCGGCCCAGUCGUGCAGACGAAGUGGUCCCACAUACCGCUAACCUUCGAUGCACGAGACGUCGACCUGCGCAGCGCCCCCCACAUCGACGCUAUGGUCAUCAAUUGCAGCGUGGCAGGCUGGGACCUACACAAAGUCCUAGUCGACAACGACAGCCAGGCGGACAUCAUCUUCCUCCACGCCUUCGACCGCAUGGGUAUAAGCCACAGCCUGCUCAAGCCUUCGGACAAUCCGUUGUAUGGCUUCGGCGGCAAAGGCACCUUUCCCGUUGGCAAAAUAGAGCUUCCCCUCUCCUUCGGUGUAGCACCCAAUGCCCGAAGUGAGCAAGUAACCUUCGACAUUGUCGACAUGGUAUACCCGUACAACGCCAUCAUGGGCCGGGGUUCCAUCAAUAAGUUCGAAGCUGCCAUCCACGGACUGUACCUAUGUAUGAAGAUACCAGGUCCGCUAGGCGCUAUCACGAUCUACGGCAACUAGCAGACGGCGCGCAACAUAGAGCGGGACUUCGUGCCUGGUCAGAGGAACGUACACUGUCUCACGACCCAGCGCGAGGUCCCCGCGCCUGCCAGCCCAACCGACAAGCAGCACGAGAGGGCACAGUUGCAGAGCCAAGACGGAACCAAGACUGUUCCCCUUGAUCAGGCCACGCCCAAGCAGACAGUCACUAUCAGCGAAGACCUUACGUCACACGAAGAAGAGAAGCUUCUCUGCUGCCUGGCCAAGAAUAAAGAUGUCUUCGCCUGGUCCGCCCUAGACCUGGUCGGAGUCAGCCGAUCCAUAAUUGAGCACAGCUUGGGAAUUGACCCUUCGGUGCGACCAAAAAAGCAAAGGCUCCGCAAAAUGUCCGACGAAAAGACAGAGGCCGCCAAGGCGGAAGUGCACCGCCUCCUAGAAGCUAAAUUCAUCGAGCCAGUGGCUUACCCCACGUGGCUCUCCAAUGUCGUAAUGGUGCAGAAAAAAGCGGGAAAUGGCGAAUGUGCAUAGACUUCACCAGUCUCAAUAAGGCCUGCCCGAAAGACAAUUUCCCGUUGCCGCGGAUCGACAAAAUAGUCGAUAGCGCGACCGGAUGCGAGGUCAUGUCACUCCUCGACUGCUUCUCCGGCUAUCACCAGAUAUACAUGAAGGAGGAAGACAAGUCUAGCACCAGCUUUAUAACACCCUUCGGCACUUAUUGCUUCAUCAGGAUGCCGGAGGGACUCAAGAAUGCGGGGUCCACCUUCUCCAGACUCACCAAAAUAGUACUCGAAGGGCAGGUCGGUAGAAACAUAUUUACAUAUGUGGACGACAUCAUCGUCGCCAGCAAGAAUAAGGAGGACCACCUCGCCGACCUCGCCGAAACAUUCGCGAACAUGCGAGAUGCACGACUCCGCCUGAACCCGGAAAAGUGCGUCUUCGGUGUUCGCCAGGGCAAGAUAUUGGGUUACCUGGUGUCACACCGCGGCAUCGAGGCCAACCCAACCAAGAUCCAGGCCAUCGUCGACAUGUCGCCUCCGCAGUCCGUCAGGGACGUCCAGCGUCUGGCAGGCAGAUUGGCCGCUCUCAACAGAUUCAUCUCCAGGUCCGCCGAGCGAAGUCUCCCCUUCCUCAAAACACUUCGUGGUGCGAAAGACUUCGCUUGGGGGCCGGAGCAAGCAGCGGCCUUCGCCUCAUUAAAACAGUACUUAUCGGAGCUGGCCAUCCUCACAAGCCCCGACUCCUCGCUCCCCCUAUUGCUCUAUGUCGCGGCUUCGCCGCACGCGGUCAGCGCGGCACUAGUGCAGGAGCAAACUGUUGAAGGCACAGUCAGACAGUGCCCUAUUUACUAUGUCUCCGAAGUCCUGACACCGUCCAAAUGCAACAUGACAGAGCUGGAGAAGAUCGCCUACGCAGUUGUUAUGUCCUGGCGCAAACUGCGCCAUUACUUUGAAGCAUUCAAGGUCCGAGUCACCUCUGACAGAGGGCUCGGCGAACUAUUCAGAAACCCGGAGGCAUCGGUGAGGAUUGCCAAGUGGGCAGCCAAACUCUCCGGCUACCACAUCAGCUUCGAGCCCAGGACAGCCAUCAAGUCGCAAGUCCUGGCAGACUUCAUCGUCGACUGGACUGGGCCAGUAGCACAGCCGGACCCGUCCACAGAAAAGGUCUGGACCAUCCAUUGCGACGGCGCAUGGUGCCAUGCGGGGGCAGGCGUCGCUGCAAUCGUCACCUCACCAACCGGAGUCAAACACAGAUAUGCAGCACGCCUCAGCUUCGCUCUGGAGUCCGACAGAUGCACAAACAACAUCGCAGAGUAUGAAGCGGUUAUCCUCGGCCUCCGCAAGCUAAGGGCCCUCGGAGUCACCACAUGUAUCAUCAAGACAGACUCCAAGAUAGUUGCCGGCCAGAUCGAGAAAGACUAUGCAGCAAAGGACCCCGCGCUCAUGCAAUACCUCGCGGCUAUCCGAAGUCUCGAGAGACAGUUCAAGGGAUUCACCUUGCAGCAUGUGGAUAGGGCCAAGAACGAGGAGGCCGACGCAUUGGCCAAGGCUGCCGCCAGGGGCGAGCCCUUGCCCUCCGACGUGUUCUUUCACACCAUCGGCACGUCUGCCGUCCGGAGCCCCGAAGGGCUCCAAAUAACUAAUGAUAGCGAGGGCCACCGUAUAGUCAACCUAAUCAUGACCGAAGACUGGCGGGCACCAAUAACCCUGUUCCUACAGGGGUACUAUCAUCCAACUGACGACAGUGAGGCAAAGCGCCUCAGACAUCGAAGCCGGGACUUCGCACUGAUUGAGGGCCAAUUAUACAAGAAAGGGGUCAGUCAGCCAAUGCUUAAAUGCGUCACCGAAACCGAAGGCAUGCACAUCCUACGCGAAGUCCACAGUGGCACGUGCGGCUCGCACGCAGGGCCAAGGGCCCUGGCUGCCAAGGUGAUCCGACAAGGGUUUUACUGGCCCGCAAUGAUCUGCGCCGCAAAUCGGGUCACAAGGUCCUGCGAAGCCUGCCAGAAGUUCUCUCCUCGGUCAGGCAACCCCUCGCAAUAUACAAAACUGAUUGCCCAUACUUGGCCUCUCCAGCGCUGGGGCCUAGACAUCGUCGGGCCCCUGCCCACCGCUCAGGGGAACCUUAAGUUCGCCUUCGUAGCCGUCGAAUACUUCACCAAAUGGAUUGAAGCAAGGGCUGUUUCCACAAUCACAUCAAAGACUGCCCAAAAAUUCUUCUGGCAGAACAUCGUUUGCCGCUUCGGAGUACUGUCCGAGCUAACAGUUGACAACGGCAAGCAGUUCGACAGCCAAGAUUUCAAGGAUUUUUGUUUCUCCAUCGGCACCAAGCUUGCCUUCGCUUCAGUCUAUCAUCCGCAGUCCAACGGGGUCGUGGAGCGUGCCAAUGGGAAAAUAUUCACAGCUGUCAAAAAGAUGCUCCUCGAUGAAAAAAAGGCAGAUGGACCGAUUUAUUACCGGAGGCAGUCUGGGCGCUAAACACAACUGAGUGCAGGGCGACCGGGUUCACUCCUUUCCGCCUUCUAUACGGAUCGGAGGCAAUGACCCCGCAAGAAAUAAAGCAUGGGUCCCCGCGUACAGUUCCGUCAGCCGUCCCCGACGUGGACGAGCCAACUUCAAAAGAUCUCAUUGACGGAGACCGGGUCUUCGCCCUACAGGCCCUAAACAAAUACCAAGCCCAGACCAAAGCAUGGCGCGACCACGCAGUCAUCCCGAGGGAGUUCAGCGAGGGGGACCUCGUACUCGUCCGAACAGCUCGGACGGAGUCCAAGGGCAAGUUGGAGCCCAAGUGGGAGGGCCCUUUCAUAGUCAAGUCAAAAGCUUCCCCCAGCGCUUACAGGCUCACAACGCCAAAUGGCGAGGACCUGGAGCACUCCUGGAACAUCGACAACCUUCGCAAAUUUUUUGUUUGACCCAUUUAGGGCUGAUUUCGCCCUUGUAAUUCGCUGCAAAUAAUCUUGUACCGGCCCGCACUCUUUUCCUCCCGGGGGGUGAGGUUUUUAACGAGGCGGAGCCAUGUAAUAUAUGUGAGAAAAAUCCCCCGCAAAAACAUGUGUCGAAAAAAGACCGCGACAACGGUCUUCGGCAUUCGACCAAUUCGAAGUCACCGCGAGGCUAAGCGCUAGCCACCCUCGCGUGCGACAAAUCCGCGCAGAAGUCGCCUAAGGGUGCAGCCGGACCAAGCACAACAAGUGCAAAAAAAUCCGAUGUCUAUCGCGAAGACUAUCCGCGCAGAAGUCGCCUAAGGGUGCAGCCGGACUAAGCACAACAAGUGCGAGAAAAUCCGAUGUCUAUCGCGAAGACUAUCCGCGCAGAAGUCGCCUAAGGGUGCAGCCGGACUAAGCACAACAAGUGCGAGAAAAUCCGAUGUCUAUCGCGAAGACUAUCCGCGCAGAAGUCGCCUAAGGGUGCAGCCGGACUAAGCACAACAAGUGCGAGAAAAUCCGAUGUCUAUCGCGAAGACUAUCUGCGCAGAAGUCGCCUAAGGGUGCAGCCGGACCAAGCACAACAAGUGCGAAAAAAUCCGAUGUCUAUCGCGAAGACUAUCCGCGCAGAAGUCGCCUAAGGGUGCAGCCGGACUAGCACAACAAGUGCGAAAAAAAACCCGAAGUCUAUCGCAAAGACUCCGCGCAGAAGCCGCCUAAGGGCGCAGCCGAACUAGCACAACAAAAGCAGAAACGAUAGCAUCAAACCAUCCGUGCUAAGAACGACUAUAAUCACAACAGCACAGCAUAACCAACCAUACCAGACAAAGGCACACAAUGUCCUCGCAGGCACAGGCACGCGAGGGCACACAACUUCAUCGUACAAACCCCCACACAUAUACAAGCGAGGGCACCACACUCUACAUCGGCUCAACCUUAGGAAUAAGUCCCAUCUCUCUAUAAUUAAAUAACAUUAUCCUAAGCUCCUCACCCGCAAAAAGACUUCGCAGUUCCCUUUCCCCUGUACUCGCAGCGGCCGGCAAAGACAACAGUUCCUGACGACCAGCCCUACUCACACGAAGCCGAGCCCCCUCCUCCGCGCUAACCCUACGUUUUGCAACCGCCCUUCGUCGCCGGCGCCCGGUGCUAGGACCUGACACGUCUGGCGCGUCCGCGGCGUGUAGCGAAGCCUCCGCCGCAGCCACGUCCAAGGCCGCAAAAUAAUCCAAGUCCUCCUCCGACGACUCCUCAGUCCACUCAACCGAGCUCCCAGAGUCAGUAAAAUCAAAAAACUCAGCUACAGACCCACCAUAUUCAUUCCCACCUUCCGCGGUCGAAGCCGCCAAAAACUCAGUAGUAGCGGUUGCGUGCGCAGGCCCAAAAUCUUGAACCUGCGCAGCAACCAAAGUUCAGCACAGCAUCCAAAAAUUCCCCAACCCUAAACACCUACUACGCCACCUGCGAAGACCCUGACGCUGCGGGAGCCUCUGUCGUUGGCUCCGCCGCCACCGCCGCGGGAUCUUCGGCACUCGGCACAGCAGCUGCGGGGGCAUCAGGGCGCCUUCGGCCACCUUCGGGGGCAGGUCUUCGCCGGCCACAGCGGAUGUGGGGGCAGCCGUCGCGAUCGCUGCGGUCUCCGGGGUUGGCUCCAGGGUGACCCCAGUCACAGCCUCCGCGAGGGUCGGCUCCGGGUCUGGCAGCGCACUGUUCAGAGCCCCGAAGUCGUCCACCCGCUCGCCGCGCUCCGCCUAGGACAAGACACAUAGAUUCAGCAAACACACGCACAGCCUGCAUACAGCAAACGCCAAACAAACAAACAACGUUACCUGAGCCCUCGCAGUCUCGGCCCGCUCCCUGACCACCUCACGACCGUACAGACCCCACAUCCGGUCAUAAAGGGCCCCGGCGGAUUCCUUCACAACGGGGUCUUCGACCUUAUAGAUAUCUCGCUCAAAUUCUUCAUCCGCCUGGUCGAAGGCCUCGAAGUGCCGGCACCCUUCGCGGGAGAGAGCGUUCAUCGCCCCCUCGCAGGUGACCAGGGAGGCGUACGACAUCAACCCCCCCGCGACGGCUGGAAGUUCCAGCAGCUCCUCCUGCACCCACUGCAGACAGCGAAGCCCGGGCUCUCGGUCCGGCACCUCGAAGUCACCGGUCCGCGCACCCAGCUCACGAUAUGUACCCAUAAGCUGCGUGCGCGUCCGUUCGGCCUCCGCAUGCAUCGCGGCCUCGGCCUCCUUCGUGCGGCUCUCCAGGGCGGUGAGCCGCUCUUGCAGAUGUUCGGCGAGCUCCUUGGCAAGAUUGUCCUCCGCCCGCGCCAGCUUGGCCUCCGCCUGCGCAGCCUGCCCCUUGGCGACGGCCUCGUUGGCUUCCCUCCUCUCCGCCGCCAGCUGGCGCCGGAGGUCGGCCUUCUCCCUAUCCAGGGCGGCCACCCUGUCCGUCAGCUUACGGCACUUGCUGUCGGAGGCCGACUUCUCACGGACAGCGUCAGCAUGUUGUGUCCGAAGUCUCUCGACUUCGGCAGACACAGCUGCCGUGAUGGCCCCCGAUGCAGUACGGCUGGCGAAGUCAGCCACCUGCAGAGCACACGUAAGGCCAUUGACGUAAAAAAAGAAAAGGAAGGGGGGGAGAGACUAUAGCUCAGCGGACCUGACUCAACGCCUCCGUCGCCUGACUCAGCGCCUCCGUCACUCCCUUCAACCGGCGGGUCGCCACGCCCGCCUCGUCCCUGACCAGCGCGAGGGCCGACACCUCGCCUUCGGUGCCAAGCGCCUCGCCCCUCGCCUUCGGCACCAUGACGGCCGUCGCGAUCGCCGCGCCAGGCGCAGCUAUAGCAAGCUGGCCCUCGCCCGGCCCUGCAACGCGUCAACAAAUUUUAAAAAAAAAUAUAAUAACAAUAAUAGGCCAGCGACUUACCACCAAGAUAGUCGUCCACAGUAAUAUCGGUGCCGAAGUCGGCAACACGUUUGCCCGACAACGGCAACGCUUGGGCCGCCUUCGAAGCCUCCGCCACUCCGCUGGCCGGCGGCACCACCUUCGUUGACUUGGAGCCUCCGGCGCCCGCCGUCGCCUCCGGCGCCUUGCUAGGAGCAGCGGCGCCCGCCUUCGCCGCCAGCGGCGGCUUGCCUCCGCCGGAGGCCGCAGCCUUCGGAGCCCCCCGCUGCCUCUUCGGCCUAGCUUCAUGCAGCCGGACAGUCGCCUGGCGUUUUUGCGCCACACCUUGGCGAUCCUUGUCCAUCACUGCCCACACAACAGCACCGAUAUUUCGCCCGUAAGGAAAAACUCUCCACCGAUGAACCAUACGAGAUGUAAAACAGUCCUCCUCAGCCGCGCAGGGGAUAGGAACAUUUCUAGGCCAGCAGCCCCCGGUAACCCUCAGCAUCCGAGCUGAAGACUCCCGGAGCUCGAGCGAAGACAUCCUUUCCCCCGGGGCCGCACACGUCCUCAUCAACUCUCUAGCAAAACUGUCAGACACCCCAAGUCCUCCCAUCGCAGUACCUAAUUUUCUCUUUUUCGAGGAAGGGGCGGCCGCCGGCGCAGGGUCGUCUCCAGUCUCCACCGCCGGUUUCUUCCCACGGCGGUCCGCUUCGUCUUGACCGGGAUAGCCGUCGUACGGCAAUUGAUUUAAUUCGAAGACCCUGUUCAAACGGUCAUUUGACCCACGGAUAUCAAAGCUGCGCUGGCCCUCCGUCCUCGGCACGUAACGUCCCACGAGCCGCACCGCCAAGUCCUCCGCAUCACGCACAAAGGCGGCCGGGUCACGGUUUCGCAAAUUCAGUGCGAAGGCAGGACUUCGCACCACCCUUCCUCCGUGAAAAGGCAUCUGGCGAGGGCACACUUCGCCCAACGCCCAGCCAUGCGCCAAGGGCUAGACCUCGUACGCCACGAACUCUUCAACCAAAUCACGCCCACUGCUCUGACCGGCGGCGCACCGAAGGGCCCCUUCGUCUGCAUCCUCUUCUGCCACUUCAAAGGGCGGAUACGCAGAGUAAUAAUGAGAGCACAUCUCAGACACGGGGAGUCCCUCAUGGUCUUCGACAGCACCCUCAGCAACGUAAAACCAAAAUUCAUUCCAAUUGCCCCACUUGUUGCGGGCGCACGGAACCAACUCCACUACUGGCAUUAUGGUCUUGCCGGUCUUCGGCGUGAAUGUGCAUGACCCAAACUGGGCAACUCCGUCCCCAACCAUCCUCUUCUGCCAAUGCAAACAAUAAUUCUUCGCAAAAACCUCAACCGACGGCUGUCCGCCGUACGAAGUCGUCGCCCAGACAUACUUCGCCAGCGCCACCAUGGCAUUCGGUGUCAGCUGAUGUAUUUGAACGUUGAAUCUACGCAGGACUUCACCAACAAACCGGUGCGCAGGCAAGCGGAGACCGGCGGCGAAGAACGCCUCGAAAACGACCAACUCACCCUCCGGCUCGGGGACUUCCUCCGUCCCCGGAGCACGAGCAACUCCGCCGCCAAAGUAGCCCAACCGCUGCAUAUCUUCAACGCGGGCUGACGUCAUCCGUGACACACCAAAAUCAACAGAGUCGCCGGCGCGCAACUCCUCCACCAUCAAGCUACUCAACGUCUCCUCAGACGAGGCGGCCGCCGGCGGUGUGGUGUCGGCGGAAGAAGAGGACGGCAUUGCUACGUACCGUCGGCGGCGGCGGGCGGUCUGCUUCACUCGAGCCAGAUCUCCGGCGAUCAAGAGCACGGCGGGCAGACGAGCAGCAAGACGGCGGGCGGCUAGGGUUUUCGCGGAGCGCGGAAGGCAAAGUUCAAAAAGCACCGACCCCCGCCCCCCUUUUAUAGACAGGGCGCGGCUCUUCGGGAAACCCGCAAUCCGACAGGGCGCGGCGCUUCGGGAAACCCGCAAUCCAACAGUACGCCGUCCAUCAACGGUCACAUCGAAAACCCCCGCGGAACCACUUCGAGCGAGGGCAGCGUCUCCGCCAUCUAGCGACGUCUUCGGCACCAGGUGACUUCGUCGAACUGGUCCCUCGGAGGGCAAAUGUUGGGGCGAAGGCAAAGACGCCACCCUUCGCUCGUCGACUUUCGCUGCAGUCGCUGGUCUGACAGACAAAACGGGCAGGGACACCCUUCGCUUCAUUCAGCACCAGACGAAGGCCUGCGGUGACGUCUCCCCGCAGCACGGCCUCGUCCUGCUCUAAGGCCCACGUGUGAUCUGGCCCAUUGUAACGGGCCCCGCGUGGCCGCCUUUGUGUUACGGGCCUAGCUUGUAAAGACAUUCUUGUAAUUACAGCUUGUAACCCUGCUUUAUGGGAAUAUUCUGGGGAUAAACUAGGUGUCUGAGGGCACAUGCGUCCUUAACACAAGGCGCUGGGCACUCAGAUACCUAUAAAUACCCCCGCACAGUGCCCGUGAGAGGCUAGAUCAACAGAGCUAUUGCCCCCGUGCACGUAACCCUGUUGUCACCACCGUUCACCCUUGUUGGCCUCCUUGCUGCUGAGAGCAAGUUCCAACAGGUGCCAAACUCCUCGCCUCAGCAGCCUUGUGAGGCUUGCGGGGUUAUUUUGAUUCAACACACACAUGGCACUUAGACUUUUUGACCAAGUUAAAUUUAGGAAUUAGAUUUAUAUUUGCUAACCGCAUAAGACAGCCAAAGCUUGUAUGACAAAAACGUGAAUGCCAAAAAUCUGACUCAUCAGAAAAAUGAACAGAAUUCACCAUUUUAUUACACACAUCAUGCAGUGAUAAGCGGAACAAGCCUCCGCAGUCAUAUCCUUUACCAACAAAAGUACCAUGUUUAGACACAACACAUUUAUUAGACUCAAGAACAACUUUGUAUCCAUCUCGACAUAGCAUAGAAGCGCUAACGAGAUUCUUCUUGAUAGAGGGCACAUGCUGCACGCUCUUCAAUGGCACCGUCUUUCCCGAAGUAAACUUCAGAAUGACCGUACCAACACCAAGAACAUGAGCACACGACCCAUUUCCCAUUAACAAGGCGCCAGACCUCUCGACCUGGUAGGAAGAGAACAUAGAGACAUCAGCACACACAUGAAUGUUUGCACCACUAUCCAUCCACCACUCAGGUGAAUUACAAACUGAGAGAACAAAUGGUAAAGAAUUACCAUACCCAGAUGUUCCAUCUCUAGUUUCAGUGGUUACAACAUUAGCUAAUUUCUUGUCCUGUGUGAACUUGUGAUCAGGGCACUCUCUAGCCAAGUGUUGAUCACUGACACAGACAAAACAUCCUCCCUUUCCUUGUUAUUGUUGUUCUUCUUUUUAAACUGUGCUGUUUGAACAGGUUUAUUUGUAUUCUCUUGUUUGUUCUGGUUUUUCUUCUUGUUAAACUUGCGGAAGUUUCUCUUCUGCACCACAUUAGCAGUAGAGGUCUCCACACCUUUUCCAUUGUCCUUUGUUCUAGCCCUUUCCUCAACAUCAAGAGUACCAAUGAGCUCUUCCACAUUGAACUCUUGUCUCUUAUGUUUGAGAGAGGUAGCAAAGUCCUUCCAAGAAGGUGGCAACUUGGCGAUUAUACCGCCAGCCACAAACUUGUCAGGCAAAAGACAAGGAAAAAGCUCGAGUUCCUUAGCUAGUGCCUGAAACUCAUGAGCCUGUUCCACUACAGAUCGGUUCUCAACCAUCUUGUAGUCAUAUAGCUGCUCCAUGAGAUACAGCUCGCUACCAGCGUCAGUAACUCCAAACUUUCCAACAAGUGCAUCCCACAGCUCUUUCCCUGUGGGAAGGAUGAUAUAGCUUUUCUGGAAUUUUGUGUCAAGUGCGCUAAUCACUGCUCCUCGAAAGAGGUUGUCAUCAGCCUUAAACUUAGCCUCAUCCUCAGGAGGUAAGUGAAAGGGAAAUGUGCCCUUGGGCCAUUUCUAAGUAUUUUGGUGAUUGAGUGCCAACACAAGUGCUUAAGUGUAAAUCUAUGUCAAUUGAUGGACAAAGUGUAAAUCAAGUCUAAAGGUAUGUUUCUAGACUUAGUACAUUGUUUUGAGAACUAAUGUAUUGUGUCUAAGUGCUGGAAACAGGAGAAAUCAAAUUGGAAAAGAGAUGGCUUUGUUCAGCCAAAGUCUGCUCAGUCUGGGUGCACCGGAGUGUCCGGUGGUGCACCGGAGUGUCCGGUGCGCCAGGCUGGCUCUGGCGAACUUGCUGCUCUCGGGACUUCGACGGCGGUGUACGGCUAUAAAUCACCGGACUGUCCGGUGAGCCAUUCAUAGGUGAACUCGUCGCUCUCGGGAGAUGAUUAACGGCGUACGGCUAUAAGUCACCGGACUGUCCGGUGGUGCACCGGACUGUCCGGUGAGCCAACGGUCGGCCGCGCGAUCCGCGUGGGACACGUGGCCGAGCCAACGGCUAGAAGGGGGCAUCGGACUGUCCGGUGUGCACCGGACAGUGUCCGGUGCGCCAACGGCUCUGAAUCUUCAACGGUCGGCUUCGCCAAAUAAGGAAAGAGAUCCGCACCGGACUGUCCGGUGCGCCAGGCGACAGAAGGCAAGAAUUGCCUUCCUGGAAUGCUCUCAACGGCUCCUAGCUACCUUGGGGCUAUAAAAGGGACCCCUAGGCGCAUGGAGGAGCACACCAAGCAUUCUCUAAGCAUUCCUAAGCACCAAGACUUCGAUUCCGCGCAUUUGAUUCUUUGUGAUAGUAACUAGAGCUCUAGUUGAGUUGAGAACUCGUCGGGUUGUGUUGUGAGCUCUUGUUGCGACUUGUGUGCGUGUUGUCACUCUGAUUUUGUGUCUUGUGUGUGUUGCUCAUCCCUCCCUUACUCCGUGCUUCUUUGUGAACAUCAAAGUGUAAGGGCGAGGGACUCCAAGUUGUGGAGAUUCCUCGCGAGCGGGAUAAAGUAAGCAAAGCAAAACACCGUGGUAUUCAAGUGGGUCUUUGGACCGCUUGAGAGGGGUUGAUUGCAACCCUCGUCCGUUGGGACGCCACAACGUGGAGUAGGCAAGUUUUGUACUUGGCUGAACCACGGGAUAAACCACUGUGUCUAUCUGUGUUGAUCCUCUUGUGGUUGUUGUGUUUUGCAAGAACUCCUCUCUAGCCACUUGGCCUUAUUGUGCUAACGCUUAAUCAAGUUUUUGUGUCUUUAAGUUUUCAAGUUUUACAGGAUCACCUAUUCACCCCCCUCUAGGUGCUCUCAAUUGGUAUCAGAGCCGUUCUCUUCAAGAAAGGGACUAACCGCCCGAAGAGAUGGAUCCUAAGGGCAAGGGGAUUGUGAUCAACGAUAAGGAGAAGGAGUCCUUCGUCAAUGAGCCGAAGGAUGACAAGCCUACCGACUCGGGCUCGGGCCACAAACGUAAAGAUGGGAAGAAGAAGAAGACAAGGCGCAUCAAGGAAAUCGUCUACUACGACGACAUCAAUGAGUCCUCUUCUUCCCAAAAGGACGACGACAACGACUACGAGAAAAAGAAGACGGUUAACUCAAACUUCUCUUUCGAUUAUUCUCGUAUUCUGCAUAGUUCAAAUGCACAUUUGCUUUCCAUCCCUCUUGGCAAACCUCCACACUUUGAUGGGGAGGACUACGGAUUUUGGAGUCACAAAAUGAGUAGUCACUUGUUCUCUCUCCAUCCAAGCAUAUGGGAGAUUGUUGAGAGUGGAAUGAAAUUUGAUAGUACUGAUAGUCCUAUGUUUAUAAAUGAACAAAUCCAUAAAAAUGCACAAGCUACUACUGUCCUUUUAGCAUCUUUGUGCAGGGAAGAAUACAAUAAGGUGAGCGGCUUGGACAAUGCCAAGCAGAUCUGGGACACCCUCAGGAUCUCACAUGAGGGGAACGACGUCACUAUGCUCACCAAGAUGGAGUUGGUGGAGGGCGAGCUUGGGAGAUUUGCAAUGAUAAGGGGAGAGGAGCCAACCCAAACAUACAACCGGCUCAAGACCCUCAUCAACAAAAUAAGGAGCUACGGAAGCACGCGAUGGACGGACCACGACGUCGUUUGCCUAAUGCUAAGGUCUUUUACUGUCCUUGAUCCACAUCUUGUGAACAAUAUUCGUGAAAAUCCUAGGUACACCAAGAUGUCACCCGAAGAAGUACUUGGGAAGUUUGUGAGCGAGAGAAUGAUGAUCAAGGAGGCGAGAUACGUGGACGACGCGUUGAACGGUCCAAUCCAUGAGCCUCAACCCAUUGCUCUCAAGGCAACAAGGAGCAAGGAGGCGCUACCUAGCAAGGUGGCGCAAGUUGAGGCGGCCGGGCUCAAUGAUGAAGAGAUGGCCCUCAUCAUCAAGCGCUUCAAGACGGCGCUAAAGGGACGCAAGGGGCAGCCUAACAAGAACAAGACGAAAGGGAAGCGCUCAUGCUUCAAAUGUGGUAAGGUUGGUCAUUUUAUCGCUAACUGUCCCGAUAAUGAUAGUGACCAGGAACAAGGGAACAAGAGGGAAAAGAAGAAAGUUUACAAGAAGGCUAAGGGCGAGGCACACCUUGGCAAGGAGUGGGACUCGGAUUGUUCGUCGUCCGACUCUGACAACGAAGGACUCGCCGCCACCGCCUUCAACAAAUCGGCCCUCUUCCUCAACGAGCGUCACACAUGCCUCAUGGCGAAGGAGAAGAAGGUAUGUACUUGGAAUACUACUUAUGCUUCUUCAAGUGAGAAUGAGUCUAGUGAUGAUGAUGAAAUAGAUUAUUCAUGUUUAUUCAAGGGCCUAGAUAGAACCAAGGUUGAUAAAAUUAAUGAAUUAAUUGAUGCCUUGAAUGAUAAGAAUAAGUUAUUAGAAAAGCAAGAGGAUCUUUUGUAUGAAGAACAUGAUAAGUUUGUAGAGGCACAAAAAUCCCUUGCUUUAGAAAUUAAAAGGAAUGAAAUGCUUUCUAGUGAAUUGUCUACAUGCCAUGACUCUAUUUCUAGCUUAAAGAGCAUAAAUGAUGAUUUGAAUGCUAAGUUAGAAAUAGCAAAUAAAUCAACAUCUUGUGUAGAACAUAUUACAAUUUGUAAUAGGUGUAAAGAUUUUGAUGUUGAUGCUUGUAGUGAACACCUAGUUUCAAUUUCUAAAUUGAAUGAUGAAUUGGCUAGUCUUAAUGCCCAACUUAAGACUAGCAAGAGUGAAAUUAAUAAAAUAAAAUUUGCAAGGGAUGCCUACACGAUUGGUAGACAUCCCUCAAUUAAGGAUGGUCUUGGCUUCAAGAGGGAAGUCAAGAACUUAACAAGCCAUAAGGCUUCCAUCUCCACCAAGGAGAAAGGGAAGGCCCCUAUGGCUAAUAGUGCUCAAAAGAACCAUGCUUUCAUGUAUCAUGAUAGGAGACAAUCUAGGAAUGUUAAUAGAAGUUAUGAUGCUUUUAAUUGUCAUGCUAUGAUUGCUUCUAGUUCUUCCUAUAUGCAUGGUAGAGAUAUGUCUAGGAGAAAUGUCAUUCAUCAUAUGCCUAGGAGAAAUAUUGUUCAUGUUCCUAGGAAAGUAAUUAAUGAACCUUCUACAAUUUUUCAUACUUGCAAUGCUUCCUUUGCUAUUUGUAGAAAGGAUAAGAAGGUAAUUGCUAGGAAGUUAGGGGCAAGAUGCAAGGGAGAUAAAACUUGCAUUUGGGUCCCUAAGACCAUUGUGACUAACCUUGUAGGACCCAACAAGAGUUGGGUACCUAAAACCCAAGCCUAAAUUUGCCUUGCAGGUUUAUGCAUCCGGGGGUUCAAGCUGGAUUAUCGACAGCGGAUGCACAAACCACAUGACGGGGGAGAAGAAGAUGUUCACCUCCUACGUCAAGAACAAGGAUUCCCAAGAUUCAAUCAUAUUCGGUGAUGGGAACCAAGGCAAGGUGAAAGGGUUAGGGAAGAUUGCUAUUUCAUCCGAGCACUCUAUUUCUAAUGUGUUUUUAGUUGAGUCACUUGGAUAUAAUUUGUUAUCCGUAAGUCAAUUAUGCAAUAUGGGAUAUAACUGUUUAUUCACAAAUGUAGAUGUGUCUGUCUUUAGAAGGUGUGAUGGUUCACUAGCUUUUAAGGGUGUACUAGACGACAAACUUUAUUUAGUUUACUUUGCAAAAGAGGAGGCCGGUCUAGAUGCAUGCUUAAUUGCUAAGACUUGCAUGGGCUGGCUGUGGCAUCGCCAUUUAGCACAUGUGGGGAUGAAGAACCUUCACAAGCUUCUAAAGGGAGAACACGUGAUAGGUCUAACUAACGUGCAUUUCGAAAAAGAUAGACCUUGUGCAGCUUGUCAAGCAGGUAAACAGGUGGGAAGUUCUCAUCAUACCAAAAAUGUGAUGACCACAUCAAGACCGUUGGAGAUGCUUCAUAUGGACCUCUUCGGACCCGUCGCCUAUCUAAGUAUAGGAGGAAGUAAGUAUGGUCUUGUUAUAGUUGAUGAUUUUUCCUGCUUCACUUGGGUAUUCUUUUUGCAGGAUAAAUCUGAAACCCAAGGGACCCUCAAGCGCUUCCUAAGGAGAGCUCAAAAUGAGUUUGAGCUCAAGGUGAAGAAGAUAAGGAGCGAUAACGGGUCCGAGUUCAAGAACCUUCAAGUGGAGGAGUAUCUUGAGGAGGAAGGGAUCAAGCACGAGUUCUCCGCUCCCUACACACCACAGCAAAAUGGUGUGGUAGAGAGGAAGAACAGGACGCUCAUAGACAUGGCGAGGACGAUGCUUGGAGAGUUCAAGACCCCCGAGCGGUUUUGGUCGGAAGCCGUGAACACGGCUUGCCACGCCAUCAACCGGGUCUACCUUCACCGCCUCCUCAAGAAGACUUCGUAUGAGCUUCUAACCGGUAACAAACCCAAUGUAUCUUACUUUCGUGUAUUUGGGAGCAAAUGUUACAUUCUAGUGAAGAAAGGUAGAAAUUCUAAGUUUGCUCCCAAAGCUGUAGAAGGGUUUUUGUUAGGUUAUGACUCAAAUACAAAGGUGUAUAUGGUCUUCAACAAAUCAUCGGGUUUGGUUGAAGUCUCUAGCGACGUUGUAUUUGAUGAGACUAAUGGCUCUCCAAGAGAGCAAGUUGUUGAUCUUGAUGAUGUAGAUGAAGAAGACGUUCCAACGGCUGCAAUACGCACCAUGGCGAUUGGCGAUGUGCGACCACAGGAACAAUUGGAGCAAGAUCAACCUUCUUCCUCAACAAUGGUGCAUUCCCCAACUCAAGACGAUGAACAGGUUCAUCAAAAGGAGGCGUGUGAUCAAGGGGGAGCACAAGAUGAUCAUGUGAUGGAGGAAGAAGCACAACCGACACCUCCAACCCAAGUUCGAGCGACGAUUCAAACGAAUCAUCCCGUCGACCAAAUUUUGGGUGACAUUAGCAAGGGAGUAACUACUCGUUCUAGAUUAGUAAUUUUUUGUGAGCAUUACUCCUUUGUCUCUUCUAUUGAGCCUUUCAGGGUAGAAGAGGCCUUGCUAGAUCCGGACUGGGUGUUGGCCAUGCAGGAGGAGCUCAAUAAUUUCAAGAGAAAUGAAGUUUGGACACUGGUGCCUCGUCCCAAGCAAAAUGUUGUGGGAACCAAGUGGGUGUUCCGCAACAAACAAGACGAGCACGGGGUGGUGACAAGGAACAAGGCUCGACUUGUGGCAAAAGGUUAUGCCCAAGUCGCAGGUUUGGACUUUGAGGAGACUUCUGCUCCUGUGGCUAGGCUAGAGUCCAUUCGUAUUUUGCUAGCAUAUGCCGCUCAUCAUUCUUUCAGGUUGUUUCAAAUGGAUGUGAAGAGCGCUUUCCUCAACGGGCCAAUCAAGGAGGAGGUGUACGUGGAGCAACCCCCUGGCUUCGAGGAUGAACGGUACCCCAACCACGUAUGUAAGCUCUCUAAGGCGCUCUAUGGACUUAAGCAAGCCCCAAGAGCAUGGUAUGAAUGCCUUAAAGACUUUUUAAUUGCUAAUGCUUUCAAGGUUGGGAAAGCCGAUCCGACUUUAUUCACUAAGACUUGCGAUGGUGAUCUUUUUGUGUGCCAAAUUUAUGUCGAUGACAUAAUAUUUGGUUCUACUAACCAAAAGUCUUGUGAAGAGUUUAGCAGGGUGAUGACUCAGAAGUUUGAGAUGUCGAUGAUGGGCGAGUUGAACUACUUCCUUGGGUUCCAAGUGAAGCAACUCAAGGACGGCACCUUCAUCUCCCAAACGAAGUACACGCAAGCCUUGCUAAAGCGGUUUGGGAUGAAGGACGCCAAGCCCGCAAAGACUCCAAUGGGAACCGACGGACACACCAACCUCAACAAAGGAGGUAAGUCCGUUGAUCAAAAGGCAUACCGGUCUAUGAUAGGGUCUUUACUUUAUUUAUGUGCUAGUAGAACGGAUAUUAUGCUUAGUGUAUGCAUGUGUGCCAGAUUUCAAUCCGAUCCAAGGGAGUGUCACUUAGUGGCCGUGAAGCGAAUUCUUAGAUAUUUAGUCGCUACGCCUUGCUUCAGGAUCUGGUAUCCAAAGGGGUCUACCUUUGAUUUGAUUGGAUAUUCAGAUUCCGACUAUGCUGGAUGUAAGGUCGAUAGGAAGAGUACAUCGGGGACGUGCCAAUUCUUAGGAAGGUCCCUGGUGUCAUGGAAUUCUAAGAAACAAACUUCCAUUGCCCUAUCCACUGCUGAGGCCGAGUAUGUUGCCGCAGGACAGUGUUGCGCGCAACUACUCUGGAUGAGGCAAACCCUCCGGGACUUUGGCUACAAUCUGAGUAAAGUCCCACUCCUAUGUGACAAUUAGAGUGCUAUCCGCAUAGCGGAAAAUCCUGUUGAGCACAGCCGCACAAAGCACAUUGACAUCUGGCAUCACUUUUUAAGAGACCACCAGCAAAAGGGAGAUAUCGAAGUGUUUUAUGUUAGCACCGAGAACCAGCUAGCCGAUAUCUUUACCAAGCCUUUAGAUGAGAAGACCUUUUGCAUGCUGCGUAGUGAGCUAAAUGUCUUAGAUUCGCGGAACUUAGAUUGAUUUGUCGCAUACAUGUGUAUUAUGCUUUGAUCAUGUUCCUUAUGCAUUUUGUUGUUUCCUUGUGGUGCUCAAGUUGUACAAACACUCCCCGGACCUCACAAGUCCUUUUGCAAGUGAUGCACAUAUUUAGGGGGAGAUGUGCUACAACUUGACCCUUUGAGACUAACCGUGUGCUUGAGUUUGCUUGAUUUAGUCUCAAAGGCGGUUUGAAAGGGAAAGGGUGGACUUGGACCAUGAAAGACUUCCACUGCACUCCGAUGAGAGGGUAACUUAUUCCAAGUUCAUCUCAUGUACUCUUAUUGCCUUGGUACUCUUAUUUGAAGAUUUUGGUGAGGCAAUGGGGUUCGAGGGCCAAGAUUGAUCCCGUUUUGGUGCUUGAUGCCAAAGGGGGAGAAAAUAAGGCCAAAGCAAUAAAUGGAUCAGCGACCACUUGAGAAAUUUUGAAAAUAGUAGAAUAGAGCUUUUGGUUUGUCAAAACUCUCUUAUUGUCUCUCUUGUCAAAAGUUGGCCUCUUCUGGGGAGAAUGGUUGUUUAUGGGAAAAAGGGGGAGUUUCUCUUGUCAAAAGUUGGCCUCUUGUGGGGAGAAUGGUUGUUUAUGGGAAAAAGGGGGAGUUUUUGAAAUCUUUGAUCAAUUUCUCUUGGAACAACUCUCUUUAUGUCUCUACAAUUGUGUUUGAAUUAGAGAUAGGAGAUUGAGGUUGAUUUGCAAAAACAAAACCAAGUGGUGGCAAAGAAUGAUCCAUAUAUGCCAAUUUUGAAUCAAAACAAUUUUGAGUUCUCAUUUGUAUUGAUGUUGCACUUCUUUUAGUUGCUUUUUGUUGUGUUGGCAUAAAUCACCAAAAAGGGGGAGAUUGAAAGGGAAAUGUGCCCUUGGGCCAUUUCUAAGUAUUUUGGUGAUUGAGUGCCAACACAAGUGCUUAAGUGUAAAUCUAUGCCAAUUGAUGGACAAAGUGCAAAUCAAGUCUAAAGGUAUGUUUCUAGACUUAGUACACUGUUUUGAGAACUAAUGUAUUGUGUCUAAGUGCUGGAAACAGGAGAAAUCAAAUUGGAAAAGAGAUGGCUUUGUUCAGCCAAAGUCUGCUCAGUCUGGGUGCACCGGACAGUGUCCGGUGCGCCAGGCUGGCUCUGGCGAACUUGCUGCUCUCGGGACUUCGACGACGGUGUAUGGCUAUAAAUCACCGGACUGUCCGGUGGUGCACCGGACUGUCCGGUGAGCCAUUCACAGGCGAACUCGUCGCUCUCGGGAGAUGAUUAACGGCGUACGGCUAUAAGUCACCGGACUGUCCGGUGAGCCAACGGUCGGCCGAGCGAUCCACGCGGGACACGUGGCCGAGCCAACGGCUAGAAGGGGGCACCGGACUGUCCGGUGUGCACCGGACAGUGUCCGGUGCGCCAACGACUCUGAAUCUUCAACGGUCGGCUUCGCCAAAUAAGGAAAGAGAUCCGCACCAGACAGUGUCCGGUGGUGCACCGGACUGUCCGGUGCGCCAGGCGACAGAAGGCAAGAAUUGCCUUCCUGGAAUGCUUUCAACGGCUCCUAGCUGCCUUGGGGCUAUAAAAGGGACCCCUAGGCGCAUGGAGGAGCACACCAAGCAUUCUCUAAGCAUUCCUAAGCACCAAGAGUUUGAUUCCGCGCAUUUGAUUCUUUGUGAUAGUAACUAGAGCUCUAGUUGAGUUGAGAACUCGUCGGGUUGUGUUGUGAGCUCUUGUUGCGACUUGUAUGCGUGUUGUCACUCUGAUUUUGUGUCUUGUGUGUGUUGCUCAUCCCUCCAUUACUCCGUGCUUCUUUGUGAACAUCAAAGUGUAAGGGCGAGAGACUCCAAGUUGUGGAGAUUCCUCGCGAGCGGGAUAAAGUAAGCAAAGCAAAACACCGUGGUAUUCAAGUGGGUCUUUGGACCGCUUGAGAGGGGUUGAUUGCAACCCUCGUCCGUUGGGACGCCACAACGUGGAGUAGGCAAGUUUUGUACUUGGCCGAACCACGGGAUAAACCACUGUGUCUAUCUGUGUUGAUCCUCUUGUGGUUGUUGUGUUUUGCAAGAACUCCUCUCUAGCCACUUGGCAUUAUUGUGCUAACGCUUAAUCAAGUUUUUGUGUCUUUAAGUUUUCAAGUUUUACAGGAUCACCUAUUCACCCCCCCUCUAGGUGCUCUCAGUAAGUUGGCAGGCUUGCCCUCAGCGGCAUAAUAACAUGACAUUGCAGUUAGCCACAAUUCCAUUUUAGCUUUCCAAAUCAAGAAGUUUUUACCAUCAAAAGGAUCAGGCUUGAGCACAACAGCAAAACCUCUGACAAAAAAUGCCUAACAUUAGGUUUUUGGUUUGUUAGAAAUAUAGGCAUUUUCCAUAUUAUUUUAAUUCCAUAAAUUAAUAUGAUGAUGAUGACAUAUAAAAUAUGUUUAAUCAUAGAAAUUGCAAUCUCAAAUAUAUCCAUAACAAUAUGGAUCAUGAGAACAUAAAGCAUAUGAAUCAUAUAAUUAUAAUAAGCAUAUAAACAUGGAACAUGUAUUAUUAUGGAACAACUGAAAAUAAACAGAUAGCAACAUAAACAACAUGACUGUAACAUUAAAACAAACAGAUUUAACAUAUUACUAGUAUGAACAGACAUCAGACAUGUCACGAUAUAAUACGAUAGAACAGUUUGGAUAAAUUCAUGGCUAUAUAUGAAACAACAGAGAUGAACAUAUGCAACAUAUAUAAUCUGCAUAACGUAAAACAGUAAAGAACUGAAUUGAUCAUACCCUCCCAUGCGCUCCGAGGAUCCUGAUCCUUGUCCAACUUCCUUUGUCAUCCGUACGAGAUGAAGACGCCAGGAACCAGCGAUGAAGACAACGACGGACGUUGGGCAGUCGCGUAGACGCUCCCCAAAAACCUAAUUACCGAUCCCCCGUUGCAAGGUCUCGAAUGGCACCGGCUUCGGAGGCACCUGCCCUCUCGCUUCUCUGUGCGCGCAGAGCUAAGACAUGGAAACACCCACACUUGCGGCUGAACUGUGAUUCUGAAGGUUCUGCUCCCGUGUACCAAGUGCCAGGGGUUCUCCUCUAUUUAAGGGAAGCUGAAGGAGAAGAGUCGCAUGCGACACGCCAAGGGACAGACAACAGAAGGGUCUCGCAUGCGGCUGACGAAGAGACGGGCAACUCCUGGAGUUGAAACUCCUGCGGUUAAUGAGUGCUAAAAAUUAACACAAACACACCACGCCCGCUCACCGCCUGCCACGCCACGCCCGGCCCGAGCCCGGCUGGCGGCGGCGGCGCGCGCACGUGUGUGGCACGCCCUUGUUCGUUUCUUGACUUCUCAAAUUAAGUGAAAUAAUUCCCACCAUAUAAGUCAAGCCAAAAGACCCUUGGACUUCUAAUAUAGUACUAUUGGUAUUCUCCAUCAUUACACACCAUAGAGUUUAUUGAAUAAAUGAGCCAAGUCCAUAAAAGAUCUAACAAAGUGAGCACUCGAACCCAUAACCCAUGCUCUAAAAAAUUGAGCCUAACUACUAUACCACAUGUACUUUAGUGUUUAGAAACAAAUAAUAUUUAUAUUUAUAAUCUAGACGCCCCUUCAUCAACUCUUCCGCUUCGUGGUAACGCACGAGCACAUAGCUAGUAUAUAUAUAUAUACUCUAUAGAACAAACUCUAUAGAACAAGAGUUGUCAGUGGUAAAGUGACAAACAGAAAGAAGACUCUGAGUGAUGUUGGAGGCAACAAGAACAUUUUUGAGGCGAAAGGGGCUGGGAAGGACCGCAUCACCUACUGAGGUGAUGGGGAAGACCGACCCAUCGCCGAUGACGAUGGAAGAAUGGAAGAGGGAUGAGGUGGGUGAGUGGCGGAUAAAGUACCAGUAUCAGAGGUGGGUGGUAGGAAGCUCUAGAGUCAGCCACCCAAUCUGAGACCGAGGUGGGUGGAGCGAGAGUCAUGCUGAAAAACCUAGCAAGCGACUGUGCGUCCCAUGAGUGCACAUGAGAGGUGGGUGGGGGAGGAAGGUGACCCGACUAGAAGUGAGGCGGUGUCGGGGUCGUCGAAAGUGCCGAGGGGGGGGGGGUGUGGAGCAGCAUAGAAGGUAAUACAAUAGAAGAACCACCACAGCGGCUAAACUACCACACGCCUGAUGUUCUGAACCAACUCUUAUAUGUAUGGCUGAACUAAACGAUGGUGCUGACUGUUUGUACGUACUACUGUAUCGUAUCCCUUCUAGGCAUAGUUGCAGUUGCCAGGCUGCCCCCAAGGCCCCAACGCAAUGCAACAACAGAGUUGCUGAACCAACAAGGAACGCACCCUCUACUACUGCAAGCAUGUCCAUGACGCGGGAUGAAAAACUCAUGCUGCACAUGAUUCCAUGCAGAAUGAGUUCAUUCUCCAGACCAAACACGCCAUUAGCAAUCCCUCCAGCUAGGUUAUAUAGGAACACGAGAAAGCAGAGCACGGUUGUAGCUGUAGGUGUAAAGAUGGCGACAUGGCGUGGCGUCGUACUUUGGGACCUACCAGCCGAGCCAAGCUUGUGCCCGAGUCACGAAAUUAUAUAUAUAUAUAUAUAUAUAUAUAUAUAUAUAUAUAUAUAUAUAUAUAUAUAUAUAUAUAUAUAUAUAUAUAUAUAUAUAUAUAUAUAUAUACACGGCGACACUAAAAUGCACCUGGGUGCAUUCUCUAUAUUGAAUGCACCCAGGGUGCAAUAACACCCCGAGCAUGCCUCCCCAUAAGAGCACGCCUUUAGCCCUCCUGUACGUGCGCCUCCCUGCCCCCCCCCCCCCGCCGUGAGUAUCCUUUAAUUGCAAACUUAAGUCUCUGUUUUUACUCCUUGAUUACCAUUGCAUGCUGUGUUGUUACUCCAGUUGCAACGUUUGUUGCUUGUUGAUUGCAACUAUGGGUAUCCGCUAAUUGCAAACUCAUGAUUGCGUGUUGUUCUACAGGAUGCAAACAUACUUGAUGUGUUUGUCCCCAGGGUACGACAAACAUUUGAUACAAGGGAAGAAGCCUACCUCUUUUACCUUGACUAUGCAAAGUUGGCUGGUUUUAGUGUCAGGACAAAGAGGUGUAAUUGCAACUGCUGGUGUGGUGUGAUUGCAACCCCGCAUUAGGUGUGAUUGCAACUGCUGUAUAAUUCUACCCAAAUAUCUGUUAAAAAAAUAUAAACAAAAUGAUUGCAACUGCUGGUAUGUUGUAAUUGCAACUACUGGUGUGGUGUGGAUGCAACUGUUGAGUUGCUCUGAUGUGAUUGCAAGUACUGAAUAACUCUGGGAAAUUUUGUUAAAAAAUAUGAUUGCAACUGCUGGUCUGGUGUAAUUGCAACUGCUGGUCUGGUGUGAUUGCAACUUCUAUAUAACUAGAUGCAACUGCUGGUCUGGUUCGAAAAUUGUAGCAUUCUGUCGGGAGCGUGCGGGAGGGACGAAAACGAAGCGUCGAUUCGGCCUGGGUGGGACGGUUGGCUCGGACUAGGUGCUCCUGACGCGUAGGUUCGACCUGGGUGCAUUCUCUAUAUUGAAUGCACCCAGGUGUAAUAUAUAAAUACAGUGUAUAUAUAUAUAUAUAUAUAUAUAUAUAUAUAUAUAUAUAUAUAUAUAUAUAUAUAUAUAUAUCUAUAUAACAAACGCGGACGCAAAGCUCGCUCCUCAGUAAGCCACGUCAUCCUUUGGUUGUGUAGCCGUUCGAUCGUGCUUCGACGGUCCUGUGCAGCUCUCCAAUCCGCUACGCAACGAGAAGUUUCCAAAUGCUCCAUCACCUCCAGCUAAACGCCCACCGUCCGGCCCUAGCCUGCGCGUAGCGUCGCCCAUGAAGCUCCUCCCUCCCAUGGAAUUUCUCUCGUCGUCUCACUCGAGAACAAUCUCGUGCCGACCGCCCACAUCUUCUCGGCAAUACUCUCUACCACUUCCUUCCGAACUCCAUCCUUCAACACGGCGGGCGCCUUCUCUACGAGCUCCUCAGACCCAGAUCCGUGAACGGAGGAGGUAGGCGCACUCCUAGAAGAGGACGUGGCGAGGUAUGCCACGGCGGGUCGCCGUGAGCAUAUGGUCGACGCCGAGGCAGCCGCUCAGGCAUCUAGGGAAGAGGCCACAAGGACGUACGGAGCCCGCAGGUCUCGUCAACAAGCAUGGAGCCGUGUGGGAUCGGGUUGAUGGCGGUGGAGGAGGAAGCAUCAUCCUUUAUGUGGAGGAGGUAGGCGCUGCUGGCGAUGGCGGCACGUCCGCACGCGCCGUGGCUCUUGGCGGAUUCGUGGGCGUUGGCGUGUGCCUGGACGAGGACGCGGCGAGGUGCAUUGCGACGGCGCAGGUCGUCGGGAACAGCAGCACCUAAUCCCUCCCAGUUUGUACUGCCGAAUGAAGAUGCACGGAUCAUGCAAAGAGCAAACCCCAAGCAUUCGCACGGAUCGACAGUUGUGUUCGAGCGUACAACAGCAUGCGAGAACACUCCGGCAUGCUCAUAUUUUCCCUCACGAGCUCCGCACGGUGUGAUUGGGGAACGGGCGGGGCGACAACAGCGCACUCAGAUGAGGCAGCAUGGUCGCAGUGAGAGGAGGCGGAGGCAGAGGUCUCAUUUCUAUGUCCGUGUAAAGCUGGUCCCAAUUUGAGGUAUGCGCAUAUGAGGUUUUUAUGAUUUGCUAACUGAAAUAUUUGGAGUUCCAAUUUUGCCAAUGGCUCAGCCCAAAUAGUAUUUCUACUGUACAAAAGCUAUCACCAUGUGUGAAAAGUUUUGAACACGGAGUUAAUUUAAAUUAAGAUUCACCAAUUCAAAUUAUUAUACUAUUGUCUUCUUCUACUAUUAUACACGCAUUUUCAAACACAUCCAACCUUAAGUGCAGAAAAAAUCUUCGCCUAAUAUAUUGCAAGGUACCAACACUCCACGUUGGAUUUCUCAUACUAUAACCAUUUGUGUGAAGAGUUUGAAACUUGGAGUUCUUUUGUGUGCAAUAACUUGGACCAUAUAAAUGAAUCCACGAUGUCUAGGAAGCCUGCUUGGACCAUAUAAAUGAAACCACGAUGUUUGGGAACCUGCUAACCGAUUCAAGUGAGACCACACACGCUCUGUAGGUGGCUCAUUUAGGCUCCUAUACAUAACACAGCUAAGCUAAGUCGUACUGCACACUACUAUUGCUACUAGCUUUCAAGUGGCAAAAAAGGUGAUGUUUAAUCAUGCAUGCUUAUUCUAUUUUUUGUCCAUGUGUAGUGUUCUUUCAAAUCCUUUUUUUGUCAGACUUCACCGUUUCCUCUCCAGUUAUUUUCAGGUUUUAUGACACUCAUGGCAACAGGAAGGUUGCUUCUGAUUACAUCUGCAUAUUCUUGUGAGAUCUGGCAAUUUCAUUUAUGACAUAGCAAGAGACAAAGGUUUGUAUUCUGGAAUUCUGGUUCGUUCUUUUGUUAUCACACGACAUAAAAAAAAUUAAUAAUGUUGACUUGAUUCCAUCAUCAGUGCCUUGAAUGCCUGGAAUUCCGUCAGUACAAUAAGAAAAUCCCUAUGAUGGAUACUAAAUGAAAAGCACUUGAACCUAAAAAAAUCCAUUAAACAUGGCUGAUGCAAACCUUUGAGGUUUGUUAAUCUAAUUUUGUAGAAUCCCCCAAGCAGCAUCACCACAUGUACAUAUACGACAUUUUCAUUUCAACUACAUCUUUUUUAGUAAAACGUCUUCAUUUGCUUUUACUCAUUUAGUUUUCCCUAAAAGUUAUUUUUAGCAUUUGUUGACAAAACACAUAAAAGUGGUAAUAGUUACAUUGAAGGUGUUGACUCCAACAAUGCAUGUUAUGGUGGGACAGCAAUUCUACUGAAAUGUGUGAAUUGGGUCGAAAGCAACUCCUAUGAUGGCCGUUACAGUCUUGUCGUGCACAGACAUCGCAUUUUGUCAUGCAGUCCUCCCUAUAAACAUCAGUUUUGUAAUUUUUUUCUUUUAGAAACACAUAAUCACUUUCUACCAUCUCUAUUGACUAUUGUGAUGUUCAAGUUUAUGCCAAAGGCCAGCUCGUCCAACAGGAGGAGGUGCUGCUAUAGCAAUGAUAACUGGUCGUAAUUCUCUGAUUCCCUUCGACACAUGGCUCCUGUUUAUGAUUUCUACAAACCUGAUCUUGCAAGUGAAUAUCCGGUUAGUUUUCUAUUGAUAAAACGAUUUAUACUAUUUCAUACGCAUUCACCUAAUCUUCAGAGUUCAGACCCAAUUAAAUGUUUCUGGUUAUCCAUCUUAGAGUUCAACAUUUUUACAACAGCACAUUCAUUCCAGGUUGCUGAUGGUAAACUAUCCCAACCAUGUUACCUAAUUGCUCUAAUUCAUGCUACAAACAGUUCUUCAACAAGUAAGUCGCUGCAACUUUUCUCCUUUCCUUUUAAUAAUGAUUAGAUUGAUUUUUCUUAAAAUUUCCCAAUGCCGCACUGCAAUUUCUGAAACUAGGUAUAAGAGAAUUGUGAGUAAACAAUUAUCAAUUUCUAAUGUAGAAUAAUUUGUAUUCUAUUCUCCAUACAACAAGGUAAGAUAUAAAUAACCAAGGGCUUUAAAUGAAGACCAACAACCAUUAUUUCUGGAAGUUUUCUUUAAAGAGGUACGCACGCAGGGCGUGCGCCCAGUUACUAGUAUAUAUAUAUACGGCGACACUAAAAUGCACCUGGGUGCAUUCUCUAUAUUGAAUGCACCCAGGGUGCAAUAACACCCCGAGCAUGCCUCCCCAUAAGAGCACGCCUUUAGCCCUCCUGUACGUGCGCCUCCCUGCCCCCCCCCGCCGUGAGUAUCCUUUAAUUGCAAACUUAAGUCUCUGUUUUUACUCCUUGAUUACCAUUGCAUGCUGUGUUGUUACUCCAGUUGCAACGUUUGUUGCUUGUUGAUUGCAACUAUGGGUAUCCGCUAAUUGCAAACUCAUGAUUGCGUGUUGUUCUACAGGAUGCAAACAUACUUGAUGUGUUUAUCCCCAGGGUACGACAAACAUUUGAUACAAAGGAAGAAGCCUACCUCUUUUACCUUGACUAUGCAAAGUUGGCUGGUUUUAGUGUCAGGACAAAGAGGUGUAAUUGCAACUGCUGGUGUGGUGUGAUUGCAACCCCGUAUUAGGUGUGAUUGCAACUGCUGUAUAAUUCUACCCAAAUAUCUGUUAAAAAAAUAUAAACAAAAUGAUUGCAACUGCUGGUAUGUUGUAAUUGCAACUACUGGUGUGGUGUGGAUGCAACUGUUGAGUUGCUCUGAUGUGAUUGCAAGUACUGAAUAACUCUGGGAAAUUUUGUUAAAAAAUAUGAUUGCAACUGCUGGUCUGGUGUAAUUGCAACUGCUGGUCUGGUGUGAUUGCAACUUCUAUAUAACUAGAUGCAACUGCUGGUCUGGUUCGAAAAUUGUAGCAUUCUGUCGGGAGCGUGCGGGAGGGACGAAAACGAAGCGUCGAUUCGGCCUGGGUGGGACGGUUGGCUCGGACUAGGUGCUCCUGGCGCGUAGGUUCGGCCUGGGUGCAUUCUCUAUAUUGAAUGCACCCAGGUGUAAUAUAUAUAUAUAUAUAUAUAUAUAUACUAGGUGAGUGCCCGUGCGUUGCAACGGAAACAUAUAAUAACACAACAACUUAUGUACAAAUAUGUGUUAUACUGUUCUGAGAAAAAAUUUUGCAAUUCAUUUAUGAUCCUAGCCACAUAUAAAUUUCAUUGUUUUAAUCUACCUAUUUCACCACUACAUUACAGUAAUGACACCUGACAUCCAUGCACAGCAACGGGGGCAGUCGGAUGAGAAUCUCUGUAUGGCUCAGGGUACCGGUCUUUGAAGUUUAAUCUAGGAUGGUCAGCCUGAAAUGCAAACCAAUACAGCCAAAAUUACUUCUCAGGUGGAACAAGAUCCAUUCUGGUAAUGUAUACAUGAAUGGAAUACCAGAACUUUGAUGGGAAAAACGAAGUUUCGUUUGGAAGGAAGAGUCCAAGAACAACAUCUCACCAUUAAGAAUCUAAAGGGAAUUUCUUAAAGAAAGAAAGAACCUGAAUAUUCAUUCAGAUUUCCUCACAUGGUCAAAACAUGGAAAUAAAAAAAAUAUGAAUGCUAAGUCAGAAAGAAUAAAUUCAAGAAAACUAAAAUAGCAUUUUAUAGUUUCAGACCAUCAUGUACAAACGUUAGAUCUCAAAUGUGCAUAAAAGGGAGAGAAACUACUUCUGGGCAUGAAUAUUUUAGAUAAGAGAGCAGUUUUUGUGCCCGGGUGGCUGGCGCCCUGGAUAUCAGGACCAUCCAUUUCCAUCAGCCUGAUCAACCUUAGGCAGAGAGUAACCGGAACCAAUGCUCCAGUUGUUCGGUAAAAACUCCCUAGCACAAUUCAAUAUUUUUUAUGAUGUGGAAUAAAAUGACUACUCAAGUGUCUACACCAUUGCAGAAUUUUGUUUUUUUCACUUUCAGAUACAUCAUGGAUUACACUUUUUUCGUGGUCAAUGUUCCAUCUUCUAUAAAUAGCACUGAAAUGUUCCAUCUGAGGUAGCAUUCCAAUAAAU